GCUUGCAUUGCUCAAUUUAUCUCAUAAUAGUCUAACAGGACCUAUCCCAUCAUUGCUGAGAAAUAUGAAAGAACUCCAAUCUUUAGAUUUGUCCUCAAAUCAACUGACAGGGGCUAUUCCACCUCAGUUAACUGCAUUGACAUUUCUAGAGGUCUUAAAUCUCUCGAACAACGAUCUCAGUGGAGAGAUUCCUCAGAAAGGACAGUUCAGCACAUUCAACAAUGAUUCUUAUCUAGGAAACUCCGCGUUAUGUGGAUCACCAUUGACGAAGAAAUGCGCAAACACAGCAUCACCUCCACAAGAAGUCAGAAAUGGUGAUGAAGAUGAUGCUGGUGAUGAAUGGACAUGGGAAGCAAUCGUGAUGGGAUAUGGAUGUGGACUGAUAUGUGGAUUGUCAUCUGCGUACAUUGUUCUCAAACUAGGAAGGCCUUGGUGGUUUGUGAGAUAUGUCGAAGUAUUGCAACUGAAGUUGAUGAAAAGAUAUGCUUGAAGAAUGGUAUUUGGUCUUGUACUAGCUGCAUAAGUAUUUGGCAUUGUGUAGUAUUCUGUUUGGUCUUGAAUUAUAAUGAUUUUUCUUGCUUCAGGGGUAUUAAUAUAAACCUUGCUAUCUUGCUCAGUGUUAAUGCAAAUUAAGAUGAAUGAAUAAACAAAAAAUAUGCAUCAAAUUAAGAAUUCAGAAAUGGUGAUACUCAUGCAGUGUCACCAACUCAAGAAUUCAGAAAUGGUGAUACUCAUGAAGAUGACGAUGCUGAUGAUGAACUUUGAUGUGGGACUUGGGUUGACCACUUGUUGGGCCGCACAACACCUGUUAAGCAUUAGUAUGACGUUGUCCGCUCUGGAUCGUGACCAAGCCCGCACGGAUUUGUUUUCGAGCUCCUCUCAAAAGGUCUAAAACUAAUGGAGUUGUUUGGCUGCUUAUAUUCAAGAUAAAUCUUUUUGAUGUGGGAUUUGGGUUGACACCCACACAACAAGACGUGAGGAAAUAUUGUUGUCUUGAGAUGACAUAUGUUCUGAAUUAUUAUUAUGCUUUCAACAAUAUUUUCAAACAUUUUUCAAUAUGUAUUUUUAAAGAAUUCUCAAGCACUCGUGACCCCUAUAAUUUUUUCUCAGGCAACGCCUAUAGUUUCAAAGAAUUCCCAGGCACUUAAACAUUUGGACCGGUUCUUUGGAAGCCAAGAUGCCCAGGUUAUCAUGGCCAUGCACAAAAUGCAGUACCAAAGAAAAAAAAUAAUAAAUUAAGAGAGAUUGCUCUGGGUCACCCCAAGCCUUCGAGGACUCAUUCCAAGCCUCGCCCUUUCAAAGAAGUGAUAGUAGCCGGAAAGUGAUAUAAAUUAUUCUCCGGACACUAAAACUAAAUAAUCAGAUCAAAUUAAUCAAUAAUAAAUUAAAGAUAUGAAAUCAAAAUUAAUCCUAAAUUUUGAUAAUAUACAAAAAUUAUAAUUAUAAAUUUUAUUAUCAAAUCAAGAUUAAAUUAACUUACAUGGCCGUUAAAAUUGAUAAACGCAAUAUAAUAGGGUUAAAAAUGGGGCGGGUUCGGGACGGGUACUUCAUUUCCCAGCCUCGUCCCAUAUAUAUUUUUCCUGCCCCGUCUCCGCCCCAUUCUCCACGAAGAUUUAUUUUUAAUCCCCAUUGCCGCCCGCCCCACCGGGGAUUGAAUAUAAUUUCGCCCCGCCCCGCUGCUAUAAUAUUACACUUUAAUUAAUUACCUUAAAAUUUAAUAAUCAGAAUUUAAUAAAAAUAUACGAGACAUGUAUAUUAAAAGCAAAAAACUAAAUAUAAUAGAAAUCAAAGAGACAUGUUAUACAUUGUAAAAUUAUAGUUUUAUGUAUUAUAUAAUAGAUAAUAUUAAAUAUAUUAUAUUAAAUAUAAUUAUUUAUUUUUAUUAAAUAUAUGCGGGGCGGGGUGGGGAAUCCCCGCGGGAAUUCAACAAAUACCAUGCUUGCCCCAUAUUUUAGCGGGGCAGAUAAUCAUUCUCCGUCACUACCCCAUUCCCCAUAGAGUAGUGCUAGAUGCACAAAAUUGGAUACAUAAUUUUACACAAAAUGACAUGGCAAUCUAGGUGGAGAGCUUUAAUUGGUAUUAUUAAUGCAUGUGCAGGGGCUCAUUCCAAUCACAAAUUGACACAUACUCAUUCUGUGAAUAUUUCUGUACUCAAUUCUGUGCAGGUAGCAUUUUUCUUCCCCAUAUUAGCGGGGCGCAUCGGCUCCAUUCGGGGCGGGUUCCCCAUUUUCCCCACCCAAUUUUUAACCCUACAAUAGUAAUCAAAUUGAUGAAAAGUCAAAGUCCUCUAAUAAAUCCAUAAAGAAUAUGAUAAUCAAAACUACAAAAAUUAUAAUUGAAAAAUCAAAAUCAUCCUAAUAAGUUCAUAGAAUAUAUAUGAUCAGUAGAGCAUUAGAAUAGUGUUCACACACUUAUAUGUCAAAAUUUGUGGUCCAAAGACUAUGACACAAUAUCCUAAAUACACCCCCAUUGAAUAGUAGUUCAAAAUAUUUAAUAUAUAAUUGUUUUCAUUCAUAAUUUUGUUAUUAUUUAAAAAAUAAUAAUUUAAUUGCUGUUAACCUUUAUUUUAAUAUAUAAUCAUAUCGUUUCCUUACAAUUUAAUUAUCUAGAAACAAUAUUUUUGUUAUAAUCAUUACAUUAAUUAUAUUAAAAAAUAUAAUUUUGUUAAAACAUUGAAUGAAAUUAAGAGUAUUAAUCUACGUCUCUCCAAGUCUACAGGACUCAUUCCAAGUCUGCGUGAGACCACUGCCACCACCUUUGAGAGAUGUGGAAGUGGAAGUAGCUUCAGAUUGACCUAAAUUAUUUCCUGACAAUAAAUUUAAUAUCCGAAAUAAAUUAAAUUAAACUAGUUUUUUGAAACAAUUAAAUUAAACUAGUUAAUAAUAAAUUAAGAAUAUAUAAAAUCAAAACUAAUCAUGAAUUAUGAUAAUAAUUAAAUAAAUUAUAAUUAAGCUAUAUAAAUCAACUCCAAAUGACACCAACAGCACCAAACCUUAGUUACUUUAAUAUUGGUAAAUAAAUAUAAUAUAAUAAUCAAUUGAUGAAAAAUCAAAUCAUCUAAUAAAUUCACAAAAAAUAUAUGAUCAUUAGUAUAUUAUAUUAGUAUCCACACACUUAUAUUUCAAAAUCUAUCCUCCAAAAUUAUCAUCUCGAUAAACUAGCCACAUAAAAUAAAAAUUUAAAGAUAUUAGAUAUUUAGUUAUUUUCAUUAUAUAAUUUUUCCACACUAAAUAACAAAAUAUUUUUAUCAAAUUAUUAUUUAUGAGUUAAAUAUUCAAGUUAUAAAUCCAGCAUGCAGCGUAUAAAUAGAAGUGUGCAGUAUGAUAUCAGAAUCAUAACCCAGUUGAUCAGGAGAAACAUGGCAUACUCUGCAAAGCCUUCUCACCUUCUUCUCUUUGUUUUCUUUCUCUCAUCACUUGAAUCCAUUCUAACAACACGAGAGGGAGAAGCUCUUGUGAAGUGGAAGAAUAGCCUAGCCCCGUCUUCUUUUCUCGACUCUUGGUCACUCACCAAUCUCGAUAAUCUUUGUAACUGGACUGGCAUUACUUGUAACUCUGCAGGUUCAGUUUCUGAGAUUAACCUCUGUGAGAAACAACUUGAUGGAAUGCUGUCCGAGUUCGGUUUCACUUCAUUUCCAAAUCUCAAGAAUCUCACCCUGGCAGACAACUUCUUCUCGGGUCCAAUACCACCAGCCAUUGAGAAUUUAACACAGCUUCAAUAUCUUGAUUUAAGCAUGAAUAGUCUUAAUGGUCCCAUUCCGUUCCAGGUUAGCCAUCUUCAGAGUUUGCUCAUAUUAAACCUGUCACAGAAUGCAUUGCAAGCUCCAAAUUGGUCCCAUUUCUCUCCCAUGCCUGUUUUGCGCUUCCUCAAGCUCAGUAGAAAUCCUCUUGUGUCGAAAUUCCCAAAUUUUAUAUCCAAUUCUCAUAGCCUGACUUAUCUCAACCUUUCACAUAACAAGUUUAGUGGUGAUCUUGUACGUGAAUCAGUAUUUAUACCAAUCUGCAUCAUCUUGAAGUCCUCAGUUUUUCACCGAAGAGUUGUGUGAGCCUAUUUUAGACAAUGGAUUCUCUUACAAUGGUAUAACCUCUGUAACAGUUGUGUCAUUUUUAAUGACACAACAUAUGUGCGUAUAAAAACCGUUGUCUAUUAGACACUACAGGACAAAAUUUACCUUUUUACAAUAAGACAAAAUUUACCUUUGACUGUUAUUGUUAAAAAAACAUACAUAAUAAACGUAAAAAAUUUUGAAUUUUUUUAUGUAUGAUUAAUAUUGUUAAUUCUCGAGAUCCGUACGGUCAGAUCAUCGAAAAAAAUAUUUAUAAAUUAAUACAGAGUUAAUCGUAUACAUAACAAAGAUUCUAUUGAGUACUUUCUAAAUUGUAACCAUAAAACAAAUACUAAUAUCCACAUCCGAACUACAAAAUUAUCUUCAUUGUACAAAUGAACAAUAUAUAUUUGCAUAUAUGCAUAAUAUAAAUAUAUGUUUUAAGAUAAACUGUGCAAAAAUUAGAAUUUAUCAAGGAAUAGAGAAUUUUUAACUUUUAAAAAGAAAAAUUAAUCAUAAAACAGUUUCAUUGCCAUAAAUAAUUAAUAAUUAAUUCAAUUGUAACCCCUAAAAUAAUUACUAAUUAAUAAUUAAUACAGUGCUAAUCGUAUAUAUAACAAAAAUUCUAUUAUGUACUUCCUAAAUUAUAACUUUAAACACAUACUAAUACUAUUAUAUAAUAUUUUUCAAUUAUUAAUAUUAUAAUAUAUAUUAUAAUACAACUAAUUCUUUUAAAUUUUCAAUUAAAUUUUAAUAUUCUAUAAUAUAUAGAUAUAUGAAUUUAAGUAAUAUAACUUUUAAUUAUAUUACACAUAUUUCUUCUUGUUUUUAAUAAAUUAUUUAAAUUAAGAUAAUAUUAAUUAUUUUCUUGACGCAAAAACAAUUUUAAUUAUUAAUUAAAGAAUUAAAAGGAAAAAAAAGUAGAUCUGCCCAAUGUACAGGUGAAAGUGAGAAGCGGCAAAGUUCCCCCCAAAACUAAAAACCACUGCCGAGUAAAAACCCCUAACCUGUACUCUCAAAAAACUUCUCACUCACAAACACUCUCCCUGGAUCUAUGUAUCUAUCAACACUCGGGGGGUUUGUUAUGUUUAAAUGGAAGCAAAACAAUGCUAUAGUCAUUUUCAGUAUCCAUGUGGUCCUCUUGCAUCUCGGUUUGCUCUGCUUUUCACAUGUUUGUGGCCAACAUGAAUCUUAUAUCUUGUUUAUGAGUUUAAUUUUGUUUAUUUGUAUUUGAGUGGCUUGAUUUUGUAUUUCUUCACUACUAAUUGUUAUUUUCUAAAUUAUCCAUGUGAUUAGGGCUCAUUUUUAGGGGAACUUUGAAUUAGGUCAUUAAAUUACAGUUUUGGUGAAUUGGGGCUUUCAUUGUAUAUAUUUGAUUACAUACAACUGUUAAUAUUUGAGCAGCCAAGGCUCAAGAGCUCAAAAGAUGACAUAUCGAUGGGGUGACAUGUAUGGCUAACAAUCGGAGUAAUUUGAAAGGAUUAUUUUUUCGUUGGGCUGACAGAGGUAUAUUGUUCUUGACACUGGUUUUUAACUUGCUGUCUUUAGUUUAGUUGUGAAUAAUGAGAUGGUUGGAUAUUCUAUUUCGUAUUGUUGUAUGUGGUCGUUAGCAGAAGCUCAUUAAGUCUGCUAUGGUUUAUAGAUUUUAUAACAUUGAUAAGUAUGGUUUGGGUGUCUAGGCUAGUUUUGUUUGUGUGUGUAAUGGAUGUGUUUUGAUUUUUCUGAUUUUUCUGAUUUUUCGAUCAUCUACUUCUUUUUUGUUGCGGGGUUGUUAUUUGUUUACUCUUGUUCCCUGCAAAGAAAUAAGUGUGGAUAGUUAUGCAUUGGAAUCAUAAGUAGCAAUUAAGUGUUAAUUUCCAAUUCAACGAGUUCAAUGCACGCCUGUCUUCAACUAGAUCCGUUUCUUAAUGAAUUUACAAGCAUGUUUGAGCACAAUACUGAGCAGGGUUGUGUGUAGGUCACUUUAUAUAUUUUAGUAUCAAGAGACGUAUUAUGUUGAUAUGUGCUGUAUAAAAUAUUUAAUUGAAGCUAGGUUUAUGUGUAACUGUUACUCAUCUGGCUAUGGAAUACAUUCCCAGAUUAAAAAAUUUGAUAAUGAUUGAUACUGUCUUGUCACUCCAUUAAACAUGACGUAACAUCUGUAUUCAACUUUGGACUUCAUUAAUUGGUGUUAGUCGUGCAAUAUGUUUAAAUUAAAAAAGUUAUGUUUCUUUUAUAUGUUCGAAUUUACUCCAAAUUGCAUGUGGGCGUUUCACUUCUUAUGAGCAGGCUGUGCUUUGGGAAGUUUAGGCAUGCUUUGAGAAUAGAUAUUUUAAUCAAACUGUGCACUUUAGAUAUAAAAAAUCUUGCUGUUCUGAUGGAUUGUAUGGUGUGGAACAAGAGCUGUGUUCCAAGUUAUGCUCAAGACUGUGGGUUUUUUUUGUUUUUAACACCCUUCCAUAACUUCUCCAUCUUAGUUAUUAAACUCUUUCAUUCUGUAUUCCUAACUAUACCAUUCUUUUUUCCACAUAAACCAAGCCAUAAUAAGAAACUGACUUUCUCAAGGAACAAAGGACUAUCACCACAUGGCAGGAUUGUGCAUAGGCGUGCAUAUGCUUGAGUAAGUACACUUUUGGACUUAUGUUGUGAAGUAUUAUUUUUACAAAUGUCAUCCUUCUGGUCAUAUGACAAAUCUUUUCCCUAUCAUUUCUGUAAUUUGUUUUAAAGGUUAGAGCAAGAGUGGAGAUGUCCCAAAUUGAUGCAGUUGCUUACAACAUUGGCAUGGCUUUGUGGAAAGUUUUUGGUGGAGCUUCUAGCACAAUAAAACAGAUAUAAUAGUUUAGUUUCCGAGCUACACCAUUUCCCGGCUCAUUUUGUCGGCUUCUAUCGACUCUAUACAGGCUCUUGCCAGUUGUGUGAAACAUUACAAGAUUUUACAUUUUUAUAUGUGGUUGUACGUUGAUACUAUAGUUGGUAAUGAAAAUUUUUGUUACUAAUUUAUGGCUUGUUAAUUAUAUUCUCCAGCAUAGUUUAAUUAGAUUAUGUAAAACCAUUGUCUGACAUAACUAAACACAAAAGGAAAAGAAAAAGAAAACAGUUGUCCCAAGACUUACAAACAACACAAUUUUAAAAAUAAAAUCGUUGUCUAAGACAUAUACAAAUAAGUAAAUAGUAGUAACAAACCAUUGUCUAAAUCAGUAUUAUUCAAGCAUUUUGAACAAAAACUGUUGUAGAAGAGCUUUCACACAAUUGUUUCAUUAUAUAAACUAUUGUUAUACGGAGCUUCACAGAAGUGACCACUGCUCUAAGCCCGUUGUACAAGGUAGUAAAACACGAGCCUCUAAAACGCAAACAAUCUUGUCUGAUACUCUUAUUAACAAGUAAAUAUAUCCACAAACUGUUGUGGAUAGUCCUAAUAACAACACAAAUUCCAAAUAUGACUGUUGUUAUAAAAUGUUUAUAACAACACUUUGUUAAACUAAUCUGUUGUUGUUUGUGGGUGUAACACAACACGCUGUUAAAUAUAAACCGUUGUGUUUCUUGAUCUCACACAACGGUACGUACCGUUGUCUGAGGCGCGUAUCAGACGGCAUCGCAAUAGACCACGGUUUUCUUGGGUAUCAGACAACGGGCAAAAACCGUUGUCUGAUGCUGUUUUUGUUGUAGUGACAAUUCCUUUGAAGGACCGCUUCCACCAGGUAUAUUCAAGCUUUCAAAAUUAAAACAUCUUUUUCUUUGGGGUAAUAAGUUUUCAGGUUCUGUUUCCAAUGAUAUAUGUUUGCUUUCUGAGCUUGAAAGCCUCGAUCUUAACUCUAAUUUUUUUGAGGGGCCGCUUCCGCCAAAUGUAUUCAAGCUCUCCAAAUUAAAGUUACUUUCCCUUCAGAAGAAUAACUUUUCAGGUUUUGUUUCCAAUGAUAUAGGUUUGCUUUCUGAGGUUGAAACUCUCGAUCUUCACUCUAAUUUUUUUGAGGGGCAGCUUCCGCCAAAUAUAUUCAAGCUCUCGAAACUAAGAUUUCUUGCCCUUUGGCAGAAUAACUUUUCAGGUUCUGUUUCCAAUGAUAUAGGUUUGCUUUCUAAGCUUGAAACCCUCGAACUUGACUCCAAUUUUUUUGAGGGGCCGCUUCCGCCAAAUAUAUUCAAGCUUUCCAAAUUAAGAGUUCUUUCCCUUGACAAUAAUAACUUUUCAGGUUGUGUUUCCAAUGAUAUAGGUUUGCUUUCUGAGCUUGAAACCCUCCGUCUUGGCUUCAAUUCUUUUGAAGGACCGGUUCCACCAAAUAUAUUCAAGUUUUCCAAAUUAACAGGUCUUGACCUCUCAGGCUAUAGAAAUUUAUUUGAAGGUAGUAUCCCUAUUGGACUGGGACUCUUGACUAACCUCAGCUACUUAGAUCUAAGUUCCAAUAAUCUCAGUGGCUAUAUUCCAUCUGAACUUGGAAACCUUAAGCUACUAGUAUUUCUUGAUCUCAGUUCUAACCAAUUGACUGGACCGCUUUUAAAGAUCGUUUCUAAUCUCACAAAUCUUAUAUAUCUCCAUGUACAAGAUAAUAGUCUUAGUGGGAAUAUUCGCAGUGACUUGUGGAAAAACUCUUUAUCCUUACGUUACAUUGAUCUUGAAAAUAAUUAUUUGUCUGGGAACAUUCCUAAGGAAUAUAACGAUCAUCCAACUUUGGAAUACAUCAAUUUAGGUGGGAACCAUUUUACAGGUAUAUUUUUCUCUAUAUAUCUUUUCCUUUUGUCAUAUGUAACUAAGCUAGUAAUCUGAUUGAUGCAGUUUUACCAAAGUUUCAACAAUCUUGACAGGUGAGCUUCCANNNNNNNNNNNNNNNNNNNNNNNNNNNNNNNNNNNNNNNNNNNNNNNNNNNNNNNNNNNNNNNNNNNNNNNNNNNNNNNNNNNNNNNNNNNNNNNNNNNNNNNNNNNNNNNNNNNNNNNNNNNNNNNNNNNNNNNNNNNNNNNNNNNNNNNNNNNNNNNNNNNNNNNNNNNNNNNNNNNNNNNNNNNNNNNNNNNNNNNNNNNNNNNNNNNNNNNNNNNNNNNNNNNNNNNNNNNNNNNNNNNNNNNNNNNNNNNNNNNNNNNNNNNNNNNNNNNNNNNNNNNNNNNNNNNNNNNNNNNNNNNNNNNNNNNNNNNNNNNNNNNNNNNNNNNNNNNNNNNNNNNNNNNNNNNNNNNNNNNNNNNNNNNNNNNNNNNNNNNNNNNNNNNNNNNNNNNNNNNNNNNNNNNNNNNNNNNNNNNNNNNNNNNNNNNNNNNNNNNNNNNNNNNNNNNNNNNNNNNNNNNNNNNNNNNNNNNNNNNNNNNNNNNNNNNNNNNNNNNNNNNNNNNNNNNNNNNNNNNNNNNNNNNNNNNNNNNNNNNNNNNNNNNNNNNNNNNNNNNNNNNNNNNNNNNNNNNNNNNNNNNNNNNNNNNNNNNNNNNNNNNNNNNNNNNNNNNNNNNNNNNNNNNNNNNNNNNNNNNNNNNNNNNNNNNNNNNNNNNNNNNNNNNNNNNNNNNNNNNNNNNNNNNNNNNNNNNNNNNNNNNNNNNNNNNNNNNNNNNNNNNNNNNNNNNNNNNNNNNNNNNNNNNNNNNNNNNNNNNNNNNNNNNNNNNNNNNNNNNNNNNNNNNNNNNNNNNNNNNNNNNNNNNNNNNNNNNNNNNNNNNNNNNNNNNNNNNNNNNNNNNNNNNNNNNNNNNNNNNNNNNNNNNNNNNNNNNNNNNNNNNNNNNNNNNNNNNNNNNNNNNNNNNNNNNNNNNNNNNNNNNNNNNNNNNNNNNNNNNNNNNNNNNNNNNNNNNNNNNNNNNNNNNNNNNNNNNNNNNNNNNNNNNNNNNNNNNNNNNNAAACCUGUCAGAGAAUGAACUGCAAGCUCCAAAUUGGUCCAAUUUUUCCCCCAUGCCUUUUUUGACCAUCCUCGACCUUUAUAAAAAUAAUCUUUUGUCAGAAUUUCCCGAAUUUAUAUCUAACUCGUGUAACCUUACGUACCUUGACCUCUCAUCCAACAAGUUUAGAGGGGAUCUUGCGCGAGAAUCAGUAUUAACCAAUCUAGGUGAUCUUGAAACCCUCUAUCUUAUUAGAAAUUCUUUCAAGGGGUCAUUUCCGUCAGAUUUAUUCAAGCUUUCUAAAUUAAAACGUCUUCACCUGUCGAGCAACAAAUUUUCAGGUUCAAUUCCUAAUGCCAUAAGGUUGCUUUGUGAUCUUGAAUUCCUAUAUUUAGGCAACAANNNNNNNNNNNNNNNNNNNNNNNNNNNNNNNNNNNNNNNNNNNNNNNNNNNNNNNNNNNNNNNNNNNNNNNNNNNNNNNNNNNNNNNNNNNNNNNNNNNNNNNNNNNNNNNNNNNNNNNNNNNNNNNNNNNNNNNNNNNNNNNNNNNNNNNNNNNNNNNNNNNNNNNNNNNNNNNNNNNNNNNNNNNNNNNNNNNNNNNNNNNNNNNNNNNNNNNNNNNNNNNNNNNNNNNNNNNNNNNNNNNNNNNNNNNNNNNNNNNNNNNNNNNNNNNNNNNNNNNNNNNNNNNNNNNNNNNNNNNNNNNNNNNNNNNNNNNNNNNNNNNNNNNNNNNNNNNNNNNNNNNNNNNNNNNNNNNNNNNNNNNNNNNNNNNNNNNNNNNNNNNNNNNNNNNNNNNNNNNNNNNNNNNNNNNNNNNNNNNNNNNNNNNNNNNNNNNNNNNNNNNNNNNNNNNNNNNNNNNNNNNNNNNNNNNNNNNNNNNNNNNNNNNNNNNNNNNNNNNNNNNNNNNNNNNNNNNNNNNNNNNNNNNNNNNNNNNNNNNNNNNNNNNNNNNNNNNNNNNNNNNNNNNNNNNNNNNNNNNNNNNNNNNNNNNNNNNNNNNNNNNNNNNNNNNNNNNNNNNNNNNNNNNNNNNNNNNNNNNNNNNNNNNNNNNNNNNNNNNNNNNNNNNNNNNNNNNNNNNNNNNNNNNNNNNNNNNNNNNNNNNNNNNNNNNNNNNNNNNNNNNNNNNNNNNNNNNNNNNNNNNNNNNNNNNNNNNNNNNNNNNNNNNNNNNNNNNNNNNNNNNNNNNNNNNNNNNNNNNNNNNNNNNNNNNNNNNNNNNNNNNNNNNNNNNNNNNNNNNNNNNNNNNNNNNNNNNNNNNNNNNNNNNNNNNNNNNNNNNNNNNNNNNNNNNNNNNNNNNNNNNNNNNNNNNNNNNNNNNNNNNNNNNNNNNNNNNNNNNNNNNNNNNNNNNNNNNNNNNNNNNNNNNNNNNNNNNNNNNNNNNNNNNNNNNNNNNNNNNNAAAACCAUUGAUAAGGAUGGUAAAUUCGACUCUAAAUCUUAUGAAGCUAUAUUCUUGGGUUAUUCUUUAACAAGUCGUGCUUAUAGAGUGUAUAAUCUUGCUAAACAUACUGUUGAAGAGUCUAUUGAUGUUUCAUUUCAAGAGUCUACUGAUGAUCUUGCAAGGGAUGAGGAAGAAUGUGCAGGUACAGGUACUAGCAGCAAGCUGACAGUGAAGGAAACUGGAAAUCAGCAAGCUGACAAGUCAACUGCCACAACUUCAGAAGGCAAUAAAGCUACUGAAUCCACUCCAUCUCUUGAAGAAACUUUGGAUAAGAUGUCUAAGCUCACAUUGGAUGAAUCCAGAGGUCAAACUUCAUCAGCAAGCCAAAAUGUUGUUGAUCAGACUCCUCCUAGGCAGACUACAAGGAAUGAAGAGGUCAUAGCUCAACAUAAUCUACCAAAAUCAACUAGAACAGUGAAGAAUCAUCCUCCUCAGUUGAUCAUUGGAGAUAAAUCAGCUGGAAUCAAGACAAGGAAAGCUCAAGCCAACAUUUGUGCUUAUGCUGCCUUCAUAGCUCAAGAGGAACCAAAGAAUGUUCAAGAAGCUUUACAAGAUGAAAAUUGGAUCAUGGCAAUGCAAGAAGAACUCAACCAAUUCGAAAGAUGUGAUGUUUGGGAACUUGUAGAUCCACCAGAGGAUGCUUCAAUUGUUGGAACCAAAUGGGUGUUCAAGAAUAAAGUUGAUGAAUUUGGUACUAUCACUCGGAACAAAGCUAGACUUGUUGCACAAGGAUACAAUCAGCAAGAAGGAAUUGAUUUUGAUCAAACAUAUGCUCCGGUUGCAAGAUUGGAAUCUAUUAGGAUGCUAUUAUCAUUUGCAUGCUACAAGAAGUUCAAGCUACAUCAAAUGGACGUCAAAAGUGCAUUCUUAAAUGGAUAUCUAAAGGAAGAAGUCUAUGUCAAGCAACCACCAGGAUUCGAGGAUGAAAAAUAUCCCAACCGUGUCUACAAGCUCAAGAAGGCACUAUAUGGAUUAAGGCAAGCACCUCGAUCAUGGUAUGAAAGGUUAAGUGAAUUUUUGAUCAAAAAUGGUUUCAUUAGAGGUAAAAUUGAUCCUACUUUGUUUACUAUCUUUAAAGGUCAAGAUAUAUUAGUUGUUCAAAUAUAUGUAGAUGAUAUUAUAUUUGGAUCUACUAAUGAUUCUUUGUGUAAGUGGUUUUCAAAGUGCAUGCAUAGUGAGUUUGACAUGAGCAUGAUGGGAGAGCUCAAUUAUUUCUUGGGGCUCCAAAUUAAGCAAACUCCAGAAGGAAUUUAUGUGCAUCAAUCCAAGUAUAUCAAGAAUCUACUCAAAAGAUUUGGAUAUGAGAAUAUCAAGGCGAAAUCAACACCAAUGAGCGUUGUCAGCAAGCUGACAGCAGAUGAAAAUGGUAAAGAUGUUGAUAUUCGAAUGUAUAGAGGUAUGAUUGGUAGUUUACUUUAUCUUACAGCCUCUAGACCUGAUAUUAUGUAUAGUGUUUGUGUUUGUGCUAGAUUUCAAGCAAAACCAAAGGAUUCUCACUUACAAGCUGUUAAAAGAAUAUUUAAAUAUUUAAGUGGAACCAUUACUUUGGGCUUAUUCUAUCCUAUCACAAAUGCUUUUGAUCUUGUUGGGUAUAGUGAUGCAGAUUAUGCAGGUAGUCAAACUGAUAGAAAAAGUACAAGUGGUGUUUGUGCAUUUUUGGGUCAAAGCUUAGUUUCUUGGUUAAGCAAGAAGCAAACUUCAGUUGCUCUAUCUACGGCUGAGGGGGAGUAUUUAGCAGCUGGUAGCUGUUGCUCUCAAAUGCUAUGGAUGAGACAACAAUUGAAGGACUUUGGAAUCAAAUGCAAGCAAACUCCUAUCUUUUGUGACAACACAAGUACAAUCAACAUUUCAGAAAAUCCAGUCAAUCAUUCAAGGACAAAGCAUAUUGAUGUUCGACAUCAUUUUCUGAGAGACAAUGUUGCAAAGGGUGCUGUCAAGCUGAUUUUUGUGGCUACAGCAGAUCAGCUAGCUGACAUCUUCACAAAACCUCUUCCUGAAGAACGAUAUGUCAUGCUGAGAAGGGAAUUGGGCAUGUGUGAUGUGCAGUCAGCAAGCUAAUAAGCUUGGUCCGGGUACUAUCAGCUUACUCUCAGUUAUUAUGACCAUUAUGUGCUGAUUUGGAUAAUUGUUGUGAUCUCGAUGACGAUGCUUGAUUUUCUACCCUUUUGAUGAUUAAGGGGGAGAAAAUUUAGGAACUUGGUUUGUGUUGUGAAUGUUGUGUUGUGAAUGUUAUAUUUGUUGUAUAGUUUAAUGUUAUAAGAUUGCUAUAUUCAGGGGGAGUAUUAUUACUUUUCCUAAAUAUAGUGUAAUCAUCAAAAAGGGGGAGAUUGAUACUCUCGAGAUUUUGAUGAUCACACUAACAGCAACUUGAUAACAUAAAACUGUACUCUGGUAGCUAGCUGAGAACGAGAUUAUAACUGUGCUAACAGCUAAUGUCUUUUGAAGUUAUCAUUGUUCUGUCAGCAAGCUUACAGGAAUAUUGACAGACUAUCAGCAAGCUCACAGCGUACUGACAGGAUGCUUAUCGGAUAAAGAUCAAGUCCUAUUUUCAAGGAGAUUUGUUAGGGAACGUUUUGUGAGGACUCUAAUACAUAUAUAUACAGUAUAUAAAUAUUAGAGCUCAUCUUUUAUCAAAGAGUUUUAUUCAAAAUCGUUUUCCUAAAAUAUAGGAGUUGAUUUCAAACCUUGUUUAUCCUUUUAGACUCCUACUUCUAUUCAAACUGUUUUGUUUUAUAAACAAACGUUUACUGAGUUGUUUCAAACGUCUUUAUGCUUUUACUCAGUAAAAAUACAUUGUUCAAACGUUCAUUAUUCAAGCAAAUUAAACGUGAGGUUGUUGGGCCAAGAACGUUGGAUAGUUUGUUGAGUUAUGACCGUUUGGAAUGAUGGUAUAUAAACUUGAGUGUGGUUUCCGUUUUGGUAGAGAACAAGAACACACUUCAAGCUUCUGAAAUACAACACACUUACAUUGCAAAAUCUUUACUUGAGCUCUAGUACUUAUAUUUGAUUAUAUAUCUAUAUUGAGUUCAUAGUUUCGGUUGUAUUACACUCAUACAUUGUAUUGUUCAAAGUGUAAAGGUUUGUUGCUGUGUAUCGAGCUUGUGAAACAAGGGAACAAGGGGACUAGUUAGCUAGAAGAGUAUACUUGGGAAGUAUAGGUCUUGGAGAGCUUUUGGUUCGUGGUUCAGGGGUUUCAGCAAGCUGAUAACAGGAACAAGGGAUAAAGGGAGUUAUAUUAUUGAAUCAUUGUAAUCGUUAACAUUAUUGAUUAAUAAUAUAAUCUCUUACCAGUUGGUAGGGGACCAGGACGUAGACCAUUAGGGUUAGGGGUCGAACCUGGCUAAAAUUCUCUGUGUUGCUAGCUUACUGAUUAUAUCUGUUUUGCAUUGCAUCUGCAUUGUUAGCUAGCUGACUGUUUACUCUGAAAUUAACAGCAAGCUGUCUGUGACAGUUUAACUAUUCGGUAACAAUUAAAAAUCGGUCAUAUUAGCCAUAACACCUAUUCACCCCCCUCUAGGUGUGUAAUUUCAGUUUCUUUUCGUUUUCAAAUCUCACCAAUCUCAUCAUUACACAUAACAACUUCACUGGUCCAAUACCACCCGAAAUUGGAAAUUUAACAGAUGUUCAGUACCUCGACUUUAGCUAUAGUAAUCUCAAUGGUACCAUUCCAUACCAGGUUAGCCAUCUUCAGAGGUCGGUCGUCUUAGGCCUCUCAUUUAAUCACUUGAAAGCUCCGAGCUUGUCCAAUUUUUCCCCCAUGCCUAUACUGGUUGGUCGCGGUCUUAGUGGUAAUAAGCUGGCAUCAAAAUUUCCAGAAUUGAUAUCUAAUUGCUAUAACAUGAUUAACCUUGAUCUUUCAUUUAACAUGUUAACUGGUAAACCUCUGUUCUAAAAGUCGGUGAUUAAUCACCGAUUAAUCCAUGUUUCCUAGCUCGCCAAACUGAUUAAAUAUCCGAUUAUUUUAAUUAAUGUCCGAUUAAUCACCGAUCAAUGCAAUUAAUCUACAAUUAAUCCUUAUUCUGGGACUUCACCGAUUAAGCUCGAUUCCCAUUUUUUACAACGACAUAACAGUGAAUCAUGAUUAUCAAGCAUCUGUCUUGUUAACAUUGAAACGAAGAGAGCAUGAAGUGAAAGGAAUCCUUUAUAUUUACGAUGUCAACAGCCCUACUGUCAAAAUUCCUUUCAAGUCGGGGCUUUUUACGAAUAAUUGGUAAUUCAGUGUUGAACUCCGCUCAACUUAUAAUUAGAUAAUCGAAAUCAAAAAUCUUGCAAUCAACAAAUAAAUUAUUAAGAACUUGCAAUUGAGUAAUGGCCGUCAAGUCACUUAACAAUACUAACCGGAAACUAACGUGACGGGCUGAUAUGUUUAAAAAAAUGCAUGAUGACUAUAUACUUGAUGUUUACGACCCUAACUAAAAUAUCCAACAAAUAAUACAUACAACCUGAUCUAAUAAUGUAAUACCUCUACUUAAGUAUAUUUUUAUGCCAAAUAUUUAUAGAUUUGUUUUUACAAAAAUGAUUAGAGACUUUGUAUAUACAAAAAUUGAGAAUUAUUGCUUGACUAGACGAAAAUAGGUGAGUUAUGAUUAUAAUAAAUAUUUAUUUCUACGAUGUAGUUUUUAUUAGUUAUAUAUAAAAAAAAUCUUGCUAUAUUUUGAUACUAGUGCAAUGAUUACUUCAAUUUAUUUUUUAUGAGAGUUACUAAGAUAUAUGACCAACUCAUCUUGCACUCGUAUUAAUUGUCUUAUAUAAUAAUAAUAAGAAAAAUAUGAGGCGGUGCUUAGUCAGAUGAUUUUAGUUGUUAAAAUAUUUUUUUGUUAUUUAUAGAUAGUGAAACAUGUCUAAUAUUUUAUCAAUUUUGUUUCGUUUCUUGAGAUUUCCAAAUAUUUAUUAGGACAUUGUACCAUGGUGUAUUUCAAGAUAUUAUUGUUAUUUAGAUAAUUAGUCAUAUUCAAUGAAUUUUGAGGACAAAAUUUAAAUAAGAGGAGAACAAUGUCAUAUCUCACAUAUUAGCAGUUUUAAUUAUUUUAUAUUUUUAUUUUAAAGAUAAGAUAAAGUUUAUUUAUUUAUUUGUUUUUAUCUUAAAAGCGAUUUUGAGUACUUUGUUUGAGUUAGAUAUAUACUUCUACUGUGGUUCAACUAGUUUUGCCGUCAGUGAAUAAUUUCCGGUCAAUAUUUUGAAAUUUGUUGUUAUCUUCUAAUUAAGAUAAGGGGUUAAAUAGCUUUUGAAAAAUGUGAAAAAAAUCAAAAAAAUUGGGAAACCAAAAGUGGCAAGCUUUUUUUUGUUCUUUUCAAAUUUUCUAAAAUCUGGGGAAAAAAGAACUUGCCACCUAAUUUUUUCCAAAUUUUUUCAAAUUCUUUUCAGAUGUUUGAAUUUUUUCCCAAUUUUUUCCUUUUUUUUUGAAUUUAUUAAGAUUUUUUUUGUUUUUUCUGCUUAUUCUGAAUUUUUUAAGAUUUAUUCGCAUUUUUUUUCAUAUUUUUAAAAAAUAUUUUUGAAAUUUCCGUUAAGUAAUUAAUGGAACUGACAGAGAGUGAUGCUUUUGAAAGUUUUUAAUUAUUUGAUGAUGCAUCUGAAAAUUUUUCAACAACAUGAUUCAGUUGCAAAUUUCCGGCGAGGUUAGUGAUAAAUUAGCUAUUUAACUCUUAAUAAAAUCUAUCUUAACAAUAUUAUAAAUAUUAUUGUUAUGGGUUCGAUGAGUCGUGUAAAACAUGGAAGAAGUUUAGGUGGGGUAAAAAGAGCCUAGCUGGGUGAUUUCCAUUCUGUUAUACGUGAUAUACUGUAGUUGAUCAUCUCCUUUGUCCGCUUCAUCCUGUGCAACCUUAACCUUUAAGGUAAAACUUAUGAGAUUCUCUGGAGCAUCUAAGGGGCCGUUUGGACAAACUUAAAAGAAGUGACUUCUUGCUUAAACUAGAGAAGUGGAGUAGAAGUGAGAAGUAAAUUAGUUAAUAAAGUGUUUGGAAAAAAAGCAGAAGCCAGAAGCAUCUUCGGCUUCUGUCAAACAAACAGGGCCUAAAUUUUUGUGUGAAAAAUGUUAGUCUCAAAUUAUUUUUCCUAAAAUGCUUACAUGUUACAUUUUAUAUGUAUGUCCUGUCUUUAAGUAUAAUUUAGCAUUUGUAUUUAGUAUUGUGUAAAAGUAAUUCAUUUUAUUCCGUCUUAUUAAAAAUAUAAUCAUGUUAUGCUGUAAAAGUAUUUGUGAAUUUCUUUGUUGCAUAUGUGUUUAAAUUAUUUUAUUUAUAUAUGUUUUACAAUUUUUACAAAUGUAUAGGUUGAGUAUUGCAUAAGAAUAUAAUUACACUCACAACUGUUAUGCGUGCAUGUAUAUUGCCGCUAAGUUUUAAACUUCUUACGAACCGGAAUAAUUUUGACAGAUGUGUGGAACUUGAUUAAUUUAGUUGCACUACAAGAGAAAGCGUUUUUACCAAUAGAAAUUGCUAAGGGAAAUUAGUCCGUCGGUAAUUUCCAACGAAUUUGUAACAAUUUGACUGGUCAAUGUUCUGCCAAUCAAUUCGCAACGAAAUACCCACGCUUAUUUACCAACGAGAUGUUCUGUUAGGAAAUAUAGCCACAUAAUGGAAUAAUAACAACAGCCCAAAGAAUGAGCAACAGACUAGCAACGAAAGCAUCUGUUACUACGUUCGUUGAUAUUCCGUUUAUAAAUACUAACAGUUCCGUUAGUAGUUAUUAGUUUUACAUUGGCAAUUGAUAUACACCAGAUGAGCACAUACACGGAUACAAUGCCAGUCUCUUAGUUGAAAUGUGUGUAAUGCUAAAGCCCAAUGAGCUUUAGUUGAUUAAAUUGAUUUGAGUUGUAGAAAAAAGCUAAUAAUAUAAUGGAUUUUGAUAUAUGUAUUGUAAAUAUUAAGUAAUUCUCUUGAAUUUAUAUAUGUAACAUAAUUGUUAAUUGGUUCAUCCUUGACUAGAAAUUUUAUAUUACAUUCUUAACUACAAAUUUUGUAUUUAAAAUUGUUUUAAAAAAUCAACUUUUAUUUGGCAUGUGGAUUUUGUAGUCAAAUGCGGUCAAUUUACUUAGCCUUUGAUCGAAUACCAACCUGAAACAUAAAAAUAUUUUUUAAUCAUUUAUUUUCGACGAUCCAACUAUAUUCUAUAAUUGUAAUGUGAUAAUAUUGAUUACAAAAUUUAAAAAAAAAAAUUAACCUUUUAUUUGGUAUGUGCAUUUUGUAGUCAAAUGCAAUUAAAUUACUUAGUCUUUAGUGAAAUCUUUACUCGAAACAUAAAACUUUUUCUUAAAAAAAAAUUGGACGAUCCAACCGUACAAAUGUUAUUGCAACGUGUUAAUAUUGGUUAAAAUAAAUUUUAAGAAAAUAUGUCUUUUAUUUGGUGUGUGGAUUUUGCGGUCAAAUAACUUAGCCUUUAAUUGAAUACUUACCCAAAACAUGAAACUAUUUUUUUUAAAUCAUUUCGGACGAUCCAACCGUACGGGUGUUAUUCUAACAUGAUAAUAUUGAUUAUUUUUUUUAAAGAAAAAAUAUAGCCUUUUAUUUGGUGUGUGGAUUUUGUAGUCAAAUGCAGUCAAAUUACUUAACCUUUAAUGAAAUGCUUACAUUAAACAUGAAAUUAUUUUUUUUAAAAUCAUUUGGAUGAUCCAAUCGUACGGAUGUUAUUAUGACAUGUUAAUUGAUUAAAAAAAAUAUUUAAAAAAUUGCUUUUUAUUUAGUGUGUGGAUUUUGUAGUUAAAUGCUACUUGGCCUUUAAUCGAAUACUUAACCGAAACAUGAAACUAUUUUUUUAAAAACCAUUUUGGACAAUCCAACCGUACGGAUGUUAUUGUAACAUGACAAUAUUGAUUGUUUUUUUAUAUAAUAACUUUUAUUUGGUGUGUGGAUUUGUAGUCAAAUUACUUAGCCUUUAAUCGAAUACUUACCUGAAACAUGAAACUAUUUCUUAGAAAAUUAUUUUAGAUGAUUCAACCAUACAGAUGCUAUUAUAACGUGAUAAUAUUGAUUAUUUUUUUUAAAAAAAUUAGUCUUUAAUUUGGUGUAUGAAUUUUAUAGUAAAAUGAUGUCAAAUUACUUAGUCUUUAAUGGUAUAUUUAUUAGAAUUAUGAAACUAAUUUUAAAAAUUUAGUUUGGACGAUCCAAACUGUAUGAAUGUUAUUUUAACAUGUUAAUAUUGAUUAAAAUUGUUUAAAAAAAUUUAGUGUUCUUUUAUGUGUGAAUUUUUAGUCAAAUAUGAUAAAAUAUUUAUUUAGCCUUUAAUGAAAUAUUAAAAAUCCCUACUUUAAAAGAAACUUGUCUAAAACUACCUAUACGCGUUAGAGAUUCAUCGAUUUAGUUAUCAAAUUAGUUAUAAUUAGGGUUUUACUCCGCUUUUCUCUGGUAUGAUGUUGAUUUUUGGGGUUCGAUUGGUCGACUUUCAUGUUUUAUAAGUUAUGUGAGUUCGAUUUUGAUGUUUUUACAAUUAGGUUUAUGUAUGUUUUUAUACGGGUUUUCAUGUUCAUGUUUUGAUUUGUUGAUUUCCUAUUUUUCCUAUUUGUUGAUUAGUUAUUUGUGUGGGUUUUGGAUUUUGAUGUGUGUGUAUGUAAUCUCCUGUAUUUUUUUUCAUUUUUUCUGGUUCGAACUCUUCGAUUAGUAGAUGAAAAAAACUGAUGCGGCAGUAGCGGCUAGCAAGGAGAUGGAUAACAAGAAAAGGACGAUUUUGAGGUCCUCUCGUGCAAGUCUUCAGGUAUAAUUUUGUUCCUUUAUGUUUUUAAUUAACAUAAAUUUUCACAUUUGCUGAUUAUAUUAUGGGGGAUUCUGGGUAUACUUGUAUAUAAUCUAGCAAGUAAUUAUAGUUCUGAAUGGGAAGCUUAUUGUGAAAUUAAAUUGAGGAAUAAGUUGUGUUAUUGGUUCUGGUGGAUUAAAUUUAUGUUAACACUUGAUAUAUGCAUUGAUGUCGUAAAAUAAGUUGUACAUCGAACUAUUUGGCUUGUUUAAGUUGUAUGGAGUAUGGUUGCCAAGCAUUGGUUGGUUGUACACGUAUAAACAAAAUGAUAUUUUAAUAUUUGAACAAAACAAUACAGAGCCCGUUUGGCUGAACUUGUAACUCAUAAAUUAACGUGAUUUAUGAUUUAACGUGACUUAUCUAAUAAGCUGAGAGUUUUAAAAUGUCUGUUUGGAUAAUUUUGACUUAUCAACGAUUUAUGGGUCAUUAAAAAUAUAAAAAUAAAAAUUAAAGUGUUUUAUGAGUAGGUUAUGAUUUAUGGAUAAUUUUUAUAUAAAAAAAAGUUCAAAAAAAUUAAGUUACUGGAAAAAUACCUCAAACUAAUUUCAGGCUUUAAGUCAGCUUCUGAUUUAUUAGUUUUUAAGUUUAAGCCGGCUUCUGACUUAUUAAAGCCAUCAGAAUAAUUUUAAACCGCAGCUCUAAGCUACGACAAACGGGCUCACAGUCAUAAACAGAUCGUGUCGGGCUGGACUGAUUGUGAUUUUCCUUUUUGGAACUCGUACUCGGCAUGUUCCACGCGAAUGAUAUUUAGAAGUAUACUCCAUGUCAUAAUAAGAGUUCUUUAAAUUUUUUAUAUGUAAUUUGAAGUAUAAAAAAAAUAUUUUAACAUAAUAUUUUUAAUUUUUUAUACAUAAAAAUAUAACAUCUAUAUUUUUAUUUAGAAAAAAAAAUUUGAAAAAUAAUAUAUAGAUGCAUGUUUUUUUUAUACGUGAAAUUACAUGUAAAAAUCAAAAGACUUUUAUUUUGAGUAAGAGAGAAUAUGAUGUACCAUAAAGUCAUCGAUUUUUUGUUAUCAAAUGAAUGUGAUAGUUAACUAUUUAAGAGCAAGUCCAAAAGUGUUCUAGUUCAUGCUCUAAAUAUAAUAUAAAAUAUUAUGUCCUAGUGAUUUGGGACAUAUUUUACUAACUUGGACUUCAACAAUGAGUCUUAAGGCUCAUUUGUUUUGAGCUUAACAUUGCUGAACGGAUUCCAGCUUACUGAUUAAUGCGAGUUCAGAUUGUUUGGCGACCAUAUUUUAUAAGCUUACCGAUUAAUGCGAGUUUAGAUUGUUUGACGAUCAUAUUUUAUAUUCUGAAUUGUUCAUAUACAGCUGAGCGGAUCAGUCUAAAGUGGGUGAAAGAAUCAUUCAGCGCCAUCCUUAUUAGCUUAUAAUACUGUAUGUCAACUUCAAUCUUAUAAAAAUAUAUUUUAUUUGUUUACUAUAUUUUAUAUAUAUGUUGAUUUUAUCCCAAGUUUUGUUCGUAUCAACUGAAAAUAAUAACUCUUUCAAAAAAUUAAAAAUAAUAUAAUAAUAAUCGAUAUAAUUUUUAACUUUAUAAUUAUUUUGAAUAAUAAUAUGUGAAUUUUUUUUAUAUGUCUAAAUAAGUUUUCAUCUUAUUAAAAAUCAAGUGAUAUAUAUUUUAUUCAAGUGAUAUAUAUUGUUUUAGUGAUAAAAAAGUUCACUAAAACAAUUUAUCAUAUUUAUAAUAUAUUAUUCAGAUAUUUCAAAUAUUAUUCAUCAAACAAUAUUAUUCAUUCAGAAUUCAGAUGAUUCAUCCGUUAAGAUCAUUCAGGUAUAUUAAUCAUUCAAUUCAGAUUUGCCAAAUGACCCCUUAUUCUCACACGAUGUUUAAUAUUUUAUUAUUAGAGAGAGAAAAGGAGUGUUGAUAAGAAUUAAUAACAAAAUAUGGACAGGGUAAGGAAAGAUGUACCUCAAAAAUAGGACUUGAGAAGGUUGUCCCAGUGAUAUAAGGCAUCACUAGGACAUUGUUGGAUCAAUUUUUUACAUCAAAUGCCUUAAAUAACAACUUAGGACGACAUAUAUGGAAAUUGUUGGACUUGCUCUAAGUUGUUACUCCUUCCAAGUAUAAAAGAUGAGUAAAGUUAAAUGAAGACGUGGUAAAAUAAUGUGACCUAUUUAUAUUUAAUAAUACAUUUGAAAUAGUGGAGGAAAGUAACAUGUGUAAUAACGUUUAUAUUAUUAUUGCAUAUAGAUAAGAAGAAAGCAAUGGGUAUAAAAGUGUAUUAUAUUAUUAAAAUUAUUAUUUUUAAAAUGUUUAGAAAUAAUGGGGCAUCCAAAAAGAAAACUGUAUAGAAAUGAAAAAGGAAAUACAAUUCAAAAAGUCAUAUAUCUAAAUUCAAACUAGGUAAUAUAUUUAUGAAUUAUAUUAAAAAAAAUAUUUGACAUUCAAAUAUAAAAAUUUAUUUUAUCAUCUCAACAAUGAAUAUUCGAUUAUUAACUUUCGUAAAUAACAUUAAUUUUUCAUUAUAAUAUACUCUAAACUUUUAUUUUAUGUGCCUGUUUGUUUACGAGAAGCUGGAAUUUACUUCUCUUGACUCGUUUGUGUAAAAAAGUAAAAGGUGCUUUUAAAAAGUACUGAGAACGAAAUGGAAGUAGAAAAUGCUAGCUUUUCUUUAUAAUAUCUAUUUCUUUUCCAGACAUUUUAAUAAUUUAUAAUUAUUAAUUUAUUUGUCAUUUCUACUUAUUUUUUUUAGAGAACUUUUUUUAAACUAACCGGCUCCUAUAACUAGUAAUUACUUCUAAAUCACAAAUUACUGAUAAAUCAUCACUUUUAUUAUUAUUAUUAUUAUUAUAUUUUUAAUAACUCAUAAAUUAUUAAUAAGUCAAAAUUAGUCAAACAGAUAUUUUUAAGUUGAGCUUAUGAGAUAACUAACGUUAAGUCUUCUGAGCCCCCAUUGGCUCACAAUUGGCCCAAAAAAUAUUUGGUUAUGCAUUGCUAUUCACACACUUAGACAUCAAAAUUUAUCAUCCGACAGCUAACUGCACACUAUUUUUCCCACAAGCUCAAAAAUCAACGAUCAAUUAAUUUUUUCUUAUCAAUUACUAAUAAAGUUAUGAUUUCACGUACACGGCAGGCAAAAUGCUAAUAAAUAGACGAGUGCAGUAUAGUAUGGGUUCAUGAUCCCCUUGAGAUUUAAUUGAAAAAUAUUAUGGUGAUAUAGAUUAAAUUAAAUUAUAAUAUUUUGAAAAGUUAUAAAUAAUUUUAAUUACUAAUAAUAUUUAUUUGUACAUUUAAAUAUUUUUAUAAAAACACAAUAAUAGCAUUAUACUCAUUUAAGUUUCUCGUAUCCGCCUCCUCUUCUUGGAGAUUGUGGAUUUGCGAUAUUUGUAUUGAUUAUUAUAGGAAAAUGUUAUUUUCAGAGCAAACAUUUUUAUUUCUGGAGCAAAUUCAAUUCCCACUUCCUUGUCCUUGUAGCUACAUAAAUCAUACAACUUCAAUACAAACUUUUCCAAAUUGUUCUGGAAAUUAAAAAAUUGAUAUGGAUAUAACAAUUCCCUUAUUAUAUCCUAUGUAUAUUACAUUAAUGCAAUUAACAUGGUUGGUUGUUUUAGUAUAUAAUUAUAUUAGUGUGGCCUUUUAGUAUAUAAUUAUAUUAUUUUUGUUAUAUUUUAUGCAUCUAGAAACAAUUUUUUUAUGAUAUUUAUUAUAUUAAUUAUAGUAAAAGAUAUAAUUUUGUUUAAAAAAUUGAAUAAAACUAAGAGGGAUAGCCUACGUCUCUCCGAGUCUUCGAGGACUCAUUCCAAGUCCGCAGAGGACCACCGCCUCAACCUUUAAGAGAUGUGAAAGUAGCUUGAGAGAGACAUAAAUUAAUGUUUGAUAAUAAAAUUUAAUAAUCAAAUAAAUUAAAUUAAAUUAAACUAGUUUAUAGUAAUCGAUUAAAAAUAUAUAAAUCAAAAUUAUUCCUGAAUUAUGAUAACAAUUAAAAUCAUAUUAAAAGUUGCAAAAAUCAAACCCAAAUCGAACAAAUUCCCCUAACACUAAAAUGUAGUUGCUUUAUUGUAGAUAAAAACAGUAUAAUAAUCGUAUUGAUGAAAAAUCAAAUUCAUCAAAUAAGUUUAUAAAAAAUACAUGAUUUUAGUGUGUUGUAUUAGUAGUGUGUCCACGCAUUUAUAUAUUAAAAUCUAUCCUCUAAAAACUAUCGAUCUAUUUACACAACUAUUGAUCUGUCGUGCAACAAAUUCCACGGAGAAGUUCCAAAGAGAGCUUAAAUGGCUUGCAUUGCUCAAUCUAUCUCAUAAUAGUCUUAACGACAUAUGUUCUGAAUUAUUAUUAUGCUUUCAACAAUAUUUUCAAACAUUUCUUAAUAUGUAUUUUCAAAGAAUUAAGAGAAUGCACAAAAAUUAAGAGAGAUUGCUCUGGGUCUCCCCAAGCCUUUCAGGACUCAUUCCAAGUCUUCCUAGGACCACUGCCUCACCCUUUCAAAGAUGUGAUAAUAGCUCGAGAGUAAUAUAAAUUAAUUUACGGACACUAAAAAUAAAAAAUCAGAUCAAAUUAAUCAAUAAUAAAUUAAGGAUGAAAUCCAAAUUAAUCCUAAAUUUUGAUAAUAUAUAAAUAUUAUAAUUAUAAAUUAUAUAACCAAAUCAGAAUUGAAUUAACUUACUUGGCACUAAAAUUGAUAAAGACAGAAUAAUAAUUUAAUCGAUGAAAAGUCAAAGUCUUCUAAUAAAUCCAUAAAAGAUAUGAUAAUCCAAAUAACACACUUAUAUAUCAAAAUUUAUGGUCCAAAAACUAUAGCAAAAUAUCCUAAAUACACCACAUUAAAUAAUAGUUCAAAAAUAUUCAAUAAACAAUUGUUUUCAUUCAUAAUUUUGUUAUUUUAAAAACUAAUAAUUUGGUUGAUGUUAACCUAUAUUUUAAUAUAUAAUUAUAUUAUUUUCAUCUUAUUUUAUUUAACCAGAAACAAUAUUUUUAUAAUAUUUAUUACUUUAUUUAUAUUAAAAUAUAUAAUUUCAUUAAAAAAAUUGAAUAAAAUUAAGAGAAUAACUCUAUGCCUCUCUAAGUCUACAAGACUCAUUUCAAGUCUACCGAGGACUACUACCUCAACCAUCGAGAGAUGUGAAAGUAUAGUUUGAGAGUGACAUAAAUUAUUUUCCUGACAAUAAAAUUUAAUAUCUAAUAUAAAUUAAUUAAAUUAGAUAAUAAUAAAUCAAAACUAAUUAUGAAUUAUGAUAAUAAUUAAAUAAAUUAUAAUUAAAUUAUAUAAAUCAACUCCAAAUGUACAAAUAACACUAAACCUUGGUUACUUUGUUGGUAAAUAAAUAUAAUAUAAUAAUCAAAUUGAUGAGAAAUCAAAAUCAUCUAAUAAAUUCACAAAAAAUAUAUAAUCAGUAUAUUAUAUUAGUAUCCACACACUUAUAUUUCAAAAUCUAUCCUCCGAACUUAUCAUCUCUGUAAACUACCCACAUAAAAUAAAAAUUUAAAGAUAUUAGAUAUUUAGUUAUUUUCAUUAUAUAUAAUUUUUCCACACUAAAUAACAAAAUAUCUUUAUCAAAUUAUUAUUUAUAAGUUUUUUGAAUAUCAGAUUCAUAACCCAGUUGAUCAGGAGAAACAUGGCCUACUCUGCAAAGCCUUCUCACCUUCUUCUCUUUGUUUUCUUUCUCUCAUCACUUGAAUCCAUUCUUGCAACAACACAAGAGGGAGAAGCUCUUGUGAAGUGGAAGAAUAGCCUAGCCCCUUCUUCUUUUCUCGACUCUUGGUCACUCACCAAUCUCGAAAAUCUUUGUAACUGGACUGGCAUUACUUGUAACUCUGCAGGUUCAGUCUCGGAGAUUAACCUUUGUGAGAAACAACUUGAUGGAAUGCUGUCCGAGUUUGGUUUCACUUCAUUUCCAAAUCUCAACAAUCUCAUCCUCGCAGAUAACUUCUUCUCGGGUCCCAUACCACCGGCCAUUGAGAAUUUAACACAGCUUCGAUUUCUUGAUUUAAGCUUUAAUUCUCUCCAUGGUCCCAUUCCGUUCCAGGUUAGCCAUCUUCAGAGCUUGCUCAUCUUAAACCUGUCACAGAAUGCAUUGCAAGCUCCAAAUUGGUCCCAUUUCUCUCCCAUGCCUUUCUUGCGCAUCCUCAACCUCAGUUACAAUCCUCUUGCGUCGAAAUUCCCAUAUUUUAUAUCCAAUUCUCAUAGCCUGACUCACCUUAGCCUUAAUUAUAACGAGUUUACUGGUGAUUUAGUACGUGAAUCAGUAUUUGCCAAUCUGCAUAAUCUUGAAGUGCUCAGUCUUGUUGGCAAUUCUUUUGAGGGGCCAUUUCCGCCGGAUGUAGUCCAGCUUUCCAAAUUAAAACGUCUCUUCCUGUCAGGUAACAAAUUUUCAGGUUCAAUUCCCAAUGACAUAAGGUUGCUUUGUGAUCUUGAAUACCUAUAUUUAGGCAACAAUUCCUUUGAAGGACCGCUUCCACCAAAUAUAUUCAAGCUUUCAAAAUUAAAAAAUCUUGUUAUUUGGAGUAAUAAGUUUUCAGGUUCUAUUUCCAAUGAUAUAGGUUUGCUUUCUGAGCUUGACACCCUCAAUCUUCGCUCUAAUUUUUUUAAGGGUCCGCUUCCGUCAAAUAUAUUCAAGCUUUCCAAAUUAACAAGUCUUGACCUCGCAGACAAUAGAAAUUUAUUUGAAGGAAGUAUUCCUAUUGGACUGGGACUCUUGACUAACCUCAGGUUCUUAGAUCUACAUUCCAGUAAUCUCAGUGGCUAUAUUCCAUCUGACAUUGGAAACCUGAAGCUACUAGUACUUCUUAAUCUCGGUUCUAAUAAAUUGACUGGACCGCUUUUAAAGAUCGUUUCUAAUCUCACAAAUCUUAUAUAUUUUGAUGUAAGUGAUAAUAGUCUUCGUGGAAAUAUUCAGAGUGACUUGUGGAUAUAUAACGAUCAUCCAACUUUGGAAUACAUCAAUUUAAGUGGGAACCAUUUUACGGGUAUAGUUUUUCUCUAUAGAUCUUUUCCUUUUGUCAUAUGUAACUAAGCUAGUAAUCUGGUUAUUGCAGUUUUACCAAAGUUUCAACAAUCUUGACAGGUGAGCUUCCAACAACAAUUUGCAAUGUCACUUCCCUUUCAAUUCUUGAUUUGUCAAAUAAUGAAUUAAGUGGUGCACUUCCAAACUGUUUCGGGAAUCUUGCUGAUGGAUUGCUUUACAUUAAUCUUGCUAAUAAUCAGUUUCGAGGAACAAUACCAACUACUUUCUCCAGGAGUUGUCAGCUGACAUAUCUAAACAUGGAUGAUAAUGAGUUUGAAGGAUUGUUGCCCCCAUCUUUGGCGAACUGUAAGCACUUGAAAAUUUUUGAUAUUGGCAAUAAUAAAAUAGGUGGUACAUUUCCGUCAUGGCUUUAUGCACUUGGAGAGCUAGAAGUCCUUGUCUUGCGAUCAAAUAAACUCUGUGGUACAAUAAGUGGAAGGAGCAUAGAAGAUCCCUUCCCCAAGUUGCGGAUUGUGGAUCUGUCCAACAACCACUUCACAGGCCAUUUGCCAAUUCAAUACUUUAAGAAUAUGAAAUCAACUGAUAAUUUGUAUAGUUAUCAGCUUUUCACAGCAGUUUUUUCUUUCCAUUAUGAAGCAGCAGUCUCAUUAAUUGUGAAGGGAACAGAGUAUGAAGUGGCAAAUAACCUUCAUAUUUACACAGCCAUUGAUCUGUCGUGCAACAAAUUUCAGGGAGAAAUUCCAAAGGUUACUGGAGAGCUUAGAUGGCUUGCAUUGCUCAACUUAUCUCAUAAUAGUCUAACAGGACCUAUCCCAUCAUUGCUGGGAAAUAUGAAAGAACUCCAAUCUUUAGAUUUGUCUUCAAAUCAACUGACAGGGGCCAUUCCACCUCAGCUAACUGCAUUGACAUUUCUAGAGGUCUUAAACCUCUCGGGAAACCAUCUUAGUGGAGAGAUUCCUCAGAAAGGACAGUUCAGCACAUUUAACAAUGAUUCUUAUCUAGGAAACUCCGCGUUAUGUGGAUCACCUUUGACGAAGAAAUGUGCAAACACAGCAUCACCUCCACAAGAAGUCGGAAAUGGUGAUGAAGANGAUUUGUCUUCAAAUCAACUGACAGGGGCCAUUCCACCUCAGCUAACUGCAUUGACAUUUCUAGAGGUCUUAAACCUCUCGGGAAACCAUCUUAGUGGAGAGAUUCCUCAGAAAGGACAGUUCAGCACAUUUAACAAUGAUUCUUAUCUAGGAAACUCCGCGUUAUGUGGAUCACCUUUGACGAAGAAAUGUGCAAACACAGCAUCACCUCCACAAGAAGUCGGAAAUGGUGAUGAAGAAGAUGGUGGUGAUGAAUUGACAUGGGAAGCAAUCGUGAUGGGAUAUGGAUGUGGACUGAUAUGUGGAUUGUCAUCGGCAUACAUUGUUCUCAAACUAGGAAAGCCUUGGUGGUUUGUGAGAUAUAUCGAAGUACUGCAACAGAAGUUGAUGAAAAGAUGCUUGAAGAAAGGUACUGGUCGAUCAAGACGAACUUGAAAGUUGUUGUCCAUGUGGACAUUUCUGAACCAGUAGUGUACUAGCUGCAUAAGUAUUUGGUAUUAUGUAAUAUUCUGUUUGGUGGGGAAUCAUAAUAAUUUUUCUUCCUGUAGGGGUAUUAAUAUUAACCUUGUUAUCUUGAUCAAUGUUAAUGCAAAUUAAAAUGAAUGAAAAAACAAAAAAUAUGCAUCAAAUCCACUCCUGCUGUACCAAGAUCCAUUAAUUUGCUUUGGUCUUUUACAUAACAAUUUAACAGCGCACUUCCCCACUGUUUGAAAGAAUUUAAUAAUAAACUCGAGUUUUCCAGGACUGCACCAAGUUCACAUAUUCAAUAUCACACAUUCCAGUCUCAGCUUCAGCUCCCAGGGUAGAAGAGAAGUUUUAUGUACAAUAACAGUUAAUUACCAUAGCUACUUUAGUCUUGGUUCAGUUUUUGCAGAGAUAAUUACCAGAUUUUGAAAUCCUUCAUGUGAGGAAACAAAUAUCGAGAGACAUUUCUGUUUACAAAUAUAGGUUUUCUAGACAUAAUUACAGGAACUUUUACCAUUAUACACUUUUAUAGUACUGGUUAAGAGUUUGUUGUUCAGCCUAGUGAAAGAAAUAAUUCCUCUGCUAUUUCAUUAACAUUGCUGGUAUAUAUACAAUGUACAACACACCCUUCAAGGCUAUAAUCAGGGAACCUAAAAUAUAUCCAAAACUAAUCAUAGAAACAGACUAACUAAUUACAAUAAAUCAUAUCCAGAAAUAUCUCCACAGAUGUCGCAUAGAUAUCUUUAACACACCCCCUCAGUCGAAGCGGGAGGUAAACGAACACUGAGACUGUCUCUGAAGUCUUCAAAAAGAACACGCGGAAGACCUUUUGUAAAAAUAUCUGCUACUUGAUAUCUGGAUGGCACAUGAAGAACCCGUACUUCACCUCGUGCAACUUUUUCCCGAACAAAGUGAAUAUCCAUCUCAAUGUGUUUAGUACGUUGGUGUUGUACUGGAUUACCCGAUAAAUAAAUAGCACUGACAUUGUCGCAAUACACCACAGUUGCCUUUGUAACUGGACAAUGCAAUUCCAACAACAGAUUUCGGAGCCAACAUGAUUCAGAGACCACAUUAGCUACACCCCUAUACUCGGCCUCUGCACUGGAUUUGGAAAGAGUCGGUUGUCGCUUAGAAGACCAGGAAAUCAAGUUGUCACCCAAAAACACACAAUACCCAGAUGUAGACCGCCUCGUGUCGGGGCACCCACCCCAGUCAGCGUCAGUAUAUGAAACAAGAGAGGACUGUGAAGAGGAAUAGAGAUGUAAACCAUAGUCCUGUGUUCCUUGAAUGUACCUAAUGAUUCUUUUAAGAGCUUGCAUAUGAGUAACCCGUGGAUCAUGCAUGUGCAGACAUACUUGUUGAACCGCAUAAGAAAUAUAUGGACGUGUGAAAGUCAGAUAUUAAAGUGCCCCAGCAAGACUCCGAUACAAUGAAGGAUUCUCAAACACAGAACCAACAGACGCACUAACCUUGGCCUUCGUAUCAACUGGUGUAGGUGAUGAUUUACAAGAGGACAUGCCAGCCCUCUCAAUUAUCUGUUGUGCAUAAUUCUUCUGUGACAGAAACAUGCCAGCCUUAUGACGAGUGACUGAUAUACCAAGAAAAGAACUCAAGGGGCCAAGAUCCUUCAUAGCAAAUUCUGAACUAAGAAGCUUUAUAAUCGAGACACGGAGAUCAUCAGACGACGCAGUGAGAAUUAUGUCAUCGACGUAAACCAGAAUAUAGGCCAUGUGAGAACCGUUGCGAUAAACGAAUAAUGAGGUGUCACAUUUGCUUCUAAUGAAACCAAUAGACAGAACAAAAUCAGCAAACUUCUCAGACCAAGUCCGGGGGGACUGCCUCAGGCCAUAAAUUGAUUUACGUAACAAACACACAUAAUCCGGAUGAGCACGAUCACGAUACCCCAAAGGUUGAUGCAUAUAUAUUGUUUCCUUUAAGUCACCAUGAAGGAAGGCAUUCUUUACAUCUAGCUGAUGAAUUGACCAGCCAUUCGAAAGAGAGAGAGAAAGCACUGUGCGGAUUGUAGCUGGUUUCACUACCGAGCUAAAAGUUUCGCCACAAUCAAUACCCACCAGCUGAGUUUUUCCAUUUCCGACAAGGCGAGCUUUAUGCCUCUGAAACACACCAUCCGAAUUUUCUUUAUGAGCAAAAACCCACAUAGACCGAAUAACAUUAACAUCAGGUGGACGGGGCACCAAAUCCCAUGUCUUAUUUUGAAUAAGUGCAUUAUACUCCUCAUCCAUGGCUAUUUUCCAAUUCGGGUCCCGAAGAGCAUCAACAGGGCUAUGUGGUAAAGGUGACCGAGGAGCUGUUGUGUUAUAUGCAUGAUCAGAAUAUCGCAUAUUUGGUUUAAAAAUACCUCGUUGGCUCCUGGUAACCAUUGGGUGCUGGUUUAUAGGAGUAGGGGAAGAUGUUGAUGUUUGUGGACUCGAGGAGGAAGAUGAACUCAAUGAGGAGGGAGAUGGCGACGUUGAUGAAAGUAAGGGAGAGGAGGAUUGGUUUGAGAGUACUGGACUCGGUGAAAGAGAAUGAGGAGAACUCCCAGGGGAAGGUGAGAAACUACCAUGUCGUGUCUCAUGUGUGUGAGUACUGUCUGGGUGAGCAGACACAGACACAGAAGGACUUUGAUUUUGCAGAUGAUACACUGAAUAAGGUGAUAAGCCAUCUGCUAAAAAAUCAUAGGUAGAAGUGGAUGAAUCAUGUAACUUAGCAAACGGAAACACAUGCUCGUCAAAUAACACAUGGCGACAAAUUAUAAUCUGUGCUGUGAUGAUAAAUCAUAACAUUUGUAACCACGGUGAUUAGCCGGAAACCCCAAGAAAACACAAGGUGUUGAACGAGAUUGCAAUUUAUUAAUUGUGGUAGAGGGAAUGAGAGGAUAGCACAAGCAACCAAAGACCCGAAUGUGAGAAAAUGAGGGAACCCGUUGAUAUAGGAUUUCAAGAGGUGAUAAAUUGCCUAAGACCUUGUUCGGAAGAACAUUUAGAAGAUAGGUGGCCAUUUGUAAUGCAUGAUUCCAAAAAGAUGAAGGAAGAGAUGCAUGAGCUAAGAGUGUUCGAGUGACAUUAUUAAUAGUUCGAAUUUUUCUUUCUGCUUUCCCAUUUUGAGAAGAAGUAUGAGGACAAGACAACCGAAAAGUCAUGCCAUUGUUCUUAAAAAAAUCCCAGAAAUGAUGAUUAGUAAAUUCCCUCCCAUUAUCGCAUUGCACAUUUUUAAUGGUACACUCGAAUUGGGUGAGAAUAUGAUUGUGAAACGCCACAAAUUUAUCAAAGACAUCAGAUUUCUUAGCAAUUGGAAAAGUCCAAAGAAAAUUGGAGAAAUCAUCUAAUAACACAAGAUAGUACUUAUGACCCAUAGUACUCAAAACCGGAGAUGUCCAAAGAUCACAAUGAAUUAUAUCAAAUGGCUUUAAAGUACUUGAACUAGACGAAACAAAUGGCAUCUUGAUAUGUUUUCCAAACACACAAGAUCGACAAAUGCUAGAAUGUGAAAGCUUAGAACAAUGAAUGCUUUUAUUGAGUCGAAGAGCAUCCAAAACUUGUGCACCGGGAUGGCCUAAACGAUCAUGCCAAAGAGAGGAAUUGAUGGCUGCAAAAGUAGAAUGAAGAGCUCGAUUGUUGAUAGAUUGUGUAAGAGGAUAAAGAUCGCCUUGGCUCUCACAUCUCAUUAUUAGCACUCACGUCUGUAAAUCCUUCACAGAAAACCCAAAAGGAUCAAAUUCCACCGUAACAGAAUUAUCAGUGGUAAAUUUGCGAACAGAAAUAAGGUUUUUAACAAUUUUGGGAGCGUGGAGGACAUUUUUAAGGGACAAAGGAAGGCCAGGAGAUGGUAAUGCAGUAUGACCAUAUCCUUGAAUUGAAAUAAUAUUGCCAUCACCCACAACAAUGCCAUUAUGAUGAGAAUUAUGUUGAUUGCUCAAAUUAACAUAGGACGAGAAAUUACCAUUUGAGGAUGUCAUAUGAGAUGUAGCACCAGUAUCCAUGUACCACGACGGAUCAGGUUGAUUGAGAGUCAUGGUAUGCAUUGCAGAUUCAAUAUCCGUUGGAACAAAAGAAGCUGACUGCCCAACCGUUGUUCCUGUGAAAGCCUGCUGUGGUCGAGGACCAAGAACUCCAGGCUGUGGUUGUUGAACUCCCGUGGAACGGGGCUGAGUCCAGCCCUGAGUUGGGAAUGGACAAGGGGGAGCGGACCAUCCCUGCAUCCAAGGUGGAGCAGCCAAGAUUGGAAAUAACCCGGUGCCCACUGUUGUGAACCCCAUUGCAUCCUAUUCUGUUGUUGUCCACCACCACGGCCUUGACCCAUACGACCCCCACCAGAACCACGACCUCCACCUGAACCAGAUCGUUUAUUAUUUUUCCUGUGGUUAUUAUGCUUAUUGCCACGGGGAGGUGCGGAUCCCUGAUUCGAGCCUGUGUCGUCAAAAUCCGUCUGUGAGGCAACCAACAUUGCAGAGUCAGACCCUGUGGCAGCUUCUUUUGCUAAAGCAGCCUCCUCUAAUGUUAACAUAGACCGGGCUUGAUAGAAUUGUGGGAGAGGGUCACUCUGUCGAAUUAAGGUCCCAACACCACGGUAUGCCCUUGGAAGGCCGGAAACCAGUUGAAUAACAAGUCUACUAUCCGAGAUUGGUGCACCAACAUUUUUCAGUUGAUCAGCAAGAGAUUUGAGACGCUGACAGUAAGCCGAAACAUUCGGAAAAUUCUCCAUUUUUGUACUGGAGAAUUCAGCCUCCAAAGUUACCACACGGGAAUUCUUGUUGUCCUGGAAUAUGUCACGCAACCUGUUCCAUGCCUCCAUAGCAGUGGCAUCUGGUUCAAUGAUCGUAUGUAAAAGAUCAUUGGAGAUAGUCGCAUAAAUCCAAGACAGAACCGUAGCAUCAAGCGUCGACCACAAUUCCUUUUCAUCCUCAGUAGAAAGAACCUUCUCUUUGCCUGUGGCAGGAGGAAUAAUAUGAGAAAGCACCUUAUGAGAACGUGCGGUAAUUUUGAAAAGCUCCGCCCAUGUCGAGUAUUGACCAUUCUCCAUCUCAAGAAUAAUGGGGAUAUGAUUGCGGAUAUUUGACACCGCAAGAGCUGGAUGAAAGGAGCUCUUGUUACCAGACAUUGGCUGCUGAUUAGUUGUAUCAGUCAUGAUAAUGAGAAAAGAAAAGAAGAUGAGUGCUUAGCGGAAGAAAAGAAAGAAAGAAAGAUCGUGGUAUUGCCUUAAGGCUCUGAUACCAUGAAAGAAAUAAUUCCUCUGCUAUUUCAUUAACAUUGCUGGUAUAUAUACAAUGUACAACACACCCUUCAAGGCUAUAAUCAGGGAACCUAAAAUAUAUCCAAAACUAAUCAUAGAAACAGACUAACUAAUUACAAUAAAUCAUAUCCAGAAAUAUCUCCACAGAUGUCGCAUAGAUAUCUUUAACACCUAGUCCUAAACUAAAAUUAUCAGUUCGAUGUGAAAUACGAAAUCAUAUUGCAGACGUCAUUCGUUGUUCCACCUAGUCCAAAACUACUCUAAAACUAUAUUGCUGGUAGUCUUUCAGUUCAUCCUACUGUAUGCAAUAGUUUCAUAUAUAGGUAACUCGGCCUUGUGUGGACUUCCUUUAACAAAAAAAUGUCUGCACUCAGUGUCACCACCACUGGAAGUCGAAAAUAGUGAUGAUGAAGAUGAUGCUCAUGGUGAACUUAAUUGGGAAGUAAUCCUGACGGGAUGUGGAUGUGGAUUGAUUUGCGGAUUGUCUUCUGGGUACAUUGUUUUCAAAAUAGAAAGGCCUUGGUGAUUUCUGCAAAGUGCUGCAACUUAAGUUGAUGUUACGAAGCACGAAAAAUAUUGUUCGACCAAGAUCAACAACUUGAAAAUGUGUUCUGAAUCUGUAUUAAUAUUAAAAUAUUAUAAUAUUAUUCAUUUAACACUAUCGUCCAAUCAAUUUAAUUGAUUAUCAUUUAAUCAAUAUAUUAGAUAAAUAUUAAUUGUCUUCCUUACCUCUAACCAAUGAUGAAAUUAAUAACCUCCCUAUAAAUCUAUUAAGACAGCUUUGAGUUGUCAAAGUCCUCAAACAUAUUAAACACUUUGAAAAAUUUGUUUCUGCAAGUCAAAAUUGCAAACAACACUUUGAAAACUUAGGUGCCGAAUAGUCCUUAUAUUGGAUUAAUCAGAUUUAAAUAUUUAAUGGCGCUAACAAAAUCUGUUGAAGUUAGCAGUUAUAAGGCAUAUAAUUAGAAAAAUGGCACAGUAUAUAAAGCCUCAUCAUCUUUUUCACUCUGUUUUAUUUCUCUCAUUACUUCCAUCCAUUCUUACAACACUAGCUGAAACAAGACGAGAGGGAGAAGCUCUUGUGAAAUGGAAGAAUAGCCUAGCCCCGUCUUCUUUUCUCGAUACUUGGUCACUAACCAAUCUCGAUGAUCUUUGCAACUGGACUGGCAUUACUUGUAACUCUGCAGGUUCAGUCUCUGAGAUUAACCUUAAACAAAAACAACUCAGUGGAACGAUUUCUGAGUUUGGUUUCACUUCAUUUCCAAAUCUCAACAAUCUGAACAUAGCACGAAACAACUUUUACGGUCCAAUACCACCAGCCAUUAAGAAUUUGACACAGCUUCAAUACCUUGAUUUAAGCUUUAAUCAUCUCAACGGUUCCAUCCCGUACCAGGUUAGCCAUCUUCAGAAAUUACAAAUCUUACACCUGUCGCAUAAUGAAUUGCAAGCUCCAAAUUGGUCCAAUUUCUCUUCCAUGCCUUUUUUGCGCAUCCUCGGCCUCGGCAGCAAUAAUCUGGAGUCAGAAUUCCCAGAAUUUAUAUCCAACUCUCAUGGCCUCACUUUCCUUGACCUUUCUUUUAACAAGUUUACAGGUGAUCUUGUGCAUGAAUCAAUUUUUACCGAUCUACGUAAUCUCGAAAACCUCCAUCUUGCUAAAAAUUACUUUGAGGGGCCGAUUCUACCUAGUAUAUUUAAGCUUUCCAAUUUAAAAAUUCUUGAACUAUCAGGUAAUAAAUUUUCUGGUUCUAUUUCCAACUAUAUAGGUUUGCUUUCGGAGCUUGAGACCCUCUAUCUUGACUUCAAUUUUUUUGAAGGACCAAUUCCACCAAAUAUAUUCAACCUUUCUAAACUAAAAAUUCUUGAACUAACAGGUAAUAACUUUUCAGGUCCUGUUUCUAAUGAUAUAAGUUUGCUUUCCGAGCUUGAAAACCUCAAUCUUGCCUUAAAUUCUUUUGAUGGGCCUUUUCCAUCAAAUAUGUUCAACCUAACCAUAUUGAGACAUCUAAAUCUCUAUGGCAAUAAAAAUUUAUUUAAAGGAAGUAUCCCACUGGAUAUCAAAAUAAGUCACAAGGACUAAUUAAUUACAUCUAUGAAGCAUCUAUCUCCUUAAAUGUGAAAGGAACAGAGUAUGAAGUGAAAAACAUUCUUCAUAUUUACACAACCAUUGAUCUGUCAUGCAACAAAUUUCAUGGACAUGUUCCAAAGAGAGCUUAAUUAAAUGGCUUGCAUUGCUCAAUCUAUCUCAUAAUAGUCUUAACAGACAUAUGUUCUGCAUUAUUAUUAUACUUUCAUCAAUAUUUUUAAACANAACAAAAACAACUCAGUGGAACGAUUUCUGAGUUUGGUUUCACUUCAUUUCCAAAUCUCAACAAUCUGAACAUAGCACGAAACAACUUUUACGGUCCAAUACCACCAGCCAUUAAGAAUUUGACACAGCUUCAAUACCUUGAUUUAAGCUUUAAUCAUCUCAACGGUUCCAUCCCGUACCAGGUUAGCCAUCUUCAGAAAUUACAAAUCUUACACCUGUCGCAUAAUGAAUUGCAAGCUCCAAAUUGGUCCAAUUUCUCUUCCAUGCCUUUUUUGCGCAUCCUCGGCCUCGGCAGCAAUAAUCUGGAGUCAGAAUUCCCAGAAUUUAUAUCCAACUCUCAUGGCCUCACUUUCCUUGACCUUUCUUUUAACAAGUUUACAGGUGAUCUUGUGCAUGAAUCAAUUUUUACCGAUCUACGUAAUCUCGAAAACCUCCAUCUUGCUAAAAAUUACUUUGAGGGGCCGAUUCUACCUAGUAUAUUUAAGCUUUCCAAUUUAAAAAUUCUUGAACUAUCAGGUAAUAAAUUUUCUGGUUCUAUUUCCAACUAUAUAGGUUUGCUUUCGGAGCUUGAGACCCUCUAUCUUGACUUCAAUUUUUUUGAAGGACCAAUUCCACCAAAUAUAUUCAACCUUUCUAAACUAAAAAUUCUUGAACUAACAGGUAAUAACUUUUCAGGUCCUGUUUCUAAUGAUAUAAGUUUGCUUUCCGAGCUUGAAAACCUCAAUCUUGCCUUAAAUUCUUUUGAUGGGCCUUUUCCAUCAAAUAUGUUCAACCUAACCAUAUUGAGACAUCUAAAUCUCUAUGGCAAUAAAAAUUUAUUUAAAGGAAGUAUCCCACUGGAUAUCAAAAUAAGUCACAAGGACUAAUUAAUUACAUCUAUGAAGCAUCUAUCUCCUUAAAUGUGAAAGGAACAGAGUAUGAAGUGAAAAACAUUCUUCAUAUUUACACAACCAUUGAUCUGUCAUGCAACAAAUUUCAUGGACAUGUUCCAAAGAGAGCUUAAUUAAAUGGCUUGCAUUGCUCAAUCUAUCUCAUAAUAGUCUUAACAGACAUAUGUUCUGCAUUAUUAUUAUACUUUCAUCAAUAUUUUUAAACAUUUCUCAAUAUGUAUUUUCAAAGAAUUCUCAAGCACUUGAACAUUUGGACCGGUUCUUUCGAAGCCAAGAUGCCCAGGUUAUAUCAUGGCCAUACACAAAAAUGCCCAAAAAUAAAUAAAUUAAGAGAGAUUGCUCUGGGUCUCCCCAAGCCUUCCAGGACUCAUUCCAAGUCUUCUGAGGACCACUGCCUCGCCCUUUCAAAGACGUGAUAGUAGCUCAAGAGUGAUAUAAAUUACUUUCCGGACACUAAAAAUAAAUAAUCCGAUCAAAUUAAUUAAUAAUAAAUUAAGGAUGAAAUCCAAAUUAGUCCUAAAUUUUGAUAAUAUAUAAAAAUUAUAAUUAUAAAUUAUAUAACCAAAUGAGAAUUGAAUUAACUUACUUGGUACUAAAAUUGAUAAAUACAGUAUAGUAAUUUAAUUGAUGAAAAGUCAAAGUCUUCUAAUAAAUCCAUAAAGAAUAUGAAAAUCAAAAUAACGAAAAUUAUAAUUGAAAAAUCAAAAUCAAUAGUGUAUUGGAAUAUUGUUCACACACUUAUAUAUCAAAAUUUGUGGUCCAAAAAUUAUAGCACAAUAUCCUAAAUACACCACAUUAAAUAAUAGUUCAAAAAUAUUCAAUAAAUAAUUGUUUUCAUUCAUAAUUUUGUUAUUUUAAAAACUAAUAAUUUGGUUGAUGUUAACCUAUAUUUUAAUAUAUAAUUAUAUUAUUUUCAUGUUAUUUUAUUUAACCAAAAACAAUAUUUUUAUAAUAUUUAUUACAUUAAUUAUAUUAAAAGAUAUAAUUUCAUUAAAAAAAUUGAAUAAAAUUAAGAGGAUAACUCUAUGCCUCUCCAAGUCUACAAGACUCAUUUCAAGUCUACCGAGGACCACUACCAUUGAGAGAUGUGAAAGUAGUUUGAGAGUGACAUAAAUUAUUUUCCUGACAAUAAAAUGUAAUAUCUAAUAUAAAUUAAUUAAAUUAGAUAAUAAUAAAUCAAAACUAAUCAUGAAUUAUGAUAAUAAUUAAAUAAAUUAUAAUUAAAUUAUAUAAAUCAACUCCAAAUGAUACAAAUAACACUAAACCUUAGUUACUUUAUUGGUAAAAUAAAUAUAAUAUAAUAAUUAAAUUGAUGAAAAAUCAAAAUCAUCUAAUAAAUUCACAAAAAAUAUAUGAUCAUUAGUAUAUUAUAUCAGUAUCCACACACUUAUAUUUCAAAAUCUAUCCUACAAAAUUAUCAUCUCUGUAAACUAGCCACAAAAAAUAAAAAUUUAAAGAUAUUAGAUAUUUAGUUAUUUUCAUUAUAUAAUUUUUCCACACUAAAUAACAAAAUAUCUUUAUCAAAUUAUUAUUUAUGAAUUAAAUAUUCAAGUUAUAAUUCCAGCAUGCAGCGUAUAAAUAGAAGUGUGCAGUAUGAUAUCAGAUUCAUAACCCAGUUGAGGAGAAACAUGGCACACUCUGUGAAGCCUUCUCACCUUCUUCUCUUUGUUUUCUUUCUCUCAUCACUUGAAUCCAUUCUUGCAACAACACGAGAGGGAGAAGCUCUUGUGAAAUGGAAGAAUAGCCUAGCCCCUUCUUCUUUUCUCGACUCUUGGUCCCUCACCAAUCUCGAUAAUCUUUGUAACUGGACUGCCAUUACUUGUAACUCUGCAGGUUCAGUCUCUAAGAUUAACCUUUUUGAGAAACAACUUAAUGGAAUGCUGUCCGAGUUCGGUUUCACUUCAUUUCCAAAUCUCAACUAUCUCACACUCGCAGACAACUUCUUCUCGGGUCCGAUACCACCAGCCAUUGAGAAUUUAACACAGCUUCAAUAUCUUGAUUUAAGCAUGAAUAGUCUUAAUGGUCCCAUUCCGUUCCAGGUUAGCCAUCUUCAGAGCUUGCUCAUCUUGAACCUGUCACAGAAUGCAUUGCAAGCUCCAAAUUGGUCCCAUUUCUCUCCCAUGCCUUUCUUGCGCAUCCUCGACCUUAGUUUUAAUAAUCUUGUGUCGAAAUUCCCAGAAUUUAUAUCCAAUUCUCAUAGCCUGACUCACCUUAACCUUUCAAAUAACAAGUUUACUGGUCAUCUUGUGCAUAAAUUUACCAAUCUACAAAAUCUUGAAACCCUCUACCUUCAGAUCAAUUCUUUUGAGGGGCCGUUUCCACCAGAUAUAGUCCAGCUUUCCAAAUUAAAACGACUCUCCCUGUCAUGUAACAAAUUUUCAGGUUCAAUUCCCAAUGACGUAAGGUUGCUUUUUGGUCUUGAAUCCCUAAAUUUAGGCAACAAUUCCUUUGAAGGACCGCUUCCACCAGAUAUAUUCAAGCUUUCAAAGUUAAAACGACUUGUUCUUUGGAGUAAUAAGUUUUCAGGUUCUGUUUCCAAUGAUAUAGGUUUGCUUUCUAAUCUUGAACACCUCGAUCUUGACUCUAAUUUUUUUGAGGGGCCGUUUCCGUCAAAUAUAUUCAAGCUCAGAUUAAAAAUUCUAAACCUCUCAAACAAUAGAAAUUUAUUUCAAAGAAGUUUUCCUAUUGGACUGGAACUCUUGAGUAACCUCAGCUACUUAGGUCUACAUUCCAGUAAUCUCAGUGGCAAUAUUCCAUCUUACAUUGGAAACCUGAAGCUACUAGAAUUUCUUGAUCUCGGUUCUAAUCAAUUGACUGGACCGCUUUCCAAGAUCGUUUAUAAUCUCACAAAUCUUAUACUUCUUGAUGUAAGUUAUAAUAGUCUUCAUGGAAAUAUUCAGAGUGACUUGUGGCAAUAUAACGAUCAUCCAACUUUGGAAUACAUGAGUUUGAGUGGGAACUAUUUUACGGGUAUAGUUUUUCUCUAUAGAUCUUUUCUUUUGUCAUAUGUAACUAAGCUACUAAUCUGAUUAAUUGCAGUUUUACCAAAGUUUCAACAAUCUUGACAGGUGAGCUUCCAACAACAAUUUGCAAUGUCACUUCCCUUUCGGUUCUUGAUUUGUCAAAUAAUGAAUUAAGUGGUGCACUUCCAAACUGUUUCGGGAAUCUUGCUGAUAGAUUGCUUUUCAUUAAUCUUGCUAAUAAUCAGUUUCGAGGAACAAUACCAACUACUUUCUCCAGGAGUUGUCAGCUCAAAUAUCUAAACAUGGAUAAUAAUGAGUUUGAAGGAUUGUUGCCCCCGUCUUUGGAAAACUGUAAGCACUUGAGAAUUCUUGAUAUUGGCAAUAAUAAAAUAGGUGGUACAUUUCCGUCAUGGCUUUAUGUACUUGGAGAGCUAGAAGUCCUUCUCUUGCGAUCAAAUAAACUCUAUGGCACAAUAAGUGGAAGGAGCAUAGAAGAUCCCUUCCCCAAGUUGCGGAUUGUGGAUCUGUCCAACAAUCAAUUCACAGGCCAUUUGCCAAUUCAAUACUUUAAGAAUAUGAAAUCAACUGAUAAUUUGUAUCGUUUCCAGGAUGGCAAAGGAGUUUUUUGUUUCCGUUAUGAAGCAUCUGUCUCAUUAACUGUGAAGGGAACAGAGUAUGAAGUGAAAAAAAUCCUUCAUAUUUACACAACCAUUGAUCUGUCCUGCAACAAAUUUCAAGGAGAAAUUCCAGACGUUAUUGGAGAGCUUAGAUGGCUUGCAUUGCUCAACUUAUCUCAUAAUAGUCUAACAGGACCUAUCCCAUCAUUGCUGAGGAAUAUGAAAGAACUCCAAUCUUUAGAUUUGUCUUCAAAUCAACUGACAGGGGCUAUUCCACCUCAGUUAACUGCAUUGACAUAUCUAGAGGUCUUGAACCUCUCGGGAAACCAUCUUAGUGGAGAGAUUCCUCAGAAAGGACAGUUCAGCACAUUCAACAAUGAUUCUUAUCUUGGAAACUCCGCGUUAUGUGGAUCACCUUUGACGAAGAAAUGUGCAAACACAGCAUCACCUCCACAAGAAGUCGGAAAUGGUGAUGAAGAUGAUGCUGGUGAUGAAUUGACAUGGGAAGCAAUCGUGAUGGGAUAUGGAUGUGGACUGAUAUGUGGAUUGUCAUCUGCAUACAUUGUUCUCAAACUAGGAAAGCCUUGGUGGUUUGUGAGAUAUGUCGAAGUACUGCAACUGAAGUUGAUGAAAAGAUAUGCUUGAAGAAUGGUACUGGCCGAUCAAGACGAACUUGAAAGUUGUUGUCCUUGUGCAUUUCUGAACCAGUUGUGUACUAUUCUCUUUGUGGCUGCAUAAGUAUUUGGUAUUGUGUAAUAUUCUGUUUGGUCUUGAAUCAUAAUGAUUCUUCUUGCUCCAGGGUUAUUAAUAUAAACCUUGGUAUUGUGUGCUAGCUGUAAUAUUCUGUUUGAUCAAUGUUUAUACCAGUAAUUUUAUGCUCCGCAGUGCAUCAUGCAGCUCUCAUAUUAUCUCUAUGAUUAACCUGAAUUCAGUUUCAUUUUGUUUCCGAAUCUCAACUACUUCAACUUGAGCUACAAUAGCUUCACUGGUCUAAUACCCCCAGAUAUUGAAAAUUUAACAGAGCUGCAAUACCUUGAUUUUAGCUCUAAUAAACUCACUGGUGCAAUUCCGGACCAGGUAAGCCAUCUUCAAACAUUGCGAACCUUAAACCUGUUGGAUAAUCACUUGGAAGCUCCAAACUGGUCCGCUUUUUCCCCUCUGCCUUCUCUGACAAACCUCUGUCUCAAUAAUAAUAAUCUUUCGUCGAAAUUCCCAGACUUCAUAUCAAAUUACAUCUUUUAUACGAUAUAUUAUGAAAACACUAUAUUUUGUAAUGUUCAUCUUAUCCUACCAGCAAAAUUACAUCGCUAACAAAAUUAUAUCAAUUUUAUUUUAUAAACUCAAAUAAUUUAAUUUAUGAAACAACUCUAUGAGAUUCUUAUCAUGAGUUAGAAUUCAAAUAAAUAAAGAGUUCAUAUUGAUAAGUGGAAUUGAUGUGCAAGUAAGGGGUAUAAAAAAAUCUCAAAAUAACUCCAAAAAGCACAUGACAUGUUUGAUUUAAUAGAACUGGUACAUAAACAGGGGGACCAUUAUAUUUAUAAGCAAGUGACCAACAAUAGUUUACUACUGAUAUUUUGUGAUAUUUUUUGUGAUAUUUUUUGAGACCUUUAACAUUAUUCUGUGAAGUGGUAUACUACUGUUACUAGUUCUGAAACUUCAAACAAAGUAGGCGCAACAUUGUAAGAGUGAUUAAUAAAGUUGAGAAACAGUGUGUACAUUGAGCAGUAUGACAAUCAGGUUCAGCAUAUAAUACAAUCAGAUUCACAAUCAGGUUCACGAGAAACAUGCUGCAUUCCAAAAAGCCUUAUUAUCUUCUUCACUAAAUAACAAGGCAAAUACAGCAUAUAAAUACAAGUGUGCAGUGUGGUAUUAGAUUCAUAACCCAGUUGAGGAGAAACAUGGCACACUUUGUAAGGCCUUCUCACCUUCUUCUCUUUGUUUUCUUUCUCUCAUCACUUGAAUCCAUUCUUGCAACAAGACAAGAGGGGGAAGCUCUUGUGAAGUGGAAGAAUAGCCUAGCCCCUUCUUCUUUUCUCCACUCUUGGUCACUCACCAAUCUCGAAAAUCUUUGNNNNNNNNNNNNNNNNNNNNNNNNNNNNNNNNNNNNNNNNNNNNNNNNNNNNNNNNNNNNNNNNNNNNNNNNNNNNNNNNNNNNNNNNNNNNNNNNNNNNNNNNNNNNNNNNNNNNNNNNNNNNNNNNNNNNNNNNNNNNNNNNNNNNNNNNNNNNNNNNNNNNNNNNNNNNNNNNNNNNNNNNNNNNNNNNNNNNNNNNNNNNNNNNNNNNNNNNNNNNNNNNNNNNNNNNNNNNNNNNNNNNNNNNNNNNNNNNNNNNNNNNNNNNNNNNNNNNNNNNNNNNNNNNNNNNNNNNNNNNNNNNNNNNNNNNNNNNNNNNNNNNNNNNNNNNNNNNNNNNNNNNNNNNNNNNNNNNNNNNNNNNNNNNNNNNNNNNNNNNNNNNNNNNNNNNNNNNNNNNNNNNNNNNNNNNNNNNNNNNNNNNNNNNNNNNNNNNNNNNNNNNNNNNNNNNNNNNNNNNNNNNNNNNNNNNNNNNNNNNNNNNNNNNNNNNNNNNNNNNNNNNNNNNNNNNNNNNNNNNNNNNNNNNNNNNNNNNNNNNNNNNNNNNNNNNNNNNNNNNNNNNNNNNNNNNNNNNNNNNNNNNNNNNNNNNNNNNNNNNNNNNNNNNNNNNNNNNNNNNNNNNNNNNNNNNNNNNNNNNNNNNNNNNNNNNNNNNNNNNNNNNNNNNNNNNNNNNNNNNNNNNNNNNNNNNNNNNNNNNNNNNNNNNNNNNNNNNNNNNNNNNNNNNNNNNNNNNNNNNNNNNNNNNNNNNNNNNNNNNNNNNNNNNNNNNNNNNNNNNNNNNNNNNNNNNNNNNNNNNNNNNNNNNNNNNNNNNNNNNNNNNNNNNNNNNNNNNNNNNNNNNNNNNNNNNNNNNNNNNNNNNNNNNNNNNNNNNNNNNNNNNNNNNNNAUUAAAACGUCUUUUUCUUUGGAGUAAUAAGUUUUCAGGUUCUGUUUCCAAUGAUAUAGGUUUGCUUUCUGAGCUUGAAUUUCUCAAUCUUUACGAUAAUUUUUUUGAGGGGCCGCUUCCAUGCAUCAAAUAUAUUCAAGCUCUCCAAAUUAAGGGUUCUUUACCUUAACGGUAAUAAACUUCUAGGUUCUCUUUCCAAUGAUAUAGGUUUGCUUUCUGAGCUUGAAAGCCUCGAUCUUAACUCCAAUUUUUUUGAGGGGCCGCUUCCGCCAAAUGUAUUCAAGCUCUCCAAACUAAAGAUUCUUUCCCUUUAUGAGAAUAACUUUUCAGGUUUUAUUUCUAAGGAUAUAGGUUUGCUUUCUGGACUUGAAACCCUCUAUCUUGACUCUAAUUUUUUUGAGGGUCCGCUUCCCCCACAUAUAUUUAGGCUGUCCAAAUUAAGAGAUCUGGACCUCUCAUACAGUAGAAAUUUAUUUGAAGGAAGUAUUCCUAUUGGACUGGGACUCUUGACUAACCUCAGGUACUUAGAUCUAUAUUCCAAUAAUCUCAGUGGCUAUAUUCCAUCUGACAUUGGAAACCUGAAGCUACUAGAAGGUCUUAUUCUCGGUUCUAAUAAAUUGACUGGACCAGUUUCAAAGAUCAUUUCUAAUCUCACAAAUCUUAUAUAUCUUGAUGUAAGUGAUAAUAGUCUUAGUGGAAAUAUUCAGAGUGACUUGUGGAAAUAUAACGAUCAUCCAACUUUGGAAUACAUCAAUUUAAGUGGGAACCAUUUUACGGGUAUAGUUUUUCUCUAUAGAUCUUUUCCUUUUCUCAUAUGUAACUAAGCUGGUAAUCUGAUUAUUGCAGUUUUACCAAAGUUUCAACAAUCUUGACAGGUGAGCUUCCAACAACAAUUUGCAAUGUCACUUCCCUUUCGGUUCUUGAUUUGUCAAAUAAUGCGUUAAGUGGUGCACUUCCAAACUGUUUCGGGAAUCUUGCUGAUGGAUUGCUUUACAUUAAUCUUGCUCAUAAUCAGUUUCGAGGAACAAUACCAACUACUUUCUCCAGGAGUUGUCAGCUGACAUAUCUGAACAUGGAUGAUAAUGAGUUUGAAGGAUUGAUGCCCCCAUCUUUGGCGAACUGUAAGCACUUGAAAAUUUUUGAUAUUGGCAAUAAUAAAAUAGGUGGUACAUUUCCGUCAUGGCUUUAUGUACUUGGAGAGCUAGAAGUCCUUGUCUUGAAAUCAAAUAAACUCUAUGGUACAAUAAGUGGAAGGAGCAGUGAAGAUCCCUUCCCCAAGUUGCGGAUUGUGGAUCUGUCCAACAAUCAAUUCACAGGCCAUUUGCCAAUUCAAUACUUUAAGAAUAUGAAAUCAACUGAUAAUUUGUAUCGUUAUCAGAAUGACACAAGAGUUUUUUCUUUCCAUUAUGAAGCAGCAGUCUCAUUAACUGUGAAGGGAACAGAGUAUGAAGUGAAAAAAAUCCUUCAUAUUUACACAACCAUUGAUCUGUCCUGCAACAAAUUUCAAGGAGAAAUUCCAGACGUUAUUGGAGAGCUUAGAUGGCUUGCAUUGCUCAACUUAUCUCAUAAUAGUCUAACAGGACCUAUCCCAUCAUUGCUGAGGAAUAUGAAAGAACUCCAAUCUUUAGAUUUGUCUUCAAAUCAACUGACAGGGGCUAUUCCACCUCAGUUAACUGCAUUGACAUAUCUAGAGGUCUUGAACCUCUCGGGAAACCAUCUUAGUGGAGAGAUUCCUCAGAAAGGACAGUUCAGCACAUUCAACAAUGAUUCUUAUCUUGGAAACUCCGCGUUAUGUGGAUCACCUUUGACGAAGAAAUGUGCAAACACAGCAUCACCUCCACAAGAAGUCGGAAAUGGUGAUGAAGAUGAUGCUGGUGAUGAAUUGACAUGGGAAGCAAUCGUGAUGGGAUAUGGAUGUGGACUGAUAUGUGGAUUGUCAUCUGCAUACAUUGUUCUCAAACUAGGAAAGCCUUGGUGGUUUGUGAGAUAUGUCGAAGUACUGCAACUGAAGUUGAUGAAAAGAUAUGCUUGAAGAAUGGUACUGGCCGAUCAAGACGAACUUGAAAGUUGUUGUCCUUGUGCAUUUCUGAACCAGUUGUGUACUAUUCUCUUUGUGGCUGCAUAAGUAUUUGGUAUUGUGUAAUAUUCUGUUUGGUCUUGAAUCAUAAUGAUUCUUCUUGCUCCAGGGUUAUUAAUAUAAACCUUGGUAUUGUGUGCUAGCUGUAAUAUUCUGUUUGAUCAAUGUUUAUACCAGUAAUUUUAUGCUCCACAGUGCAUCAUGCAGCUCUCAUAUUAUCUCUAUGAUUAACCUGAAUUCAGUUUCAUUUUGUUUCCGAAUCUCAACUACUUCAACUUGAGCUACAAUAGCUUCACUGGUCUAAUACCCCCAGAUAUUGAAAAUUUAACAGAGCUGCAAUACCUUGAUUUUAGCUCUAAUAAACUCACUGGUGCAAUUCCGGACCAGGUAAGCCAUCUUCAAACAUUGCGAACCUUAAACCUGUUGGAUAAUCACUUGGAAGCUCCAAACUGGUCCGCUUUUUCCCCUAUGCCUUCUCUGACAAACCUCUGUCUCAAUAAUAAUAAUCUUUCGUCGAAAUUCCCAGACUUCAUAUCAAAUUGUCGAAACCUGACUUACCUUGAUCUUUCAUUAAACUUGUUAACAGGUGAUUUGGUUCUUGGUAAUACGGAAUCGCUCUAUCACAGAAGUAAUUCUUUUGAGGGGUCAUUUCCACCAAAUAUAUUAAAACUUUCAAAAUUAAGAGUUCUUUCCCUAUCNCUUUCCCUAUCAUAUAAUAGAUUUUCAGGUUCUAUUCCGCAUGAUAUAGGAAUGCUUCGUGUUUUGGAAUCCCUUUUUUUUAGUAGCAGUUCUUUUGAUGGCCUGCUUUCACCAAAUUUAUUUAAGCUUCCAAAAUUAAAAGUUCUUUCCAUGUCAUUUAAUAACUUUUCGGGUUAUAUUCCAAAUGAAAUAGGAUUGCUUCAUGAUUUAGAGUCCCUUUAUUUUAAUGGAAAUUCUUUUGAGGCCGUUUCCACCAAAUAUAUUCAACCUUUCCAAAUUAAAAGUUCUUUACCUCUCAAAUAAUAACUUUUCAGGUUCUAUUCCUAAUGAUAUAAGUGUGCUUCGUGAUCUUGAGAUACUUGAUUUGUCCUCUAAUUCUUUUGAAGGGAUUAUUCCAUUGGAGCUGGGGUUCUUGAAUAAGCUGAGCUAUUUAUAUCUUGAUUCCAAUCAAUUGACUGGACCGCUUUUGAAGAACAUGUAUAAUCUCAGUAAUCUUAUUGAGAUCAACUUUAGUGGAAACCGCUUAACAGGUUUGCUAUUCAUUCUUGUUUUCUUCUUUAUGUAACUUCUUUAUGUAACUUCUUCAAUGCUGAUGAAAUGAUCACGAACCACAAUUUCACCAAAGCUCCUUUAAUUUCAACAGGUGAGUUUUCGACAGCAAUUUACAGAGAGAGAAUUACGAUGUUAUUAGGGAAAUCUAAAGAGAAGGUGCAGAGACCUCGGCAUAAUGAUCCUCCAACCUCUCAUUAACAAUGUCCAGGUUUCUUUAAAAGUAUUAAAUGUUAUUAACAUAGUACUUAAUGGUGUUAUAAAGAGAGUCGUGAUGUAACACUAUAUUUUGUUUACGAGAUAUUUUAAGUGUAAGAAGGUCCAUGCUGAGUUGUGAACAAUUAUUCUCACGUAUAUUAUCAAUGGUGAACAUCUUUAUUAGUAAGAUUGUGCUUUUUAGUUGGAUUGUGGUCCUUCUGUUGCUCCUUGGUAAGAUUUUUCGUCCUAGGUGGGAUUGUUAGGCACAAUGCCAGUCUAAUCAAGUUUGCGAAGGAAGUGUUAAAUACUAGAAUUAUUAAACCUGUAUAUAAAUUUAGAUGUCUGCACAGCGUUGUUACAUUGUCGAGUAGACAACUAAUUUUAAUCUGGUGGCAGGAAAUAGGGAAUCAAGAAGAAGAUGCAGCCAACAAUGAGAAGCUAGAGAAGCAAUUGAACUACUCGAACAAGAGCAAAAGCGGAUAGAAGCAGAACCAGAUGUUAAACUAGAGGCAAAAAAGAGAGCCUCCAACAGGCUUAUUUUAAGGUAAAUUACAAGAAAAGAAAGUCUGCCAUCAAUGUUAGACAAAAAGAUAUGCCGAUGCUCACAGAUAAUAAUAGUAGCAGGCGUACUUACUCUCUCUACAUAUAAUACUGUAACAAAGGUUUUCAAUGAGCCAAUUUAUUCCAACUAAGCAGGCACUAAGCAGCCACGUCAGAUCCACCUUAGCAAUCACUUUGCAUUUGUGAUGAUGAUCACAAUUAAAUCUUUAUCCCAAUGAUUUUUCUAUUAAUCUUUUGUGGAAUUCUAUGUCUGCAGAGAGAGCAAUACGUGUUGGUCAUGGUUUCUAUAAGUGAAGGUGAGACAACAAUGGUGUUCUCUUUGCCUCAAUUACACCCCUAAUUGCUGGCUAUUUGAGCUGCUGAAAGUUUAAUAAUGGCAAUCGUUUGUAGCUCGAAGAGAAUGAUGUAAGAAUUUAAUCUCAAUAGGAAGCUGUAGAACACAACAAUAUUGCAUAUAGAAGCCAUCCAGCUGCACACCCUGAUCACGGAGUUUUUGAGUCUUUAGAAUGCAAAAAUACAAUGCACAUGGGUAUGCCUACAAGUGGAGAUAUUUAGAAAACUGCUUCUUGUGCACAGUUAGUUAAAUAUUUACUAAUAAUAUAUCUUCAAUAACAACAUUACAGCUACAGUUCAGCAAUGAAUGAUCAUCAAAUGGCUUCUGCAGCACCGACACAGAAUGCCAGUGGACUAGUGGAGUAAUUCCAGGGGAUGCUCUGAUCAUAAAUUCUCGCUGGUGAAUUGAAGAAUUGAGCUUGAGCUAAGAAGGUGAUCUGCAUAUAAUCUUUAACCAUUUUCUGAUGGUACAAAUGUUGCUAUUUAAAAAAAUAAAGAUCAAAUAAACAAAUAUUACUUUACUAAUAUUUUACAUAGCUGCUGCUGUCGAAAACUGGAAACUUGUUGUGUAUUAUAAAAAUAGCAAGGAACUGAACUAAAUAAGCGAGGCAGGUAACUAUUGGAACAAACUGGCAUAUACCUUCUCUUUUCUUAUACUUCUUGCUUGGGGGCAAUAAGUCGUCUCUACCAUAAUAAAGUAAAAAGUAGUCAAAUUACAACUCCCUUGGGUUUCCGUUUGAAUUAGGACAUGUGUGGUGCACCAUACUCUCUUGUCAAAUAUUUUGAAGUUUUGCAUAUUGCAGUUUCACUUUUCAAAGAAACCUCUCUGUCAUUGCUAUAUUAGUAUGCGACUGUUAUUUGGAUUAGUUAUGAUCUGUAUCUAAAAUUAAUGGCACAGAUCUUGAUUUCUAGAACACCAGGUAAUAUUCUCAGAAACAGUGAUAUUCUGUUACAAAGUGAUUGUUGUCGACCAUCUUUACACAUUUUUCUUAUUAUUAAAAAAUAAAUUUUAUAAAAUAGAUUUUUAAAAUAUAGAUACUAUUGAUAUGGUCUUUAUAAUAGAUAUUAGAUAUUAAAAUUUUUAUUUAUAAAAAUUUAUGGAUGAGUUAUUGUAAUAACUGAUUGUCGAGAUCCUAGGUUCCUGGCUAAAUAGGAGUCCAUAUAUUUUGUUAUAAUAUAAUCAAAUAUCAAAACAUUCCUAGGAGGUCUAUAAGUUUAUAACGGUCCGAUAAAGGAAACAUGAAUAAAAUUGAUCAAAAUAUUUUGACCAUUUCAGGUGAUAAUGAUCAUAUAAUUUUCAUAUGACAGAACAAUAAGCCGUAGAGUUUGCUUAGGGGAUUAUGUAGGUUGCAGCAAGAUUUUCAAAAUAAAGCUGAUUUAUCAUUCAUAUAUUUUUUUGGUCCUCUUGGUUUAUGAGUGCUCUUUGUAUCUCUUGCUCUUAGCAUGCAUCCCCUCCCUUUAGUAAAUCAGCUUUGUGCUCAAUUACCUAAUUAUAGAUGAUGUUUCCUAAAUGGAAUAUUUCAAUUAAAUAUAUUAAUUGCUAAGCAACAGCCAAUAUGUUGUGUUGGUUAUUAAAUUAUUGUAGGCAUUUAUUCUUACAGAUGGUUUGGAGAUAAUUUCGAGCAAUCUAUGAGUUUGAAUAAUAUGUCUUAACAGUAUAUAGGGCCAUGAGGAGCUUGGCGCUGCCAGCUUGCGCUUGCGGGAAGAUGAAGAUUUUACGAGAUUUAAAAAUAUUGCAACUAUAGAGCUAGGAAGAUAAGAGAUUGGAAGUUGGUAAUUCUCCCCUUUCCCAUCAGAAUUCAAUGACUCUUUGAAACUGUACUUUCGUGAAUUUUGUCUUAAUUUCAUCAGGCGACCAGAACAACUUCAGAGACAUAUGGUGAGUUGUUGUCGAGUAUUUUGAAGAGUAUCGUUCGCAGGGAAGGAUUGAUAUCAAUACCAAUUUCAAGUCUUUUAUCUCUUAUGAUUCAGAAGUGUGGAGAAGAAUUUGGUGGGAUUUUCUAUCAACUAAUUAAUGUAAUAAGUAAAUAAAUAUAAUAAAUAUGAGAGAAAACAACCCAAGAAUUAGAGUUCUUCAAUCGCUAUCAUGAAUGUCUAAUUUGUGUCUCUUGUUUGCUAAAAACAAUCCUUCUAAUAUUAAUAAACUCCUCUCCCAAGGUAGAUUAUAAUGCUUACAAUUAUCCAUUAAAAGCCACUCCCAUGGUCAAUCAAAGAACACUUGUAAACUAUUAAGAACCAAGGAUUUUAAGUCUCACAAUUCUCAUAUCAAUCUCCCGAUCUAAUACUCAAAUUGUGUCCAUCAUAUCAUGUACUAGAAUUAUAACUCCUCUCCCGAUUCGUUAUAACUCCUAGAGAUUCAAUCACAAGUUAGCUACUCCUGUAAUUGUAUAAAGAGCUCAAUGACAGAUUAACAAAUCAAGAGAAAACACAAUCCAACUAAACAAACAUAUUAAGCCAAAGAAUACUACCUAACUCUUGGAUCAAAGGAUUAGCUACUCAUGAUAAGAUGAAACAAAUAUAUAUUUAUACCACAAACCAUGAGCGUAAGAAUUUAAAUACGAAGAAUACAACUUGACGAAAGAGCUUGAAGUCCGGAUGAAUCCCUUCACUCCUUCUUCCAAUAUCUCUCACAAGUGCUUCUCUCCCUUUUCUCUCUAAAAAAGCUAUCUCUAUAUUAUUCUAUAUGAUACAAAGUUAGUUGUCUCUAAUCUCUAUCAAAACCCUAAUAUAUAUAAGAGUUUUCUUAAUUUACAAGAAAAUAAAAUAAUAUCCUAAAACUAGUUGGAUUCUGAUGCUGAAAUUCGUAGGCUUCUGUUCAGGCCUGAUUCUGGGCUGAUCCAGUUGGAUUUUGACAUCUGGACCACCUUAAACUUGUAGAAAAUUCCUAUAUCUUCGCGUGGGCUGUUGAAUCGCCCAAUUCUGACAUCCAGAACUCAAGUUACGGCCCAAACAAGAUUUGCUUCGCUGGCUAUAUAUAAAGUCCGAAUUUCCAUCUAAUUAAGCCCAAAUAAGCUUGAUUUAAUCCAACUUUAGGAAUAUUUAUUUUCCUGCCACUAAACACUUAAAAUCAAUUAGUAAUAACCCGAUUAUUUACAAAAUACUAAAAUUAUGGGAAUAAAAUCAUAUAAAAACAUAUAUAAAUAUAUGCUCUAUCAUGAGUUUUGUGUCCUGCUUCUCAUUUCACAUACAUUGCCUUUUAAGAAGGGUGUUCUUAUAUAAUUUUGGAAGUGCUAUUGCUAAUUUGUUUCAGGUAAUAGCUGCACCGCAUAUAUAAAAUAUACAAAAAAUGUUUUUCCCGGCCUUCUUAAAAGUUUGAAUAAUAUUCCCCCUGUCUUGUGAUUGCAAACAAUAAUUGUUUUUGUAUCCAAGUACUUAAGCUUUUCCAUUAACUUUUUGGAUUUUGAACCAUGAUUGCCAAUGAGCAUUGAUAAUAUAGCCUAGGCCUCGGUCAUUUGAAUUUUUUGGAUAUUGUCUAAAGGCUUUCAAUGUAGUGAUUCUGUGACAACGUUGGACAAUAAUGUGUACAAGCUGGAUUCAGCAGAUUUCUAACAUGUGUUGAUUAUUACUAAUUAUGGAUUUACUGGUAUAGCAAGAAAUUACAGGCCCGAGGUCUUAAAGUUUGGGUGUCAUCACUUUUCUGGUCUACUUGCAAUCUUUUCUUCUUACUACCUCUUCUAGCAGUGUGUAGUUCCACUUUGCUAUUAAAUGAGCAAGUUAAUGACUGUUUAGGGGAUUGAGAUCUGACAAGUCUUGCUACUUUUGAUGGGUUUGAUAGGUUUGAUGAGUGCUUAAGUGAUAUUAAUCACCAAACUUAUGUAUAUGCAUUUUGAUGUGUUGAUUAUUUAGCAUAGUUGCUGCAUAACAAAUAUUAGUUAAAGGAUGAGAUCUUCUAAAAGAAGUCAGAAAUGUAAAAGCCAAUGUCAAAGUGGAUUUGAUCAAAAAGAGAUUCGCAUGCUGAUUAUUACUUUUUUGUGCAGAAAAAAUGUGAUCUCAAACAUCCCCUGGCAAUGAGAUAUAUCGCAGGGCACAUUGUCAAUGUUUUAGAUAUGUUUACAUGUUUAGCUGAUCUGCAAAUUCCUUUACGUCUUGGUUUCUGUCUCAUGUGAUUAUAUUCUCAGCGUUUGGAACUUGGAAUUGCAUAGCUUACCGCCAACACAAUUAUACAACUUCUUUUACUCAGUGAAUGAUGCUACACUUGAGACUUUCAUUAUGAUAUUUAUCUUGAGACACAUGUUCCCCAGUUUUAUAACUGGUAUAUUUGGCCUUGCUUUGUAUUUUUAAAUAUUACUGUUCAAUGGACUUAUACUAAACCCUUGCUUAUAAACAAGUACUCUUCAUCUGUUUGUUUGUUUAACUAUAUGACAUUUUACAUGUUUUUAUAGGUAGAUGGGAAAAAGAAUAAGGUUUAUGGGCAGAAUCUUUGUUAUCUGGAAAAAUUGUUUCUUGAUUACAAAACACUAUAUUAUAACGUCGAUUCACAAUAACUUAAUUGAUCAGCGCUCGGAGUCUCCUUUCUAAUCAAGGCUGUGGAGUGUGGAGGCCUAGGGCCUGAGCAUAUAAGGAUAUUCACAAUAAUUUUUUUUUUUUAUGAAUUUAUUUUCAUAGAUAUUUGUGUGUAGUUCCUUAAAUUGGGAAUACGGCUCGAGAGGAUAAGGGAUUGUUUGGUUGUUUAGUGUGAUUGGUAUUUUACUAGAUCAGAGAGUUUAUUACCACAAGCAUCCUAUGCAUUAACACUUGUCAGCAGCUGAAUUCCUGACAUAACACAUGAAUUCAGAAGACAUGACACAUGAAUUCAGUAUUUGGAAUUUGAUUGAAAUUCUGAAUGAUUUAUUGUUUACCAGAGGUUAUAACCACUACUUGUAUAUGGUAUCGGGUGUGUCCAUCUCCGGAAGAUCUAAUUGGCGUUAUAUGUUAAAUUUUCAAUAAAUAUCUCCGGAAGAUCUAAUUGGCGUUAUAUGUUAAAUUUUCAAUAAAUAUCUCCGGAAGAUCUAAUUGGCGUUAUAUGUUAAAUUUUCAAUAAAUAUCUGGAUGUGUAUUUUUGAUUAUCGAAAGAGUUCCCAUAUUAUUAUGUCGUUUUAUUUUCCUUCACUUUUGGCAGCCCCAAGUGAAAGUGAUGACUAUUGGUACUUGAGUUUUUUUGGCUGAAAUCACUAAUAUAAUUGUUACACUACAACAAAACUGGCAUCAGACAACACUAGUCACACAACGGACGCUGGAAAAAGUGUUGGCCGAAACAAAGACACAACACUUUAUUUUCGUCCUCGAAAAACUAUUGUCUAACACCUACGACCUACAACGGUUAAAAAACUGUUGUCUAAUAAAUUUAAUCAGACAACGGUCUCUUAACUGUGGUAUUGUGUAAUGAUGCACGUUAGACAACUGUUUUUAGAGCCGAUGUGUGAAGAAACUUCAGACAAUAUUCCGAGAAACCGUUGUUGUAAUGAGACAAGUGUUUUAUUUGUUGUGUUGUUUACGAAAAGAUCAGACAAGGGUUCCAUAGAGUGUUGUGUGACUGGGAAGCUAACAUACAAGUGUUUUUGUUAGCAUCGUAUCAUGGCCUUAUAGACAAGCCUUUAGCUAGUAAAACGUUGUCUGACUGAAUGACUUAUAAGAAAAUAAAUGUACAUAAAAGAGUGCAAACAUUCAAAAGUCCUAACCAAAGUUACAAAUAUAUAUUCAUUUUCUUAGUAGUCAUAGGCUUUUCUAGCAUUAGAUCAAGUAUUGAUCAAGGAAAUGCGAAUUUUUAACUCAUAAAAAUGAAAGUUUAUUAUACAACGGUUUUCUUCCCAUAAAUCGUUGUGUCAUUUUCAAUGAUACAACUUAGAUGCUUAUAAAAACCGUUGUGUGUUAGACACUACGGGACAAAAAAUACCUUUUUAUAAUAAGACAAAAUUUACAAUUAACAAGUAAUGUUAAAAAAACAUACAAAAUGAAUAUAAAAAAUUUAGAUUUUUUUUAUACAUGACUAAUAUUGUUAGUUCUCGACAUCCGUACGGUUAGAUCAUCGAAAAAAAUAUUUAAAAAUUAAUAUUAUGCUCAUCUUAUACAUAACAAAGAUUNNNNNNNNNNNNNNNNNNNNNNNNNNNNNNNNNNNNNNNNNNNNNNNNNNNNNNNNNNNNNNNNNNNNNNNNNNNNNNNNNNNNNNNNNNNNNNNNNNNNNNNNNNNNNNNNNNNNNNNNNNNNNNNNNNNNNNNNNNNNNNNNNNNNNNNNNNNNNNNNNNNNNNNNNNNNNNNNNNNNNNNNNNNNNNNNNNNNNNNNNNNNNNNNNNNNNNNNNNNNNNNNNNNNNNNNNNNNNNNNNNNNNNNNNNNNNNNNNNNNNNNNNNNNNNNNNNNNNNNNNNNNNNNNNNNNNNNNNNNNNNNNNNNNNNNNNNNNNNNNNNNNNNNNNNNNNNNNNNNNNNNNNNNNNNNNNNNNNNNNNNNNNNNNNNNNNNNNNNNNNNNNNNNNNNNNNNNNNNNNNNNNNNNNNNNNNNNNNNNNNNNNNNNNNNNNNNNNNNNNNNNNNNNNNNNNNNNNNNNNNNNNNNNNNNNNNNNNNNNNNNNNNNNNNNNNNNNNNNNNNNNNNNNNNNNNNNNNNNNNNNNNNNNNNNNNNNNNNNNNNNNNNNNNNNNNNNNNNNNNNNNNNNNNNNNNNNNNNNNNNNNNNNNNNNNNNNNNNNNNNNNNNNNNNNNNNNNNNNNNNNNNNNNNNNNNNNNNNNNNNNNNNNNNNNNNNNNNNNNNNNNNNNNNNNNNNNNNNNNNNNNNNNNNNNNNNNNNNNNNNNNNNNNNNNNNNNNNNNNNNNNNNNNNNNNNNNNNNNNNNNNNNNNNNNNNNNNNNNNNNNNNNNNNNNNNNNNNNNNNNNNNNNNNNNNNNNNNNNNNNNNNNNNNNNNNNNNNNNNNNNNNNNNNNNNNNNNNNNNNNNNNNNNNNNNNNNNNNNNNNNNNNNNNNNNNNNNNNNNNNNNNNNNNUUUUUUUAUACGUGACUAAUAUUGUUAGUUCUUGACAUCCGUACGGUUAGAUCAUUGAAAUAAAUAUUUAUGAAUUAAUACACAACUAAUUGAAUACAUAACAAAGAUUAUAUCUACUACUUUUUAAAUUGUAAACAUAAAACACAUACUAAUACAUGCGUCCGAAGUACAAAAUUGUCUCGGUUUUACACAUGAACAAUACAUAUUUGCAUAUAUACAUAACAUAAAUAUAUUUUUUUAAUACAAAGAGUGCAAAAACAAGAAUUAAUCAAGGAAAUGCGAAUUUUUAACUCAUAAAAAUUACCUUUUUAUAAUAAGAAAAAUUUUANACGAUUGACUAGUGUUGUUAAAAACCGUUGUCUGAUGCUGUUUUUGUUGUAGUGUUAUAUUAAAUUCUUGUGCUAAAACUUGUAUGGUUUGCCCCGCCCGCGGCUUCAAACAGCCAACAAGGUAAGCUAUUAUACUCAGGGGACCGAAAAAGGUAACAAAUGCAUAAACGAUUAGCUUUUCUUCUUUGCUGCAUAGUUUUUUUUUUUUUGUCAGGUUCUUUGCUGCAUAGUUAAUAACAAAUAACAUGAUCUCAAAAAAAAAAAAGAGGCGCGUACUAUGAAUGUAAAAAUAACAAUUUCAAUACUCUUUUUCACUAUAGAAAAACAAAAUUAUUGUGCUAGAUCUUUGCCCGUGCCUUGCACGGGCUUUAAAGCUAGUUUUUUAUUAAUAUGUGAAACUCCAAUAUAUAUUAUUAUACGAUAUAUUAUGAAAACACUAUGUUUUGUAAUGUUCAUCUUAUCCUACCAGAAAAAUUACAUCGCUAACAAAAUUAUAUCAAUUUUAUUUUAUAAACUCAAAUAAUUUAAUUUAUGAAACAACUCUAUGAGAUUCUUAUCAUGAGUUAGAAUUCAAAUAAAUAAAGAGUUCAUAUUGAUAAGUGGAAUUGAUGUGCAAGUAAGGGGUAUAAAAAAAUCUCAAAAUAACUCCAAAAAGCACAUGACAUGUUUGAUUUGAUAGAACUGGUACAUAAACAGGGGGACCAUUAUAUUUAUAAGCAAGUGACCAACAAUAGUUUACUACUGAUAUUUUGUGAUAUUUUUUGUGAUAUUUUUUGAGACCUUUAACAUUAUUCUGUGAAGUGGUAUACUACUGUUACUAGUUCUGAAACUUCAAACAAAGUAGGCGCAACAUUGUAAGAGUGAUUAAUAAAGUUGAGAAACAGUGUGUACAUUGAGCAGUAUGACAAUCAGGUUCAGCAUAUAAUACAAUCAGAUUCACAAUCAGGUUCACGAGAAACAUGCUGCAUUCCAAAAAGCCUUAUUAUCUUCUUCACUAAAUAACAAGGCAAAUACAGCAUAUAAAUACAAGUUAUAAGUACAAGUGUGGUAUUAGAUUCAUAACCCAGUUGAGGAGAAACAUGGCACACUUUGUAAGGCCUUCUCACCUUCUUCUCUUUGUUUUCUUUCUCUCAUCACUCGAAUCCAUUCUUGCAACAAGACAAGAGGGGGAAGCUCUUGUGAAGUGGAAGAAUAGCCUAGCCCCUUCUUCUUUUCUCCACUCUUGGUCACUCACCAAUCUCGAAAAUCUUUGUAAAUGGACUGGCAUUACUUGUAACUCUGCAGGUUCAGUCUCUGAGAUUAACCUUUGUGAGAAACAACUUGAUGGAAUGCUGUCCGAGUUCGGUUUCACUUCAUUUCCAAAUCUCAAGAAUCUCACCCUGGCAGACAACUUCUUCUCAGGUCCAAUACCACCAGCCAUUGAGAAUUUAACACAGCUUCAAUAUCUUGAUUUAAGCAUGAAUAGUCUUAAUGGUCCCAUUCCGUUCCAGGUUAGCCAUCUUCAGAGCUUGCUCAUCUUGAACCUGUCACAGAAUGCAUUGCAAGCUCCAAAUUGGUCCCAUUUCUCUCCCAUGCCUUUCUUGCGCAUCCUCGACCUUAGUUUUAAUAAUCUUGUGUCGAAAUUCCCAGAAUUUAUAUCCAAUUCUCAUAGCCUGACUCACCUUAACCUUUCAAAUAACAAGUUUACUGGUCAUCUUGUGCAUAAAUUUACCAAUCUACAAAAUCUUGAAACCCUCUACCUUCAGAUCAAUUCUUUUGAGGGGCCGUUUCCACCAGAUAUAGUCCAGCUUUCCAAAUUAAAACGACUCUCCCUGUCAUGUAACAAAUUUUCAGGUUCAAUUCCCAAUGACGUAAGGUUGCUUUUUGGUCUUGAAUCCCUAAAUUUAGGCAACAAUUCCUUUGAAGGACCGCUUCCACCAGAUAUAUUCAAGCUUUCAAAGUUAAAACGACUUGUUCUUUGGAGUAAUAAGUUUUCAGGUUCUGUUUCCAAUGAUAUAGGUUUGCUUUCUGAGCUUGAAACCCUCCAUCUUUACUCUAAUUUUUUUGAGGGGCCACUUCCGCCAAAUUUAUUCAAGCUCUCCAAACUAAAAGAUCUCACCCUGUCAAGUAACAAAUUUUCAGGUUCAAUUCACAAUGAUAUAAGGUUACUUUGUGAUCUUGAAGACCUAUAUUUAGCUAACAAUUCCUUUGAAGGACCGCUUCCACCAGAUAUAUUCAAGCUUUCAAGAUUAAAACGUCUUUUUCUUUAGAGUAAUAAGUUUUCAGGUUCUGUUUCCAAUGAUAUAGGUUUGCUUUCUGAGCUUGAAAGCCUCGAUCUUAACUCCAAUUUUUUUGAGGGGCCGCUUCCGCCAAAUGUAUUCAAGCUCUCCAAACUAAAGAUUCUUUCCCUUUAUGAGAAUAACUUUUCAGGUUUUAUUUCUAAGGAUAUAGGUUUGCUUUCUGGACUUGAAACCCUCUAUCUUGACUCUAAUUUUUUUGAGGGUCCGCUUCCCCCACAUAUAUUUAGGCUGUCCAAAUUAAGAGAUCUGGACCUCUCAUACAGUAGAAAUUUAUUUGAAGGAAGUAUUCCUAUUGGACUGGGACUCUUGACUAACCUCAGGUACUUAGAUCUAUAUUCCAAUAAUCUCAGUGGCUAUAUUCCAUCUGACAUUGGAAACCUGAAGCUACUAGAAGGUCUUAUUCUCGGUUCUAAUAAAUUGACUGGACCAGUUUCAAAGAUCAUUUCUAAUCUCACAAAUCUUAUAUAUCUUGAUGUAAGUGAUAAUAGUCUUAGUGGAAAUAUUCAGAGUGACUUGUGGAAAUAUAACGAUCAUCCAACUUUGGAAUACAUCAAUUUAAGUGGGAACCAUUUUACGGGUAUAGUUUUUCUCUAUAGAUCUUUUCCUUUUCUCAUAUGUAACUAAGCUGGUAAUCUGAUUAUUGCAGUUUUACCAAAGUUUCAACAAUCUUGACAGGUGAGCUUCCAACAACAAUUUGCAAUGUCACUUCCCUUUCGGUUCUUGAUUUGUCAAAUAAUGCGUUAAGUGGUGCACUUCCAAACUGUUUCGGGAAUCUUGCUGAUGGAUUGCUUUACAUUAAUCUUGCUAAUAAUCAGUUUCGAGGAACAAUACCAACUACUUUCUCCAGGAGUUGUCAGCUGACAUAUCUAAACAUGGAUAAUAAUGAGUUUGAAGGAUUGGUGCCCCCAUCUUUGGCGAACUGCAAGCACUUGAAAAUUCUUGAUAUUGGCAAUAAUAAAAUAGGUGGUACAUUCCCGUCAUGGCUUUAUGUACUUGGAGAGCUAGAAGUCCUUGUCUUGCGAUCAAAUAAACUCUAUGGUACAAUAAGUGGAAGGAGCAUAGAAGAUCCCUUCCCCAAGUUGCGGAUUGUGGAUCUGUCCGAUAAUCAAUUCACAGGCCAUUUGCCAAUUCAAUACUUUAAGAAUAUGAAAUCAACUGAUAAUAUGUAUAAUUAUCUGAAUUCCACAGGAGGAAUAUAUUUCACUUAUGAAGCAGCAGUCUCAUUAACUGUGAAGGGAACAGAGUAUGAAGUGACAAAUAACCUUCAUAUUUACACAGCUAUUGAUCUGUCGUGCAACAAAUUUCAGGGUGAAAUUCCAAAAAUUAUUGGAGAGCUUAGAUGGCUUGCAUUGCUCAAUUUAUCGCAUAAUAGUCUGACAGGACAUAUCCCAUCAUUUCUGAGAAAUAUGAAAGAACUCCAAUCUUUAGAUUUGUCCUCAAAUCAACUGACAGGGGCCAUUCCACCUCAGUUAACUGCAUUGACAUUUCUAAAGGUCUUAAAUCUCUCGAAAAACCAUCUCAGUGGAGAGAUUCCUCAGGAAGGACAGUUCAGCACAUUCAACAAUGAUUCUUAUCUAGGAAACUCCGCGUUAUGUGGAUUACGUCUGACAAAGAAAUGUGCAAACACAGCAGGGAUUCCUCAGAAAGGACAGUUCAGCACAUUCAACAAUGAUUCUUAUAUAGGAAACUCCGCGUUAUGUGGAUCACCUUUGACGAAGAGAUGUGCAAACACAGCAUCACCUCCACAACAAGUCGGAAAUGGUGAUGAAGAUGAUGCGGGAGAUGAAUUGAGAUGGGAAGCAAUCGUGAUGGGAUAUGGAUGUGGACUGAUAUGUGGAUUGUCAUCUGCGUACAUUGUUCUCAAACUAGGAAGGCCUUGGUGGGUUGUGAGAUAUGUCGAAGUACUGCAACUGAAGUUGAUGAAAAGAUAUGCUUGAAGAAUGGAACUGGCCGAUCAAAACGAACUCGAAAGCAGUUGUCCUUGUGGACAUUUCUGAACCAGUAGUGUACUAGCUGCAUAAGUAUUUGGUAUUAUGUAAUAAUCCACAUAUUCAAUAUCACACUCUUCCUGUGAGGAAACAAAUAUGGAGAAACAUUUCUAUUUACAAAACUUUUACCAUUAUACACUCUUAUAGUACUGGUUAAUAGUUUGUUGUUCAGCCUAGUCCUAAACUGAAAUUAUCAGUUCUAUGUGAGUAUGCUUUCAAAUAAGAAUUAGGUGAUCUGCCUAGUCCAAAACUACUCUAAUACUAUAUCGCUGGUAGUCUUUCAGUUCAUCCUAUUGUAUACAAUAGUUUCUUCCUUUGACACAAAAAUGUCUGCAGUCAGUGUCACCACCACAGGAAGUCGAAAAUGGUGAUGAAGAUUGAUUUGCGGAUUGUCUUAUGGGUACAUUUUUUUCAAAAAAGGAAGGCCUUGGUGGUUUGUGAGAUACAUCGAAGUGCUGCAACUUAAGUUGAUGUUACCAAGAAUGAAAAAUAUUGUUCGACCAAGAUCAACAACUUGAAAAUGUGUUCUGAAUCUGUAAUAAUAUUAAAAUAUUAAAAUAUUAUUCAUUUAACAAUAUCGUCCAAUCAAUUUAAUUGAUUAUCAUUUAAUCAAUAUAUAUAGAUGGAUAUUAAUUGUCUUCCCUAGCUCCAACCAAUGAUGAAAUAACCUCCCUAUAAAUCUAUUGAGUCAAAAUUGCAAACAACACUUUCAAAACAUAGGUGCCGAAUAGUCCUUAUUUUAAAUUAAUCAGAAUUGAAUAUUUGAUGGCGCUAAAAAAAUCUGUUGAAAUUAGCAGUUUAUAAGGCAUAUAAAUAGAAGUGUGCGUUACUUUAAGGAUUCAUGAUCAAGUUGAGGAGAAAUAUGCACAGUAUAUAAAGCCUCAUCAUCUUUUUCUCUUUGUUUUCUUUCUCUCAUUACUCCCAUCCAUUCUUACAACACUAGCUGAAACAAGACGAGAGGGAGAAGCUCUUGUGAAAUGGAAGAAUAGCCUAGCCCCUUCUUCUUUUCUCGACUCUUGGUCCCUCACCAAUCUCGAUAAUCUUUGUAACUGGACUGGCAUUACUUGUAACUCUGCAGGUUCAGUCUCUAAGAUUAACCUUUUUGAGAAACAACUUGAUGGAAUGUUGUCCGAGUUUGGUUUCACCUCAUUUCCACAUCUCAACAAUCUCACCCUUGCAGACAACUACUUCUCGGGUCCGAUACCACCAGCCAUUGAGAAUUUAACACAGCUUCAAUUUCUUGAUUUGAGCAAUAAUUAUCUAGAUGGUCCCAUUCCUUUCCAGGUUAGCAAUCUUCAGAGGUUGCUCAUCUUAAACCUGUCACAGAAUGCAUUGCAAGCUCCAAAUUGGUCCCAUUUCUCUCCCAUGCCUUUUUUGCGCAUCCUCAACCUCAGUAGCAAUCCUCUAGCGUCGAAAUUCCCAAAUUUCAUAUCCAAUUCUCAUGGCCUGACUCACCUUAGCCUUAAUUAUAACGAGUUUACUGGUGAUUUAGUACGUGAAUCAAUAUUUGCCAAUCUGCAUAAUCUUGAAGUCCUCGGUCUUGUUGACAAUUCUUUUGAGGGGCCAUUUCCCCCGGAUAUAUUCAGGCUCUCCAAAUUAAAACGUCUCUCCCUGUCAGGUAACAAAUUUUCAGGUUCAGUUCCCAAUGACAUAAGGUUGCUUUGUGAUCUUCAAUCUCUAUAUUUAGCUAACAAUUCCUUUGAAGGACCGCUUCCACCAAAUAUAUUCAAGCUUGCAAAAUUAAAAGAUCUUGCUCUUUGGGGUAAUAAGUUUUCAGGUUCUGUUUCCAAUGAUAUAGGUUUGCUUUCUGUGCUUGAAAUUCUCAAUAUUCACUCUAAUUUUUUUGAGGGGCCCCUUCCGCCAAAUAUAUUCAAGCUCUCCAAAAUAAGGUUUCUUUACCUCGGGGGUAAUAACUUUUCUGGUUCCGUUUCCAAUGAGAUAGGUUUGCUUUCUGAGCUUGAAUCCCUAUAUCUUGGUUCUAAUGUUUUUGAGGGGCCGCUUCCACCAAAUAUAUUCAAGCUUUCCAAAUUAAAAUGGCUUGACCUCGCAGACAAUAGAAAUUUAUUUGAAGGAAGUAUUCCUAUUGGACUGGGACUCUUGACUAACCUCAGCUACUUAGAUCUAAGUUCCAGUAAUCUCAGUGGCUAUAUUCCAUCUGUCAUUGCAAACCUGAAGCUACUAGUAUUUCUUGAUCUCAGUUCUAAUCAAUUGACUGGACCACUUUCGAAGAUCGUUUCUAAUCUCACAAAUCUUAUACUUCUUGGUGUGGAUUAUAAUAGUCUUAGUGGAAAUAUUCAGAGUGAUUUGUGGAAGAACUCUAUAUCCUUACGUUACAUUGAUUUUGAAAAUAAUUAUUUUUCUGGAAACAUUCCUGAGGAAUAUAACGAUCAUCCAACUUUGGAAUACAUCAAUUUAAGUGGGAACUAUUUUACAGGUAUAUUUUCUUAAUAUAUCUUUUCCUUUUGUCAUAUAUAUGUAACUAAGCUAGUAAUCUGAUUAUUGCAGUUUUACCAAAGUUUCAACAAUCUUGACAGGUGAGCUUCCAACAACAAUUUGCAAUGUCACCUCCCUUUCGGUUCUUGUUUUGUCAAAUAAUAAAUUAAGUGGUGCACUUCCAAACUGUUUCGGGAAUCUUGCUGAUGGAUUGCUUUACAUUAAUCUUGCUAAUAAUCAGUUUCAAGGAACAAUACCAACUACUUUCUCCAGGAGUUGUCAGUUGACAUAUCUAAACAUGGUUAAUAAUGAGUUUGAAGGAUUGAUGCCCCCAUCUUUAGCGAACUGUAAGCACUUGAAAAUUCUUGAUAUAGGCAAUAAUAAAAUAGGUGGUACAUUUCCGUCAUGGCUUUAUGCACUUGGAGAGCUAGAAGUUCUUGUCUUGCGAUCAAAUAAACUCUAUGGUACAAUAAGUGGAAGGAGCAUAGAAGAUCCCUUCCCCAAGUUGCGGAUUGUGGAUCUGUCCAACAAUCAAUUCACAGGCCAUUUGCCAAUUCAAUACUUUAAGAAUAUGAAAUCAAAUGAUAAUUUGUAUCGUUAUCUGAAUUCCACAGGAGAAAUAUAUAUCUCUUAUGAAGCAGCAGUCUCAUUAACUGUGAAGGGAACAGAGUAUGAAGUAGCAAAGAACCUUCAUAUUUACACAGCCAUUGAUCUGUCGUGCAACAAAUUUCAGGGAGAAAUUCCAAAGGUUACCGGAGAGCUUAGAUGGCUUGCAUUGCUCAAUUUAUCUCAUAAUAGUCUAACAGGACCUAUCCCAUCAUUGCUGGGAAAUAUGAAAGAACUCCAAUCUUUAGAUUUGUCCUCAAAUCAACUGACAGGGGCUAUUCCACCUCAGCUAACUGCAUUGACAUUUCUAGAGGUCUUGAACCUCUCGGGAAACCAUCUUAGUGGAGAGAUUCCUCAGAAAGGACAGUUCAGCACAUUCAACAAUGAUUCUUAUCUAGGAAACUCCGCGUUAUGUGGAUCACCUUUGACGAAGAAAUGUGGAAACACUGUAUCACCUCCACAGGAAGUCGGAAAUGGUGAUGAAGAUGAUGCGGGUGAUGAAUGGACAUGGGAAGCAAUCGUGAUGGGAUAUGGAUGUGGACUGAUAUGUGGAUUGUCAUCUGCGUACAUUGUUCUCAAACUAGGAAAGCCUUGGUGGUUUGUGAGAUAUAUCGAAGUACUGCAACAGAAGUUGAUGAAAAGAUAUGCAUGAAGAAAGGUACUGGUAGAUCAAGAUGAAAAGAUAUGAAGAAGUAUUUGGUAUUAUGUAAUAAUCCGUUUGGUCGGGACUCAAAAUGAUUUCUCUUGCUUCAGGGGUAUUAAUAUUAACCUUGCUAUCUUGUUCAAUGUUAAUGCAAAUUAAAAAGAAUAUAAAAGCAAAAAAUUUGCAUCAAACACCUGUUGUACCAACAUGCAUCCAUUAAUUUGCUUUCAUCUAUUAAGUAACAAUUUAAGAGCGCUUCCACUCUGUUUAAGCAUGGAGAUUACACAAAGAAGGCAAGUCCAUGGAUUAACACGUAGUCCACAUCUAUGCUACGAACAAUUCACAUUGAUCUUAUAUCUGUUCAACAGUCUCCCGAAGAUAGGCCAUAAAUGUCAUCUGUGGCUCUUAUGUUUGUCAGUAAAGGAGAAUCUCUGAUGCCUAUAACCUGGUUUUCUUACAAGAUGCCCAGGUUAUCAUGGCCAUGCAGAAAAAUGCCCAAAAAUGAAUAGCUCAGGUCUCCCCAAGCCUUCCAGGACUCAUUCCAAGUCUUCGGAGGACCACUGCCUCCCCCUUUCAAAGAUGUGAUUGUAGCUCGAAAGUGAUAUAAAUUAUUUUCCCCACAUUAAAAAUAAAAAAUCAGAUUAAAUUAAUCAAUAAUAAAUUAAGGAUGAAAUCCAAAUUAAUCCUAAAUUUUGAUAAUAUAUAAAAAUUAUAAUUAUAAAUUAUAUAACCAAAUCAGAAUUGAAUUAACUUACUUGGCACUAGAAUUGCUAAAGACAGUAUAAUAAUUUAAUUGAUGAAAAGUCAAAGUCUUCUAAUAAAUCCAUAAAGAAUAUGAUAAUAUGAAAAUUAUAAUUGAAAAAUCAAAAUCAAUAGUGUAUUGGAAUAGUGUUCACACACUUAUAUAUCAAAAUUUGUGGUCCAAAAACUAUAGCACAAUAUCCUAAAUACAUCACAUUAAAUAAUAGCACAAAAAUAUUCAAUAAAUAAUUGAUUUCAUUCAUAAAUUUGUUAUUUUAAAAACUAAUAAUUUGGUUGAUGUUAACCUAUAUUUUAUAUAUAAUUUCGUCUUAUUUUAUUUUACUAGAAACAAUAUUUUUAUAAUAUUUAUUACAUUAAAUAUAUUAAAAGAUAUAAUUUUAUUAAAAAAAUUGAAUAAAAUUAAAAGGAUAAGUCUCGGCCUCUCCAAGUCUACAAGACUCAUUUCAAGUCCACCGAGGGCCUCAACCAUUGAGAGAUGUGAAAGUAGCUUGAGAGUGAUAUAAAUUAAUUAAAUUAGUUAAUAAUGAAUCAAGACUAAUCAUGAAUUAUGAUAAUAAUUAAAUAAAUUAUAAAAUUAAAUUAUACAAAUAACACUAAACCUUAGUUACUUUAUUGGUAAAAUAAAUAUAAUAUAAUAAUUAAAUUGAUGAAAAAUCAAAAUCAUCUAAUAAAUUCACAAAAAAUAUAUGAUCAUUAGUAUAUUAUAUUAGUAUCCACACACUUAUAUUUCAAAUCUAUCCUCCAAAAUUAUCAUCUCGAUAAACUAGCCGCAUAAAAUAAAAAUUUAACGAUAUUAGAUAUUUAGCUAUUUUCAUUAUAUAAUUUUUCCACACUAAAUAACAAAAUAUCUUUAUCAAAUUAUUAUUUAUGAAUUAAAUAUUCAAGUUAUAAUUCCAGCAUGCAGCGUAUAAAUAGAAGUGUGCAGUAUGAUAUCAGAUUCAUAACCCAGUUGAGGAGAAACAUGGCACACUCUGUAAAGCCUUCUCACCUUCUUCUCUUUGUUUUCUAUCUCUCUUAACUUGAAUACAUUCUUGCAACAACACAAGAGGGAGAAGCUCUUGUGAAAUGGAAGAAUAGCCUAGCCCCUUCUUCUUUUCUCGACUCUUGGUCACUCACCAAUCUCGAUGAUCUUUGUAACUGGACUGGCAUCACUUGUAACUCUGCAGGUUCAGUCUCUCAGAUCAACCUUUUCGAAAAACAACUUGAUGGAAUGCUGUCCGAGUUUGGUUUCACUUCAUUUCCGAAUCUCAACAAUCUCACCCUCGCAUACAACUUCUUCUCGGGUCCGAUACCACCGGCCAUUGAGAAUUUAACACAGCUUCGGUAUCUUGAUUUAAGCUUUAAUUCUCUCCAUGGUCCCAUUCCGUUCCAGGUUAGCCAUCUUCAGAGCUUGCUCAUCUUAAACCUGUCACAGAAUGCAUUGCAAGCUCCAAAUUGGUCCCAUUUCUCUCCCAUGCCUUUUUUGCGCAUCCUCAACCUCAUUAGCAAUCCUCUUGCGUCGAAAUUCCCAAAUUUUAUAUCCAACUCUCAUAGCCUGACUCACCUUAGCCUUAAUUUUAAUGAGUUUACUGGUGAUUUAGUACGUGAAUCAGUAUUUGCCAAUCUGCAUAAUCUUGAAUUGCUCAGUCUCGUUGAAAAUUCUUUUGAGGGGCCAUUUCCGCCGGAUAUAUUCAGGCUUUCCAAAUUAAAACAUCUUCACCUGUCAAGUAACAAAUUUUCAGGUUCAAUUUCCAAUGACAUAAGGUUGCUUUGUGAUCUUGAAUCCCUAUAUUUAGGCAACAAUUCCUUCGAAGGACCCCUUCCAUCAAAUAUAUUCAAGCUUUCAAAAUUAAAAAAUCUUGUUAUUGGGAGUAAUAAGUUUUCGGGUUCUGUUUCCAACGAUAUAGGUUUGCUUUCUGAGCUUGAAAGCCUCUAUCUUGACUCCAAUUUUUUUGAGGGGCCGCUUCCGUCAAAUAUAUUCAAGCUCUCCAAAUUAAGGAUUCUUUCCCUUUGGCAUAAUAACUUUUCAGGUUCUAUUUCUAAGGAUAUAGGUUUGCUUUCUGGACUUGAAACCCUCUUUCUUGACUCUAAUUUUUUUGAGGGUCCGCUUCCCCCGCAUAUAUUUAGGCUCUCCAAAUUAAGAGAUCUGGGUCUCUCAGACAAUAGAAAUUUAUUUGAAGGGAGUAUUCCUAUUGGACUGGGACUCUUGACUAACCUCAGGUACUUAGAUCUAUAUUCCAAUAAUCUCGGUGGUUAUAUUCCAUCUGACAUUGGAAACCUGAAGCUACUAGAAGUUCUUGAUCUCAGUUCUAAUCAAUUGACUGGACCGCUUUUAAAGAUUGUUUCUAAUCUCACAAAUCUUAUGUUUCUUGAUGUAAGACAAAAUAGUCUUAGUGGAAAUAUUCAGAGUGACUUGUGGAAAUAUAACGAUCAUCCAACUUUGGAAUUCAUCAAUUUAAGUGGGAACCAUUUUACGGGUAUAGUUUUUCUCUAUAAAUCUUUUCUUUUGUCAUAUGUAACUAAGCUAGUAAUCUGAUUAAUUGCAGUUUUACCAAAGUUUCAACAAUCUUGACAGGUGAGCUUCCAACAACAAUUUGCAAUGUCACUUCCCUUUCAAUUCUUGAUUUGUCAAAUAAUGGAUUAAGUGGUGCACUUCCAAACUGUUUCGGGAAUCUUGCAGAUAGAUUGCUUUUCAUUAAUCUUGCUAAUAAUCAGUUUCGAGGAACAAUACCAACUACUUUAUCCAAAAGUUGUCAGCUGACAUGUCUAAACAUGGAUAAUAAUGAGUUUGAAGGAUUGUUACCCCCAUCUUUGGCGAACUGUAAGCACUUGAGAAUUCUUGAUAUUGGCAACAAUAAAAUAGGUGGCACAUUUCCGUCAUUGCUUUAUGUACUUGGAGAGCUAGAAGUCCUUGUCUUGCGAUCAAAUAAACUCUGCGGUACAAUAAGUGCAAGGAGCAUAGAAGAUCCCUUCCCCAAGUUGCGGAUUGUGGAUCUGUCCAACAAUCAGUUCACAGGCCAUUUGCCAAUUCAAUACUUCAAGAAUAUGAAAUCAACUGAUAAUUUGUAUUGGUAUCGUAUUUCCACAGGAGAAUUAUUUUUCCAAUAUGAAGCAGCAGUCUCAUUAACUGUGAAGGGAAGAGAGUAUGAAGUAGCAAAUAACCUUCAUAUUUACACAGCCAUUGAUCUGUCGUGCAACAAAUUUCAGGGAGAAAUUCCAACGGUUACUGGAGAGCUUAGAUGGCUUGCAUUGCUCAAUUUAUCUCAUAAUAGUCUAACAGGACCUAUCCCAUCAUUGCUGAGAAAUAUGAAAGAACUCCAAUCUUUAGAUUUGUCCUCGAAUCAACUGACAGGGGCUAUUCCACCUCAGUUAUCUGCAUUGACAUUUCUAGAGGUCUUGAACCUCUCGAAAAACCAUCUUAGUGGAGAGAUUCCUCAGAAAGGACAGUUCAGCACAUUCAACAAUGAUUCUUAUCUAGGAAACUCCGCGUUAUGUGGAUCACCUUUGACGAAGAAAUGUGCAAACACAGCAUCACCUCCACAAGAAGUCGGAAAUGGUGAUGAAGAUGAUGCUGGAGAUGAAUUGACAUGGGAAGCAAUCGUGAUGGGAUAUGGAUGUGGACUGAUAUGUGGUUUGUGAGAUAUAUCGAAGUACUGCAACAGAAGUUGAUGAAAAGAUAUGCAUGAAGAAUGAUACUGGCCGAUCAAGACGAACUUGAAAGUUUGUUGUCCUUGUGGACAUUUCAGCUGAACCAGUAGUGUACUAUUCUCUUUGUGACUGCAUAAGUAUUUUGUAUUGUGUAAUGUUCUGUUUGGGCUUAAAUCAUAAUGAUUUUUCUUGCUUCAGGGGUAUUAAUAUAAAACCGUUUGGUCGGGACUCAUAAUGAUUUCUCUUGCUUCAGGGGUAUUAAUAUCAUCCUUGCUAUCUUGAACAAUGAUAAUGCAAAUUAAAAAGAAUGAAAAAACAAAAAUAUUGCAUCAAACACCUGUUGUACCAAGAUCCAUUAAUUUGCUUUCAUCUCUUACGCAACAAUUUAACAGCACUUCCACACUGUUUGAAAGAUUAUCAUAAAUUCGAGUUUUCCUCUCCAGCACCAAAUCCAAAUUAAUAUACAAUGCCACACAUUCCAGUCUCAGCUUCAGCUCCCAGGGUAGCAUUCAUUUAGCCAAGCACGACAGUGGCCGCUUACGUGCCUAACAAUAACAGUUGGGGAUUUGAGUGAACUUGCCUUGGUCCUGCCUUCAAAUGUCUGACAAUAACAGUUGGAUAUGUCGACAAAAAAAUUGUUCCUCACAGAGGAGCUAAUAGCAAUUGACUUCGAAUAAAUCCGACAGUUCUUUUCAUCCAGUUAUUAUUUCAGCAAUAUGUCUAGCAAAUAUGUAGUGCACUGGACACCAUACUACCAACACAAGUAGUAAAAGGAGAGACCAUUGUUUCGAAUGCUCGGAAAUUUGAACAGGGUUUUUUCCACCUGCCCCCUGACUUUUUACACAAACAGGUCAAGAAAAACAGAAGCCGGCUUCUGGAAAAAUGAAGCACUACUUUAUGAGUGACCAUUGUUUUGAAUGCUCGGAGAUGUGAAGUGGAUUUUUUCAGCCUGCCCCCAGACUUCUUUUUGUAAAACUAGAUUUCUUUAGCUCCGGUGUCUUAGUAUUGGAGAUUAUGAGUGACUGUAGAAAAGACUUUAAUAUGAGUGUGAGAUAUACCCCGGUGGAAACAGGACCUUGAUCCAAAGGGUCACGGGUUCAAACCUCACCUGAUCGGGUUCCACUCCACGCUCGGUCCACAUCUAUGCUGGAUUCAUAUUAAAAUGAUAAUGGAACACGGGCGUCCAUGGUUGGGGAUAUCAUAUUAAAAAGAUUAGCUGGGCACAGAUGAAUAUUUAUAUGGAUUUUAAAAACAAACUAUGACUUAAUAUAAGAAAAAUCAUUAUUUUUUAUUUUUCCGACUAAACAUUUGUUAGCCUUCUCUGGUGCCCAUCCAAAUCAUUCAGCGGGUUCUACUUUCAGCUCAUCACAAGAACAUCAUUCUGCAGGUACUUUCUUAUAUUGUUUGCCAGCGGUGACCGAGCCAGAAACUUUUUCGAGGAGGGGCCGGAAUAGAAAUAUUAUUUAAAUUUGAAAAUAUUAUAUAUCAUAUUGAAAAUAGUAUUAGUAACAAAAAUCCAUUUAUUUUAGGUUUCUAUGAGAAAACUCAGUCGUUUCAUUAAGAAAAUUUAAUUACUUAAUUACCAAACGGUUGAGGAUGAAGAUUUGAAAGAACGAGUUGCAACGGGGAGACUCAUAGACGCGACAGAAAAAAAUAGAAAAAGAUAUUGUUCAACAACCGAGUCUAUAUUAUUAAAAUUUAUGAUAAAUGAGAUAAUUUUAUUUUAUAAACUAACUAAAUACAUAUAAUAUAGUAUUAUAUGUAAUGCUACGUAAAAUUGGAUACAAGAUUUUGCACAAAAUGAUAUGAUAACUAAAGUGAAAUAUUUUAAUUGGUGCUAUUAAUGUAUAUAUACAUUUAUUACAAUUAAAACUUAACACAUAUUAUUAAUUUUGUGAAUAAAAUAUUUUUCUUAAUAAUAUAUAAGUAAAAAAAAUAAAAAUCUAGGAGGGGCUCAGGCCCCCUCUGGACCCCUCUAGCUCCGUCUGUAUACACCUAUCAUAUUAUUGACAGGUGGCUCUCUCAUAUUGCUCACAGGCGAACUCCUGCAUAUACUUUGUGAACCAAUCAUGACAAAAAUAUCAUCAUCCAAUCAAUUCGAUUAAUUAUUCUUUAAAUCAGUACAAAUAUUGUUAAAUAUAUGGAUGAUUAUCGUGUUUCCGCGAACCAAUCAUGAAAUGAAAUUACCUCUGUAUAAAUCCAUCGGAAAUAAGACAAUUAAUGGGGCCGUUUGGGCAAGCUUAAAAGAAGUGACUUCUUGCUUAAACUAGAGAAGUGGAGCAGAAGUGAGAAGUAAAUAAGUUAUUAAAGUGUUUGGAAAAGAAGCAGAAGCUGUGAGACAAAAGCUAGCAUUCUCAGCUUUUUAAAAGUGACUUCUUUACACAAACGGGUAAAAAAAGCAGAAGCCAGAAGCAGCUUCUGCUUCCGUUAAACAAACAGGCCCAAUAUCUCAAUCGAAUACACCCCGUGAGUUGUCAAACUCCUCGAAACGUAUUAAUCACUUUAGAAAUUUGUUCCACUGGCGCCAUUCAGUUCCAGAGUUGGUGGUAGGGGCCGUGCUUCUUGUGUUUCUUCUUUUCAUUAUUGACAUUGUCAUCUAGGUCCUUGCUUCUGGGCUUUGGAGAAGUAAACAAUGGAUCUAUUAGUCUUCCAUAUCGCUGAUACGCGCUAACGCGCAUUAUAGUGGAUUGAUCUUUAUUAGUGAUUUCUGUGGAGAUGCAUAAUCAUUAUAAGCUCCAAUAUAAAAUAAACCUAAUUUAAAGUUAGUAUGGGCAUUUGUGUUGAUAAUUUACGCAAUGUUAACAGGGAUUGCUCCCAAGUCUUGGACGGAUUCUUUCCAAGUCUUCUGAGGACCUAUUUGCACACUAAUUUGUCGCCAACUAAAAAUUCAACGAUAUUGCUAGCUCCCUCUACUAAUUUUUUGCGGGACGUUUUUUACUUUUAACACAUAUCUUUAGAUAGAAUUAGUAUUGUAAAAAGCGGGAAUCAGACUUAAUCGGUGAAGUCACAGAACAACGAUUAAUCGAUGAUUAAUUGGAUUGAUUGGGUAUCAAUCGGAUGAUUAAUGAAAUAAUCGGAUAUUUAAUCCGUUCGACGAGUUACGGAACAGGGAUUAAUCGUGAUUAAUCACCGACUUUUAGAACAGAGGAUAGGAUAAUAAAAUUAUUAUUUUUGAUUAUUUUUUUUGUGAAUAAAAAUUUUGAUUAUAUAUUUUUAUUAAAAAAGAAUUUAAAAUAAUAUUUUUAACUAACCGGUCCAAACAGCUAAAAGUGUGUGCCCAAGCGUCAUAUAAAAACGGAGGGAGCGAGCAUGUGCUGACUAACGGUUCAACUAACAGUUUACAAGUACUCCAUCUGUCCCAUUUAGUCCUAUUUAAUUAUAUACGUUUUUUUUUAACUGUUUGACACGCACUUCAAUGCUCUUCUAAAAUAUGGUUCUAUAACUUAUUUUUAAAAUUUUCUUUUUCUGAAUAAAAAUAUAACAUUCAAACUUUUAUUCAGAAAAAAAUAUCGUAAAAAUAAGUUAUAGAAUUAUAUUUUAUAAGAGCAUUAAAGUCCAUGUCGCGUCCCCGUCUUCUGAUGUAUAAAUUUGCGCAAUGUUAACGGGGAUUGCUCAUUUGCUCUCAAGUCUUGGACGGACCAAGUCUUCUAGGACCCAUCUGCACACUAAUUUGUCUGCCAACUAAAAAAUCAACGAUAUUGCUGCCUCUGCUAUUUUUUACCAGGACGUUUUUUACUUUUAACACAUGUUUAGAUAGGAUAAUAAAUAUUAUUAUUAUUGAUUAAUUUUUUUGUGAAUAAAAAUUUUGAAUAUAUAUUUUUAUCAAAAAAAGAAAAUUUUAAAAAUAAUAUUUUUAAGGGAAAUUAUUAAUGGUACUAUUGUGCUACUGGCUUUUCUAAAUGGUACUAUUUUGGUGUUUUCGACUUACAUGCAUUAUCACUUCCAUUAACGAUACUACCAUUCCGUCCCUCAAAACGUUAAAACCAUUAGUUGACCGUAUUUAUUUUGUAUUUUCCUUGUAAAAAAAACAAAAGAAUACAACUAAUAUUUGUAUUUUUUGUUUGUGUUCAAAUCGUCGAGAUAUGGAAGAGGUUAUCAGAAUUUUAGAAUUGAUUCGAUGUCCUUCAGAAAGUCAGGGGGAAACGGAAUGAGAUACGAGUUUUGAACAAGAAUCCAGUUUAGUUGUUGUUUAUCUUGAAAAACAGAUUUGGAAGUCAUAUAUUUUCAGCCUUUGGCUUCAUGUAUUUCUGUCUCAUCAUUCCCAGAUACUUGCUGAGGUUUAUAGUCACUGUUUAUUAAAUGUUGUCGUACAUUUUCCUGUAUUAUGCACCCAUGUGGCGCCUGUGUUUUGCAUGUCAUGCACAAUUUGCUCAACUACAUACAGGUCACAGGAUGAGUGCAUGUGCCAAAGGGAUUAGUGCAUUGAUCUGUGUAGUGUGAGGACACUGUGAUACAAGGCACAAUUUCUCAGAUUUCUUCUGUCAACACCACUCCCAUCCAUAGCUCCCACCUUUUCUCUCUCAAUCUCAUGUUUCUCUCUUUCUCUCGCAGCUCCGCCGCCACCACUACAUCAGUCUUCAAGAACUCAAGAAAAAAUAUGGAUAUCAGUUAUAUUUUUUGUGUUUUUUAAAGAAGUAUAUGAAAUAAAUAUAGUCAACUAAUGUUUUUAACGUUUUGAUGGACCGAAUGGUAGUAUCAUUAACGGAUCAUAAACUGAGUGGUACCACUUGUAAGUAAAAACCAGUGUUGUAAAAAGCGGGAAUCGGAUUUAAUCGGUGAAGUCACGGAACAAAGAUUAAUCGGAGAUUAAUCGGACUAAUCGGUGAUUAAUCGGAUAUUUAAUCAGUUCGGCGAGCUACGGAACAGGGAUUAAUCGGUCGUGAUUAAUCACCGACUUUUAGAACAGAGGUAAAAACACGAAAUGGUAUUAUUCAUAAAAGCCAAUACCACGAUGGUACCAUUAAUAAUUUCCCUAUUUUUAAUUACCGAGUCCAAAUAUUUAAACGUGUGUGCCCAAAAUUAAAGCCGCAUAUAAAAAAACGGAGGGAGCAUGUACUAACCGUUUCCAUAACAGUUUACAAGUAUAAGUUAUACUCCCUCUCAAUUUUUUUAUUUUUUUAUAUGACGUUUUGAUCUUGGGCACACAUUAUUAAGUGUUUUGACCGGAUAGUUAAAAAUAUUAUUAUUUAAAUUUUCUUUUCUGAAUAAAAAUAUAUAACCAAAAAUUUUAUUCACAAAAAUUUUUAGUGAUUUUUUCGUGAAUACCUAAGGCCAAUUUUUCAAAUAUUUUGUAAAAAUACCAAUUUUUUGAAAAUAUUUGCAAAGAUAAUGUAUUCAACCACAUGCAACCAUACUUAUAACCAGAUGUAACCAUAAUUGCAACCUCUGCGGGACCAAUUAACUGAAUUUGUAUUUGGUUGCACUAGUUAGUAUUUUCUUAAAGUUAGUAUUUUUGUAAAUAUUUUUAAAAAAAAGUAAAAUCGCAAAAAAAAAAAUCGAAAAAAUGGUUUGAUAAAUUUCUAAAUAUUUAAUCACAGAACAAUAACUUUUACAAUCCGAUCAACUCAUUUAAAAAUGUGUGUCAAAAGUAAAAAUGUCAUAUAUAUAUAUAUCAUAUAAAUGUCAUAUAAAUUUAAAACAAAGGGAUNCAUAUAAAUGUCAUAUAAAUUUAAAACAAAGGGAUAUAUAUUUUUUAAUAAAAUAUACUCCCUCUAUCCCAAAUAAGUGUCAGUGACAUUUUGCAAAAAUAGCUUGGGACAAUAGAUUUUUUUGCCACUCAACUUAAUGUGUUUUUAGAAAUUCGCCACCCAACUAAUUUUUUUUUCCUUUUACUCACUAAUGUUAGGUUUGGAUUUUUUUUAGCCACCAACUUAGGUUCGGAUUUGAUUACUAGUAUUAUGAUAAUUUUAUUUAUCACUAAACUUACUGCGUCUUUAGGAAUUAACCACUGAACUAUAAUUUUUUUAUUUUACUCACUAAUGUUAGGUUCAUUUUUUUUGUCACUGAAGUUAGGUUCGGAUUUGAUUAUUAGCAUUAUAUUAAUUAUGUGUAACAUUAUUAAAAUAUAGUGGUCUAUAAUAUUUUGAUGAUUUGGUAUAUGUCUGUAUCUUUAUAUAUAGUACUUUUUAUGUCUCCAAUGUCGUUUAACUUGAGUGGUAAGAAUUUUACACGCAUUUUAUGGCUUUUAAAAGAUGUAGUUUCAUAAAUAAUUUUAUUUUUUUCUUCCGAAUAAAAAUUCAGCGUUUUACACACAAAAAAAUAACAAAAAAAAGUUAUGAAGCUAUGUUUUAUAAGAGUCUUAAAAUACGUGCUAAGCAGUAGAAAAAACUGUAAACUAAUGAGAGGGACAUGUAGUAAUAAUAAUAAAAUGAUGCAUUAUAGAGGACAAUCAUCGAAAAUUAAGUUAACCUCUCUAUUUAUUUAUCUUGAAAAUUGUAGUAAAAUAAAGUUAUUAAAAUUUAUGAAGAUAAAUUUGAGAGAGAUCUUGGACUGAGCUAGUCAAUUGAAACUUUAAUAGCGAAAGAUGAUGCAUCAUAUCAAUCAAUUACACUUUAUCUUCUUAUCAUCAGGGAGGGUGAAUUGUUUGAAGUCAUUGAUUUCAUAUUCAUGAUUUAUUGAAUUUUAGAAUUCUAAUUACGAUUUUUCCUGGUUUUAAUUUUUCAUCGGCUCAUUUUAUAUUAUUUUUGUUAUAUAUAAGGAUAUAAACAUACGACACAUCAUCAAAAUAUUACAUACUAUCACUAUGUAUAAAUGAUGCGACAAAAAUUAUCAUAAUGCUAGUAAUUAAAUCCGAACCUGAGUAGUGGCUAAAAAAAAAUCCAAACCUAAUAUUAAUGGUAAAAGGAAAAAAAAAAUAGUUAGGUGGCAAGUUUCUAAAAACACUAUAAAUUGAGUGGCAAAAAAAAUCUAUUUUCCAAACAUAGCUUGGGGUAAUAACAAAACCUUAAUCAACGCAAGCACAGCAGACCGCAGGCAUAAGGCUUAUAAAUAGAAGUGCAGUAUUGUGUUGAUGGUCAAGUUGAGUGGAAAUAUGGUACACUUUGUAAAGCCUUGUUAUCCUCUUCUCUUUGUUUUCUUUCUCUCAUUACUUCAAUCCAUUCUAACAACACUACCUGAAUCCAGACGAGAGGGAGAAGCUCUUGUGAAAUGGAAGAAUAGCCUAGCCCCGUCUUCUUUUCUCGACUCUUGGUCACUCACUGAUCUCGAUAAUCUUUGUAACUGGACUGGCAUUACUUGUAACUCUGCAGGUUCAGUCUCGGAGAUUAACCUUUGUGAGAAACAACUUGAUGGAAUGCUGUCCGAGUUUGGUUUCACUUCAUUUCCAGAUCUCAACUAUCUCACCCUCGCAGACAACUUCUUCUCGGGUCCGAUACCAUCAGCCAUUGAGAAUCUAACACAGCUUCAAUAUCUUGAUUUAAGCAUGAAUAGUCUCAAUGGUCCCAUUCCUUUCCAGGUUAGCCAUAUUCAGAGCUUGCUCAUCUUAAACCUGUCACACAAUGCAUUGCAAUCUCCAAAUUGGUCCCAUUGCUCUCCCAUGCCUGUCUUGCGCAUCCUCGACCUUAGUUUUAAUAAUCUUGUGUCGAAAUUCCCAGAAUUUAUAUCCAAUUCUCAUAGCCUGACUCACCUUAACCUUUCAGAUAACAAGUUUACUGGUGAUCUUGUGCGUGAAUUUACCAAUCUACAAAAUCUUGAAACCCUCUACCUUCAAGAUAAUUCUUUUGAGGGGCCGUUUCCGCCUGAUAUAGUCCAGCUUUCCAAAUUAAAACGUCUCGCCCUGUUAGGUAACAAAUUUUCAGGUUCAAUUCCCAAUGACAUAAGGUUGCUUUGUGUUCUUGAAUACCUAUAUUUAGGCAACAAUUCCUUUGAAGGACCACUUCCACCAAAUAUAUUCACGCUUUCAAAAUUAAAAUUACUUGUUCUUUGGGGUAAUAAGUUUUCAGGUUCUAUUUCCAAUGAUAUAGGUUUGCUUUCUGAGCUUGAAACCCUCGUUCUUGACUCUAAUUAUUUUGAGGGGCCACUUCCGCCAAAUAUAUUCAAGCUCUCUAAAUUAAAGGUUUUUUCCCUUGUGUACAAUAACUUUUCAGGUUCUGUUUCCAAUGAUAUAGGUUUGCUUUCUGAGCUUGAAUAUCUCCGUAUUGGCUGCAAUUCUUUCGAGGGACCGUUGCCAACAAAUAUAUUCAAGCUUUCCAAAUUAAGUAAACUUGACCUAUCAAAUAAUAGUAAUUUUUUUGAAGGAAGUAUUCUUAUUGGAUUGGGACUCUUGACUAACCUCAGCUACUUAGAUCUAGAUUCCAAUAAUCUCAGUGGCUAUAUUCCAUCUGAGAUUGGAAACCUGAAGCUACUAGUAUUUCUCGAUCUUAGUUCUAAUCAAUUGACUGGAUCGCUUUCAAAGAUCUUUUCUAAUCUCACAAAUCUUAUAUAUCUUCAUGUAUAUGAUAAUAGUCUUAGUGGAAAUAUUCAGAGUGACUUGUGGAAAAACUCUGUAUCCUUGCGUUUCGUUGAUCUUGCAAAUAAUUAUUUGUCUGGAAACAUCCCUAAGGAAUAUAACGAUCAUCCAACUUUGGAAUACAUUAAUUUAAGUUGGAACCAUUUUACAGGUAUAUUUUCUCUAUAUAUCUUUUCCUUUUCUNCUCAUAUGUAACUAAGCUUGAUUAUUGCAAUUUUACCUAAGUUUCAACAAUCUUGACAGGUGAGCUUCCAACAACAAUUUGCAAUGUCACUUCCCUCUCGGUUCUUGUUUUGUCAAAGAAUGGAUUAAGUGGUCCACUUCCAAAUUGUUUCGGAAAUCUUGCUGAUAGAUUGCUUUCCAUUAAUCUUGCUAAUAAUCAGUUCCGAGGAACAAUACCAACUACUUUCUCCAGCAGUUGUCAGCUGACAUAUCUAAACAUGGAUGAUAAUGAGUUUGAAGGAAUGUUGCCUCAAUCUUUGGCGAAAUGUAAGCACUUGAAAAUUCUUGAUAUUGGCAAUAACAAAAUAGGUGGUAUAUUUCCGUCAUGGCUUUAUGUACUUGGAGAGCUAGAAGUCCUUGUCUUGCGAUCAAAUAAACUCUAUGGUACAAUAAGUGGAAGGAGCAUAGAAGAUCCGUUCCCCAAGUUGCGGAUUGUGGAUCUGUCCAACAAUCAAUUCACCGGCCAGUUGCCAAUUCAAUACUUUAAGAAUAUGAAAUCAACUGAUAAUUUGUAUCGUUAUCGGAAUUCCACAGGACCAUUAUCUUUCUCUUAUGAAGCAGCAGUCUCAUUAACUGUGAAGGGAACAGAGUACGAGGUAGCAAAGAACCUUCAUAUUUACACAGCCAUUGACCUGUCAUGCAACAAAUUUCAGGGAGAAAUUCCAAAGGUUACUGGAGAGCUUAGAUGGCUUGCAUUGCUGAAUUUAUCUCAUAAUAGUCUGACAGGACCUAUCCCAUCCUUGCUGAAAAAUAUGAAAGAACUCCAAUCUUUAGAUUUGUCCUCAAAUCAACUGACAGGGGCUAUUCCACCUCAGUUAACUGCAUUGACAUUUCUGGAGGUCUUCAACCUCUCGGGAAACCAUCUUAGUGGAGAGAUUCCUCAGAAAGGACAGUUCAGCACAUUUAACAAUGAUUCUUAUCUAGGAAACUCCGCGUUAUGUGGAUCACCUUUGACAAAGAAAUGUGCAAACACAGCAUCACCUCCACAAGAAGUCGGAAAUGGUGAUGAAGAUGAUGCUGGUGAUGAAUGGACAUGGGAAGCAAUCGUGAUGGGAUAUGGAUGUGGACUGAUAUGUGGAUUGUCAUCUGCGUACAUUGUUCUCAAACUAGGAAAGCCUUGGUGGUUUGUGAGAUAUAUCGAAGUGCUGCAACUGAAGUUGAUGAAAAGAUAUGCUUGAAAAAUGGUACUGGCCGAUCAAGACGAACUUGAAAGUUGUUGUCCUUGUGGACAUUUCUGAACCAGUAGUGUACUAGCUGCAUAAGUAUUUGGUAUUAUGUAAUAAUCCGUUUGGUCAGGACUCAUAAUGAUUUCUCUUGCUUCAGGGGUAUUAAUAUUAACCUUGCUAGUUAAUUCAAAUUAAAACAAAUAUAAAAUCAAAAAAUUUGCAUCAAACACCUGUUAUACCAACAUCCAUUAAUUUGCUUUCAUCUCUUACGUAACAAUUUAACAGCGAUUCCACACUGUUUUAGGCAUGGAGAUUACACAAAGAAGGCAAGUCCAUGGACUAAUAUACGAACAAUUCAUAUUGGUCUUCCAUCUGUUCAACCGUCUCCCGAAGAUAGGCCAAAAAUGUCAUCUGUGGUUCUUAUCUUUGUCAGUAAAGGAGAAUCUCUGAUGCCUAUACAACCUGGUUUUCUUACCGAAAGGAAUGUAGGUGAAACCAGGGGCAUAAAAUGAAUCGGGACUAAAAUCUGCUAAAAUGAUAAUUAUUUACUCAUCAUUCGAGAUUAGUCGGGCUCGAAUGAAGAUUUAUAUGGAUUUUAAGAACAAACUAUGACUAAAUAUGAAAAAAUCAUUAAUUUUUCCGACUCAAUAUUUUUAGCCUCCCCCGGCCCUGGGUGAAACCAUAAGCUUCUCUGGUGCACAUCCAAAUCAUUCAGCUGGUUCUACAUUCAGCUCACCCACAGGAACAUCAUUCUGCAGGUACUCUCUUAUCUGUACUUUCUUAUAUUGUAUGCCAGAAAAUUUAAUAUCGACAAACUGCACAAUACACCUCGAUCUCAUAUUAUUGACAGGUGAGCUCCUCUCAUAAUGCUCACAGGCGAACUCCUGCAUAUAUACUUUGUGAUGUCAUUGAUGAUCGAUAGGCUUGAAAAAAAAUUAUGACAAAGAUUCAUAAAAUAUCUACUUCCAUCCUAAUUCAGUAUUCAAUAUUAUUCAUUCCGUAUCAUCAUCCAAUCAAUUCUAAUAGUUCUUCUUUAAAUCAGUAUAAAUAUUGUUAAAUAUAUUGAUGAUGGUUGUCUUUCCGCGAACCAAUCAUAAAAUUACCUCUGUAUAAAUCCAUCGGAAAUAAGACAGUUAAUAUCCCAAUCGAAUACACCCCUGUCAGUUGUCAAACUCCUCGAAACGUAUUAAUCACUUUAGAAAAUUUGUUCCACUGGCGCUAGUCAGUCCCAGAGUUGGUGGUGGGUGCUUCUGGGCUUUCGAAAAGCACCCAUUUACUCCAUUGUUUAGAGAAGUAAAACCCCACCUUCCGCUCAUUUGAUUGAUCAGCUGAAUUAGGCAGAGUUUACAUGGUCAUGAUCAUAGUCUCCCAUUUCCCAGAUACGCGCAUUAUAGUGGAUUUAUCUUUAUCAGUAAUUUCUGUGGAGAUGCAUAAUCAUUAUAAACUCCAAUAUAAAAAUUUAAAGUUGGUAUGGGCAUUUGUGUUGAUAAUUUGCGCAAUGUUAACAGGAAUUGCUCCCAAGUCUUGGACGGACUCUUUCAAAGUCUUCUGAGGACCCAUCUGCACACUAAUUUGUCUCCCAACUAAAAAAUCAACAAUAUGUUACUCCCUCCGUUUUUCUUAAACGAGGUUAAAAUUUUUGACACAAGAUGGGUUGACAGUAUAAUAAAAAUUUUUGUGAAUAAAAUUUUUUUUAUUUAGAAAGAUAAUCUUGAAAAUAAUAUUAUUAACUAAGUUAAAUCACUUAAAAGUGUAUGUCCAAAAAUUAAAGCGGCAUAUAAAAAAAAGGGAGGGAGCAUGUACUAACUGUUUCCAUAACAGUUUACAAGUAUAAGUUAUACUCCCUCUCUAUUUUUUUAUAUGACGGUUUGAUUUUGGGCACACAUUUUUAAGUGUUUUGACCAGAUAAUUAAAAGGGGUUUUCUCAUAAAUACCUAAGUCUAAAAUUAUUUUUACGAAAAUAUUAUAUCUUUUUUUAAAUAUUUUGCAAAAAUACCAAACUUUGUAAAUAUUUACAAAAAUACGGUAUGCAACCCGUUGCAACCACAUGCAACCUUACUUGCAACCAUAUUUGCAACCCCUGCGGGGUCAAUUAACUGAAAUUGCAUCUGGUUGCGUUUAGUUGCAGACCGUAUUUUUGCAAAUAUUUUCUAAAAAGUUAGUAUAUUUGCAAUUUUUUUAAAAAUAUAAGAAAAUCGCAAAAAUUAUAACAAAGCUUCAAGAUUUUUAACAGGUGAGCUUCCACUAAAAAUUUGCAAAGUCACUUCCCUUUCGCGUCUCAUUAUGUCAGAUAUUGGUCAAGUGGUGCACUUCCACAGUGUUUGGGGAACCUUUCUUUGCUUGGUUUCAAUAAUCUUGCUAAUAAUCAAUUUCAAGGACCAAUACCAACGACUGUCCAAGACUUGUCUGUGCAUAUCUAAACAUCCAUAACAAUCACUUUGAAGGUUUGUUGCUCCAAUCUUUGGCAAACUGUAAACACUUACAAAUUCUUGAUAUUGGAAACAACAAAAUAGGUGGUACAUUUCCGUCAUGGCUAUUUACUGUUGGAGAGCUAGAUGUCCUAGUUAGGACGGUAUUUCGACUAGAGCAAGCCGAGUUUUGAGCGGAGCCCAAUUCGAGCCAAGUUUAAUCGAGUCGAGCCGAGUCAGUUCGUUUGGCUAAUCGAGCCUAAAACUCUGUCCGAACUCGACUCGUUUAAUUUCACGAGUUGAGUCAAGCCAGCUCAUUUAGCUAAACGAGUUGGUUUUAACGAGUUAAACGAGUGAGCUCGUAUAAUUUUAACUUAAUCGAGCCUGGAUCUCUAUCCGAACUAUUGGCUCGUGUAAUUUCGCGAGUCGAAUCGAGCCGGCUCGUUUUAUUAAACAAACCGAAAUUUUUGCCCAAAUUUUGCUCGUUUAACAAGCCGAUCUGAACCUAGUUAAAUGAGUUCGAGCUAGUCGAGCUCGCAGCUUGCGAGCUCGCCGGACAGCUCUAGUACUAGUCUUGCGAUCAAAUAGGUUUCACGGUAUAGAAAGUGGAAGGAACACAAGGCAUCUGUACUUUCUUGUACUGUAUGCCACUUUGACAGUAAAAUUUAUACUCCCUCCGUCCGAAUGAAUUGUAUACAGUUUACUUUUUGGGACGUCCCAUCAAUUGUAUACAUUCCUAAAGUAGUAAACUUUUAUAAUAUAAAACAUCAUUAAACCAACUACUUUCUUCCCCUAUCUCCAUUCUAUAAUAAUAUAAACACUAUUACACCCACUACUUUCCUCCACUAUCUCAAAUUUAUUAUUAAAUAUAAAUGGGUCCCACCACUAUACUCACUUUUCAUCCAACUUUACUCAUUUCUAAUAAAAUUUCUUGGUCUCCGUGUCCCAGCCAUUUGUAUACAAAUGACUGGGACGGAGGGAGUAUCAACAAACUGCACGAUUAAAUCCUCGUACAAUUGACAGGUGAACUCCUGCAUAUGUUCUGAACUAUUACGUACUAUAUUAUGCAAGCUGUUUGCAACUUUCAUCAAAAUUUUCAAACAUUUCUUAAUAUGUUUUUUCAAAAAAUUCUCGGGCCCUCUUAAGGCCUAUUAUUAUUGCAACUCUCACGUUAUGGACCACUAUGUAUUUUACAAGCACGACGAAUCAUGUGGUCAUUAUGGACUCCCCAAGCCUUCGAGGACUCACUCCAGGUCUUAGGAGGACCACUGCCUAGCUCACCCUUUCGGAGUGAUGUAAAUUAUUUUCUAGACACUAAAAAUAAGUAUUCAGAUUAAUCAUUACAAAAUUAAGGAUAUAAAAUCAGAAUAAAUCCUAAACUUUGAUGAUACAAAAAAAUUAUAAUUGUAAAUUAUACAAUCAAAUUAAAAUCGAAUUAACUUCCCUCACACUUAAAAUUUAUAGCGAUCAAAUCAAAAUCGAAUUAACUUUCCUAUUACUAAAAUAUAAUUACAAUAUUAUUAGAUAAAGAGAAUAUAUAAUAAUCAAGAGAAAAUAGAUUUUUUUUUGCCACUCAACUUAUCGUGUUUUAAGAAACUUACCACCCAACUAAAUUUUUUUUCCUUUUGCUCACUAAUGUUAGGUUUGGAUUUGUUUUUAGCCACCAACUAAGGUUCGGAUUUGAUUACCAGCAUUAUGAUAAUUUUUUUUGUCACUAAACUUAUUGCGUCUUUAGAAACUAACCACUCAACUAAAUUUUUUUUUAUUUUACUCACUAAUGUUAGGUUCAGUUUUUUUUUGUCACUGAAGUUAGGUUCGGAUUUGAUUAUUAGCAUUACAUUAAUUCUGUGUAGCAUUUUUAAAAUAUGGUAGUACUCUGUGAUAUUUAGAUGAUUUGAUAUAUGUCUGUAUUUUUAUAUAUAGUAUAUUUUAUGUCUCCAAGAUCAUUUACCUUGGGUCAUAAGAAUUUUACACGCAUUAUAUGACUUUUAAAAGAUGUAGUGUCAUAAAUAAUUUUAUUUUUUUUUCCGAAUUAAAAUUCAGCAUUUGAAUUUUACACACACAAAAAUCGCAAGAAUAAGUUAUGAAAUUAUGCUUUAUAAGAGUCUUAAAAUACGUGCUAAACGGUAGAAAAAACGGUGAAAUAAUGAGAGGUACAUAGGAGUAAUAAUAACAUAAAAUGAUGCACAAGUUAGUAUAUUGGACUAAUAUUCACGCAUUUAUAUACGAGAAUAUAUGGUCCACAAGUUAGUGCACAAUGUCCAAGAAUCUUUAUCAAAGUAACACGGCAAGCAUGCAGCAUAUAAAUAAGAGUGGGCAGUAUGGUAUUGCAUUCAUAACCCACUUGAGGAGAAAUAUGGCACACUUCCUAAAGCCUUCUCACCUUCUUCUCUUUGUUUUCUCUCUCUCGUUACUUCAAUCCAUUCUACCAACAAGACCAGAGGGAGAAGCUCUUGUGAAAUGGAAGAAUAGCCUAGCCCCUUCUUCUUUUCUCGAUUCUUGGUCACUCACCAAUCUCGAUGAUCUUUGUAACUGGACUGGCAUUACUUGUAACUCUGCAGGUUCAGUCUCUGAGAUUAACCUUUAUGAGAAACAACUUGAUGGAAUGCUGUCCGAGUUUGGCUUCACUUCAUUUCCGAAUCUCAACAAUCUCACCCUCGCAUACAACUUCUUCUCGGGUCCAAUUCCACCAGCCAUUGAGAAUUUAACACAGCUUCAAUAUCUUGAUUUAAGCAUCAAUAGUCUCGAUGGUCCCAUUCCGUUCCAGGUUAGCCAUCUUCAGAGGUUGCUCGUCUUAAACCUGUCACAGAAUGCAUUGCAAGCUCCAAAUUGGUCCAAAUUCUCCCCCAUGCCCUUUUUGUGCAUCCUCAACCUCAGUAGCAAUCCUCUUGCGUCGACAUUCCCAAAUUUCAUAUCCAAUUCUCAUGGCCUGACUCACCUCAGCCUUGAUCAAAACGAGUUUACAGGUGAUUUAGCGCGUGAAUCAAUAUUUGCCAAUCUGCAUAAUCUUGAAGUCCUCAGUCUUGUUGGCAAUUCUUUUGAGGGGGCCAUUUCCGCCAAAUAUAUUCAAGCUUUCCAAAUUAAAACAUCUUAGCCUGUCAGAUAACAAACUUUCAGGUUCAAUUCCCAAUGACAUAAGGUUGCUUUGUGAUCUUGAAUACCUAUAUUUAGGCAACAAUUCCUUUGAAGGACCGCUUCCACCAAAUAUAUUCAAGCUUUCAAAAUUAAAACAUCUUAUUCUUUGGGGUAAUAAGUUUUCAGGUUCUGUUUCCAACGAUAUAGGUUUGCUUUCUGAGCUUGAAAGCCUCUAUCUUGACUCCAAUUUUUUUGAGGGGCCGCUUCCGCCAAAUUUAUUCAAGCUCUCCAAACUAAAGAUUCUUUUCCUUUAUGAGAAUAACUUUUCAGGUUUUAUUUCUAAGGAUAUAGGUUUGCUUUUUGAACUUGAAACCCUCUAUCUUGACUCUAAUUUUUUUGAGGGGCCGCUUCCCCCACAUGUAUUUAGGCUCUCCAAAUUAAGAGAUCUGGGUCUCUCAGACAAUAGAAAUUUAUUUGAAGGAAGUAUUCCUAUUGGACUGGGACUCUUGACUAACCUCAGAUACUUGCGUCUAUCUUCCAAUAAUCUCGGUGGCUAUAUUCCAUCUGACAUUGGAAACCUGAAGCAACUAGAACUUCUUGAUCUCGGUUCUAAUCAAUUGACUGGACCGCUUUCAAAGAUCGUUUCUAAUCUCACAAAUCUUAUAUAUCUUGAUGUGAGUUAUAAUAGUCUUAGUGGAAAUAUUCAGAGUGACUGGUGGAAAAACUCUGUAUCCUUACGUUACAUUGAUUUUGAAAAUAAUUAUUUGUCUGGGAACAUUCCUAAGGAAUAUAACGAUCAUCCAACUUUGGAAUACAUCAAUUUAGGUGGGAACCAUUUUACAGGUAUAUUUUCUCUAUAUAUCUUUUCCUUUUGUCAUAUGUAAAUAAGCUAGUAAUCUGGUUAUUGUAGUUUUACCAAAGUUUCAACAAUCUUGACAGGUGAGCUUCCAACAACAAUUUGCAAUGCCACUUCCCUUUCGGUUCUUGUUUUGUCAAAUAAUGGAUUAAGUGGUGCACUUCCAAAAUGUUUCGGGAAUCUUGCUGAUGGAUUGCUUUACAUUAAUCUUGCUAAUAAUCAGUUUCGAGGAACAAUACCAACUACUUUCUCCAGGAGUUGUCGGUUGACAUAUCUAAACAUGGAUAAUAAUGAGUUUGAAGGAUUGUUGCCCCCAUCUUUGGCGAACUGUAAGCACUUGAAAAUUCUUGAUAUAGGCAAUAAUAAAAUAGGUGGUACAUUUCCGUCAUGGCUUUAUGCACUUGGAGAGCUAGAAGUUCUUGUCUUGCGAUCAAAUAAACUCUAUGGUACGAUAAGUGGAAGGAGCAUAGAAGAUCCCUUCCCAAAGUUGCGGAUUGUGGAUCUGUCCCACAAUCAAUUGACAGGCUAUUUGCCAAUUCAAUACUUUAAGAAUAUGAAAUCAACUGAUGAUUUGUAUAGUUUCCGGAAUUCCACAGGAACCGCAUCUAUCUCUUAUGAAGCAUCGGUCUCAUUAACCGUGAAGGGAACAGAGUAUGAAGUAGCAAAUAACCUUCAUAUUUACACAGCCAUUGAUCUAUCGUGCAACAAAUUUCAGGGACAAAUUCCAAAGGUUACUGGAGAGCUUAAAUGGCUGGCAUUGCUCAACUUAUCUCAUAAUAGUCUAACAGGACCUAUCCCGUCAUUGCUGAGAAAUAUGAAAGAACUCCAGUCUUUAGAUUUGUCUUCAAAUCAACUAACAGGGGCUAUUCCACCUCAGUUAACUGCACUGACAUUUCUAGAGGUCUUGAACUUCUCGGGAAACCAUCUUAGUGGAGAGAUUCCUCAGAAAGGACAGUUCAGCACAUUCAACAAUGAUUCCUAUCUAGGAAACUCUGCGUUAUGUGGAUCACCUUUGACGAAGAAAUGUGUAAACACUGUAUCACCUCCUCAGGAAGUCGAAAAUGGUGAUGAAGAUGAUGCUGGUGAUGAAUUGACAUGGGAAGCAAUCGUGAUGGGAUAUGGAUGUGGACUGAUAUGUGGAUUGUCAUCUGCGUACAUUGUUCUCAAACUAGGAAAGCCUUGGUGGUUUGUGAGAUAUAUCGAAGUACUGCAACUGAAGUUGAUGAAAAGAUAUGCAUGAAGAAAGGUACUGGUAGAUCAAGAUGAACUUGAAAGUUGUUGUCCUGGUAGACAUUUCUGAACCAGUAGUAUACUAGCUGUGUAAGUAUUUGGUAUUAUGUAAUAAUCCGUUUGGUCGGGACUCAAAAUGAUUUCUCUUGCUUCAGGGGUAUUAAUAUUAACCUUGCUAUCUUGAUCAAUGUUAAUGCAAAUUAAAAAGAAUAUAAAAGCAAAAAAUUUGCAUCAAACACCUGUUGUACCACAGGCUUCCGACUCAAUAUUUGUUAGCCUCCCGUGCCCUGUGUGAAACCAUAAGCUUCUCUGGUGAAUAUCCAAAUCAUUCAGCUGGUUCUACUUUCAGCUCACCGCAGGAACAUCAUUCUGCAGGUACUCUCUUAUCUGUACUUUCUUAUAUUGUAUGCCAGAAAAUUUAAUAUCGACAAACUGCACAAUACACCUCGAUCUCAUAUUAUUGACAGGUGAGCUCCUCUCAUAAUGCUCACAGGCGAACUCCUGCAUAUACUUUGUGAUGUCAUUGAUGAUCGAUAGACUUGAAAAAAAAUUAUGACAAAGAUUCAUAAAAUAUCUACUUCCAUCCUAAUUCAGUAUUCAAUAUUAUGCAUUCCGUAUCAUCAUCCAAUCAAUUCUAAUAGUUCUUCUUUAAAUCAGGACAAAUAUUGUUAAAUACAUGGAUGAUGGUUGUCUUUCCGCGAACCAAUCAUGAAAUUACCUCUGUUUAAAUCCGUCGAAAAUAAGAAAAUUAAUAUCCCAAUCGAAUACACCCCGUGAGUUGUCAAACUCCUCGAAACAUAUUAAUCACUUUAGAAAAUUUCAACAAUCUUGACAGGUGAGCUUCCAACAACAAUUUGCAAUGUCACCUCCCUUUCGGUUCUUGUUUUGUCAAAUAAUAAAUUAAGUGGUGCACUUCCAAACUGUUUCGGGAAUCUUGCUGAUGGAUUGCUUUACAUUAAUCUUGCUAAUAAUCAGUUUCAAGGAACAAUACCAACUACUUUCUCCAGGAGUUGUCCGUUGACAUAUCUAAACAUGGAUAAUAAUGAGUUUGAAGGAUUGAUGCCCCCAUCUUUGGCGAACUGUAAGCACUUGAAAAUUCUUGAUAUAGGCAAUAAUAAAAUAGGUGGUACAUUUCCGUCAUGGAUUUAUGCACUUGGAGAGCUAGAAGUUCUUGUCUUGCGAUCAAAUAAACUCUAUGGUACAAUAAGUGGAAGGAGCAUAGAAGAUCCCUUCCCCAAGUUGCGGAUUGUGGAUCUGUCCAACAAUCAAUUCACAGGCCAUUUGCCAAUUCAAUACUUUAAGAAUAUGAAAUCAAAUGAUAAUUUGUAUCGUUAUCUGAAUUCCACAGGAGAAAUAUAUAUCUCUUAUGAAGCAGCAGUCUCAUUAACUGCGAAGGGAACAGAGUAUGAAGUAGCAAAUAACCUUCAUAUUUACACAGCCAUUGAUCUGUCGUGCAACAAAUUUCAGGGAGAAAUUCCAAAGGUUACCGGAGAGCUUAGAUAGCUUGCAUUGCUCAAUUUAUCGCAUAAUAGUCUAACGGGACCUAUCCCAUCAUUGCUGAGAAAUAUGAAAGAACUCCAAUCUUUAGAUUUGUCCUCAAAUCAACUGACAGGGGCCAUUCCACCUCAGUUAACUGCAUUGACAUUUCUAAAGGUCUUAAAUCUCUCGAAAAACCAUCUCAGUGGAGAGAUUCCUCAGGAAGGACAGUUCAGCACAUUCAACAAUGAUUCUUAUCUAGGAAACUCCGCGUUAUGUGGAUUACGUCUGACAAAGAAAUGUGCAAACACAGCAUCACCACCACAAGAAGUCGGAAAUGGUGAUGAAGAUGAUGCUGGUGAUGAAUUGACAUGGGAAGCAAUUGUGAUGGGAUAUGGAUGUGGACUGAUAUGUGGAUUAUCAUCUGCGUACCUUGUUUUCAAACUAGGAAAGCCUUGGUGGUUUGUGAGAUAUAUCGAAGUACUGCAACUGAAGUUGAUGAAAAGAUAUGCAUGAAGAAUGGUACUGGCCGAUCAAGACGAACUUGAAAGUUGGUCCUUGUGGACAUUUCAGCUGAACCAGUAGGUACUAUUCUCUUUGUGACUGCAUAAGUAUUUUGUAUUGUGUAAUGUUCUGUUUGGUCUUAAAUCAUAAUGAUUUUUCUUGCUUCAGGGGUAUUAAUAUAAAACUUGGUAUUGUGUACUAGCUGUAAUAUUCCGUUUAAUCAAUGUUAAUACCUGUAAUUUUAUGCUCCUGACUGCAUCAUGCAGCUCUCAUAUUAUCUUCAUAUGUGUAUUUAUUUGGAUAUUGAAGUUGCAUGGACAUAUGGAUAUGUGUUAACGGGGAUUGCUCCCAAGUCUUGGACGGACUCUUUCCAAGUCUUCCGAGAUCCUAUUGGUUCAAAUUAGUCCAAUUUGAACUGCCAUCAAAUGCAACUCUGUAGAUUCUGUCUCUGAGAUUAACCUUUCAGGACAUCAGCUCAAUGGUACACUUGCUGAAUUCAGUUUCGUUUAAUUUCCGAAUCUACAAAUUAAGCUACAAUAACUUCACUUGUCCAAUACCCCCAGACAUUGGAAAUUUAACAGAGCUGCAACACCUUGAUUUUAGCUCUAAUAAACUCACUGCUGCAAUUCCGGACCAGGUAAGCCAUCUUCAAACAUUGCGGACCUUAAACCUGUAGGAUAAUCAACUUGGAAGCUCCAAACUGGUCCGCUUUUUCCCCUAUGCCUUCUCUGACAAACCUCUGUCUCAAUAAUAAUAAUCUUUCGUCGAAAUUCCAAGACUUCAUAUUAAAUUGUGGUAACCUGACUUACUUUGAUCUUUCAUUAAAUAUGUUAACAGGUAAUUUGGUUCCUUCAUCAAUUUUUAGAAAUUUGUAUAAUCUUGAAUUCCUUUAUCUUUCUAGCAAUUAUUUUGAGGGGCCUUUCCCGCCANNNNNNNNNNNNNNNNNNNNNNNNNNNNNNNNNNNNNNNNNNNNNNNNNNNNNNNNNNNNNNNNNNNNNNNNNNNNNNNNNNNNNNNNNNNNNNNNNNNNNNNNNNNNNNNNNNNNNNNNNNNNNNNNNNNNNNNNNNNNNNNNNNNNNNNNNNNNNNNNNNNNNNNNNUUUCCCUAUCAUAUAAUAGAUUUUCAGGUUCUAUUUCCAUAUGAUAUAGGAAUGCUUCGUGUUUUGGAAUCCCUUUUUUUAGUAGUAGUUCUUUUAAUGGCCCACCUCCACCAAAUUUAUUUAAAUUUUCUAAAUUAAAAGUUUUUUCCCUAUCAUUAAUAACUUUUCGGGUUCUAUUCGAAAUGAAACAGGGAUGCUUCAUGAUUUAGAGUCCCUCUAUCUUAAUGAACAUUCUUUUAAGGGGCCGUUUCCACCAAAUAUAUUCAACCUUUCCAAAUUAAAAGUUCUUAAUUACCUCUCAAAUAAUUCCUUUUCAGGUUCAGUUCCUAGUGAUAUAAGUGUGCUUCGUGAUCUUGAGAUACUUAAUUUGUCCUCUAAUUCUUUUGAAGGAAUUAUCCCAUUGGAGCUUGGGUUCUUGAAUAACGUGAGCUAUUAUUAUAUCUUGAUUCCACUCAAUUGACUGGACCGCUUUUGAAGAACAUUUAUAAUCUCAGUAAUUUUUUGUGUUGGCUUGAAUGGAUCAUUCCAUUCCCUCCAAAACUCAUUCCGUUCAUGUCAACCAAACAGAGCAUCAAUUACUAGUUACUGGGAAAUGCAUUAGCCUAAAUGUUCCUGGUUCAUUGUUACCGGUAUUUCUUAACUGCUGUGAUUGCAAAUUCAGUUGCAGAUUGUUCAUAUAUAUCUAGAGAGACCUGACAUAACUUUAGCCUCUGAUAUACAGCUUCCUUUCACAGUUGUGCCUAUUCACCUAGACGCGUUUUUAACUGCAUAAUGUUGGGUCAACUUCCGACCAUUUAUUUUCUCAUUUGAAAUUAGUGUAUUAAAGUUCGACUUUAAGAAAAUAUAUAGUUUUGUUAAACAAAAAUUCCAAAAGGUUUGGUACGUUUUGAGCUGGGACUUUGAAAUUGUUUGUCGUUAAAGAUGAAGAUUCACUUUUUAAGUUAUAUUAAUCUGUAGUGGUAGACUGGUAGUUUUUCUUUAUUGCUACUUUCCUUGUGCGUUCUUUAUAUUGAUUUAUUAUUUAAUUCGUAAAGUGUUGCGAACUACAUUCCUGCAAAAGUAAAAUCAGUGGAAUUUGUUUGAUAGCAUGAUGAAUAUUUAAAGGGGUUAAUUAUCAAAUUGGUCACUGAAGUGACUUUAAUGUAUCAAGUUGGUCACUGAACUCAAAACGGUAUUAAGAUAGUCACUGAAGUGGACAUAAAUAUCAAACAGGUACCUUGAAAUAUAAGUUCAAGCAGUAAAGAUAUUAUUUAUAAAAUUUUACACAUUAUUUUUAAAUGUUACCACAACCAACUAAAAGGUUAUGACUUCUAGUAUUUAAAUUAAUAUAUUUAUUUUAUCAAGUUUAUUUAUUAUUUAUAUUUUAUUAUAUAGUUAUUUUCUUUGUUUUAAUUAAAAAUAAAUAAUAAAUAAACUUGAUAAUAUCUAAAUAUAUUAUCAUAAAUAUUAGAAUUCAUAACCUUUUACUUGGUCUAGGUAACAUUCAAAAAUAAUGUGUAAAACUUUAUAAAUAAUAUUAUCUUUAUAUUCUUUCCUUUUCUAUGUACCUAUGCUAAUUAUCUGAUUAUUAAAAUUAUAACAAAGCUUCAAGAUUUUUAACAGGUGAGCUUCCACUAAAAAUUUGCAAAGUCACUUCCCUUUCGCGUCUCAUUAUGUCAGAUAUUGGAAACAACAAAUAGGUGGUACAUUUCCGUCAUGGCUAUUUACUGUUGGAGAGCUAGAUGUCCUAGUUAGGGCGGUAAUUCGACUAAAGCAAACCGAGUUUUGAGCGGAGUCAAAUUCGAGCCAAGUUUAAUCGAGUCGAGCCGAGUCGGCUCAUUUAGCUAAUCGAGCCUAAAACUCUGGUCGAACUCGACUCGUUUAAUUUCGCGAGUCAAGUCGACCCAGCUCGUUUAGUUAAAUGAGCUGGUUUUAACGAGUCAAGCGAGUGAGCUCGUAUAAUUUUAACUUAAUCGAGUCUAAAUCUCUACCCGAACUAUUGGCUCGUGUAAUUUCACGAGUAGAAUCGAGCUGGCUCGUUUUAUUAAAGAAGCCGAAAUUUUUGCCCGAAUUUGGCUUGUUUAACAAGCCGAUCUUUCAUCAAAAUUUUCAAACAUUUCUGAAUAUGUAUUUUCAGAGAAUUUCUCCGGCACUCUUAAGGCCUAUAAUUAUUGCAACUCUCACGUUAUGGACCACUAUGUAUUUUACGAGCACGACGAAUCAUGUGGUCAUUAUGGACUCCCCAAGCCUUCGAGGACUCAUUCCAGGUCUUAGGAGGACCACUGCCUAGCUCACCCUCUCGGAGUGAUGUAAAUUAUUUUCCAGACACUAAAAAUAAGUAUUCAGAUUAAUCAUUACAAAAUUAAGGAUAUAAAAUCAGAAUAAAUCCUAAACUUUGAUGAUACAAAAAAAUUAUAAUUGUAAAUUAUACAAUCAAAUUAAAAUCGAAUUAACUUCUCUCACACUUAAAAUUUAUAGCGAUCAAAUCAAAAUCGAAUUAACUUUCCUAUUACUAAAAUUUAAUUACAAUAUUAUUAGAUAAAGAGAAUAUAUAAUAAUCAAGGGAAAAUAGAUUUUUUUUUGCCACUCAACUUAUUGUGUUUUAAGAAAUUUACCACCCAACUAAAUUUUUUUUCCUUUUGCUCACUAAUAUUAGGUUUGGAUUUGUUUUUAGCCACCAACUAAGGUUCGGAUUUGAUUACUAGCAUUAUGAUAAUUUUUUGUCACUAAACUUAUUGCGUCUUUAGAAACUAACCACUCAACUAAUUUUUUUUUUAUUUUACUCACUAAUGUUAGGUUCAGUUUUUUUUUUGUCACUGAAGUUAGGUUCGGAUUUGAUUAUUAGCAUUACAUUAAUUCUGUGUAGCAUUUUUAAAAUAUGGUAGUAGUCUGUGAUAUUUAGAUGAUUUGAUAUAUGUCUGUAUUUAUAUAUAUAGUAUUUUUUAUGUCCCCAAGGUCGUUUACCUUGGGUCAUAAGAAUUUUACACACAUUUUAUGACUUUUAAAAGAUGUAGUUUCAUAAAUAAUUUUAUUUUUUUCUUCCGAAUUAAAAUUCAGCGUUUGAAUUUUACACACAAAAAAAUCGCAAAAAUAAGUUAUGAAACUAUGUUUUAUAAGAGUCUUAAAAUACGUGUUAAACGGUAGAAAAAACUGUAAACUAAUGAAAGGUACAUAGGGAGUAAUAAUAACAUAAAAUGAUGCACAAUCAUCGAAUUAAGUUUUCCUCUCUCUCUAUAUAUUUAUUUUGAAAAUUAUAAUAAGAUAAAGUUAUUAAAAUUUAUGAUAUAAAUUUAAAAGAGAUCUUAGACUGAGUGGCAAAAAUUUAGUUGGAUGGUAAGUUUCUAAAAAUACAAUAAAUUGAGCGGGAACAAAAUCUAUUUUCCCAAUAAUCAAAGUGAUGAAAAAUUAAAGUCAUCUAAUAAGUCCAGAAAAAAUAUGACCAUUAGUAUUUUGGAAUAAUAUUCACGCAUUUAUAUACGAGAAUAUAUGGUCCACAAGUUAGUGCACAAUGUCCAAGAAUCUUUAUCAAAGUAACACGGCAAGCAUGCAGCAUAUAAAUAAGAGUGGGCAGUAUGGUAUUGCAUUCAUAACCCACUUGAGGAGAAAUAUGGCACACUUCCUAAAGCCUUCUCACCUUCUUCUCUUUGUUUUCUCUCUCUCGUUACUUCAAUCCAUUCUACCAACAAGACCAGAGGGAGAAGCUCUUGUGAAAUGGAAGAAUAGCCUAGCCCCUUCUUCUUUUCUCGAUUCUUGGUCACUCACCAAUCUCGAUGAUCUUUGUAACUGGACUGGCAUUACUUGUAACUCUGCAGGUUCAGUCUCUGAGAUUAACCUUUAUGAGAAACAACUUGAUGGAAUGCUGUCCGAGUUUGGCUUCACUUCAUUUCCGAAUCUCAACAAUCUCACCCUCGCAUACAACUUCUUCUCGGGUCCAAUUCCACCAGCCAUUGAGAAUUUAACACAGCUUCAAUAUCUUGAUUUAAGCAUCAAUAGUCUCGAUGGUCCCAUUCCGUUCCAGGUUAGCCAUCUUCAGAGGUUGCUCGUCUUAAACCUGUCACAGAAUGCAUUGCAAGCUCCAAAUUGGUCCAAAUUCUCCCCCAUGCCCUUUUUGUGCAUCCUCAACCUCAGUAGCAAUCCUCUUGCGUCGACAUUCCCAAAUUUCAUAUCCAAUUCUCAUGGCCUGACUCACCUCAGCCUUGAUCAAAACGAGUUUACAGGUGAUUUAGCGCGUGAAUCAAUAUUUGCCAAUCUGCAUAAUCUUGAAGUCCUCAGUCUUGUUGGCAAUUCUUUUGAGGGGGCCAUUUCCGCCAAAUAUAUUCAAGCUUUCCAAAUUAAAACGUCUUACCCUGUCAAGUAACAAAUUUUUAGGAUCAAUUCCCAAUGACAUAAGGUUGCUUUGUGAUCUUGAAUUCCUAUAUUUAGGAAACAAUUCUUUUGAAGGACCGCCUCCACCAAAUAUAUUCAAGCUUUCAAAAUUAAAACAUCUUGUUCUCUGGAGUAAUAAGUUUUCAGGUUCUGUUUCCAAUGAUAUAGGUUUGCUUUCUGCGCUUGAACUUCUGAAUCUUCACUCUAAUUUUUUUGAGGGGCCGCUUCCGCCAAAUGUAUUCAAGCUCUCUAAACUAAGGUUUCUUAACCUCUGGGGUAACAACUUUUCAGGUUCUGUUUCCAAUGAUAUAGGUUUGCUUCCUGAGCUAGAAAUCCUCAAUCUUCACUCUAAUUUUUUUGAGGGGCCGCUUCCGCCAAAUAUAUUCAAGCUCUCUAAACUAAGGUUUCUUAACCUCUGGGGUAACAACUUUUCAGGUUCUGUUUCCAAUGAUAUAGGUUUGCUUCCUGAGCUAGAAAUCCUCAAUCUUCACUCUAAUUUUUUUGAGGGGCCGCUUCCGCCAAAUGUAUUCAAGCUCUCUAAACUAAGGUUUCUUAACCUUUGGGGUAAUAACUUUUCAGGUUCUGUUUCCAAUGAUAUAGGUUUGCUUCCUGAGCUAGAAUUCCUCAAUCUUCACUCUAAUUUUUUUGAGGGGCCGCUUCCGCCAAAUGUAUUCAAGCUCUCUAAACUAAAGUUUCUUCAUCUUCGAGGUAAUAAGUUUUCAGGUUCUGUUUCCAAUGAUAUAGGUUUGCUUCCUGAGCUUGAAAUCCUCAAUCUUCGCUCUAAUUUUUUUGAGGGGCCGCUUCCGCCAAAUGUAUUCAAGCUCUCCAAACUAAGGUUUCUUUCCCUUAAGGAAAAUAAAUUUUCAGGUUCUGUUUCCAAUGAUAUAGGUUUCCUUUCUGAGCUUGAAUACCUAUAUCUUGACUAUAAUUUAUUUGAAGGAAGUAUUCCUAUUGGACUGGGACUCUUGACUAACCUCAGCUACUUAGAUCUAAGUUCCAAUAAUCUCAGUGGCUAUAUUCCAUCUGACAUUGGAAACCUGAAGCUACUAGUAUUUCUUGAUCUCAGUUCUAACCAAUUGACUGGACCGCUUUUAAAGAUCGUUUCUAAUCUCACAAAUCUUAUGAAUCUUGAUGUAAGUGAUAAUAGUCUUAGUGGAAAUAUUCAGAGUGACUUGUGGAAGAACUCUAUAUCCUUACGUUACAUUAAUUUUGCAAAUAAUUAUUUGUCUGGGAACAUUCCUAAGGAAUACAACGAUCAUCCAACUUUGGAAUACAUCAAUUUAAGUGGGAACCAUUUUACAGGUAUAUUUUUCUCUAUAUAUCUUUUCCUUUUCUCAUAUGUAACUAAGCUGGUAAUCUGAUUAUUGCAGUUUUACCAAAGUUUCAACAAUCUUGACAGGUGAGCUUCCAACAACAAUUUGCAAUGUCACUUCCCUUGCGGUUCUUGUUUUGUCAAAUAAUGGAUUAAGUGGAGCACUUCCAAAUUGUUUCGGGAAACUUGCUGAUAGAUUGCUUUCCAUUAAUCUUGCUAAUAAUCAGUUUCGAGGAACAAUACCAACUACUUUCUCCAGGAGUUGUCAGGUGAAAUAUCUAAACAUGGAUAAUAAUGAGUUUGAAAGAUUCUUGCCCCCGUCUUUGGCGAACUGUAAGCACUUGAAAAUUCUUGAUAUUGGCAAUAAUAAAAUAGGUGGUACAUUUCCGUCAUGGCUUUAUGUACUUGGAGAGAUAGAAGUCCUUGUCUUGCGAUCAAAUAAACUCUAUGGUACAAUAAGUGGAAGGAGCGUAAAAGAUCCCUUCCCCAAGUUGCGGAUUGUGGAUCUGUCCAACAAUCAAUUCACUGGUCAUUUGCCAAUUCAAUACUUUAAGAAUAUGAAAUCAACUGAUAAUUUGUAUCGUUAUCAGAAUUCCAAAGGAUAUCUAUCUUUCCAUCAUGAUGCAGCAGUCUCCUUAACUGUGAAGGGAACGGAGUAUGAGGUAGCAAAGAACCUUCAUAUUUACACAGCCAUUGAUCUGUCGUGCAACAAAUUUCAGGGACAAAUUCCAAACGUCACUGGAGAGCUUAGAUGGCUUGCAUUGCUCAAUUUAUCGCAUAAUAGUCUAACAGGACCUAUCCCAUCAUUGCUGAGAAAUAUGAAAGAACUCCAAUCUUUAGAUUUGUCUUCAAAUCAACUGACAGGGGCUAUUCCACCUCAGCUAACUGCAUUGACAUUUCUAGAGGUCUUGAACCUCUCGAAAAACCAUCUUAGUGGAGAGAUUCCUCAGAAAGGACAGUUCAGCACAUUUAACAAUGAUUCUUAUCUAGGAAACUCCGCGUUAUGUGGAUCACCUUUGACGAAGAAAUGUGCAAACACAGCAUCACCUCCACAAGAAGUUGUAAAUGGUGAUGAAGAUGAUGCUGGUGAUGAAAUGACAUGGGAAGCAAUCGUGAUGGGAUAUGGAUGUGGACUGAUAUGUGGAUUGUCAUCUGCGUACAUUGUUCUCAAACUAG
rnacentral:lncRNA from 1 species